rnacentral:lncRNA from 1 species
GUGCUAGAUGUCUAAAACCAAUACCACAAGCAUAUUUAAGUUUGACAUACAAACACAAAAUUAAGACAUGUAGUAAAUAAUUUCAAUAUGUAUGUAAGAGUGGUUUUUCAUCUAGUGAUGAAGGAGCACCAAUUUCGAAGCUGGAAAUUGUUGAGGCGGAAGUAACAUCCCAAGGUGCUCCCAUCACUUCAUUUCUGUCAUAUUCAUUCUCUUGUUGGACGAUCAAGUUUUCGGAUUUUAUAAUCCUCUCCAACACCAUUGUGACUUCUUUCAUCGUAGGCCUUUCUUUCCCAUUUAACCUCAAGCAGCUCCUAGCCAAGCUAGCUACCAUCAACACUUCCUCUCUUUCCCCUUGCUUCACAACCUGAGGAUCAAGAAUAUCAAACAGACAGUUGCUCUCCAUGGCCAUUAUGAAAUAUGUGGCUAAACUUCUGCCUUCUUCUGAUCUUGUGAACGAGAUUGCCUUCUGCCCAGUAAGUAGCUCAACAAGAACUACACCAAAGCUAUAGACGUCACUCUUGUCUGUGAAUUUGGUUGAUUGGAAGAACUCUGGAUCCAAGUAUCCUAUAGUGGGUUAUAAUUGCAUCAACGGUCUAGUUUUGCCAAUGGGACUCCAUCUCCUCUUGAAGCUACAGAACUCCCACUUUUAUUAGAUGUUGCAGGUUCAAUUCCUCGAAAGGGAAGUCAAUCUCAAAUUCCUAGAAAAUUUGUCCUAGGUGGAUUAAAAUAAAAAAUUUACUAUUUUAUUUAAAAAAAAAAUUCACACUCACUCUCUGCUAAUGGAUGGUGGGUUGAUGAGGUGACUAAACUUUGCCACUUGUUGAGGGGUUGGGGUGAUUUCCAUACUACUACAAGAAUAAGCACCCUACCAAAAUAAGAAAUACUCUAGUAUUUAAGUUAGUAAAUAUCUGAGGAGAAUAAUAUAUAUAAAAAAAGAGUUAGUAAAUAUACUAGGAGAAUAAUGUAUAAAAACAAGAGGUGUAGUAGAGUGUCUAGAGGGAAAAGUGUGUACAACAGGGUAGGAGGGGGGAUUGUGGAGCAGGGGAAUAACAAUAUGUAUAACAGCAGAGGUGUGUGUAGAAGAAGAGGAGAAAUAUGUGUAGGAGGAGAGGAACAAUGCUGUUUGGUGGCUUUUUGUGACCUCUUAUGCUCUGUGUGAUUCUGUCCUUAUGUGGGUGGCCUGGGGUGUUUAUAUCCUUGGCCCUUAAGACCAUGUGGUUUACCUAAUGAGAAAUGGAGGAGAAGAAAUACCUUUUAAUUAUGCGCAUGUAACUGCAAAAUAAGUUAUUAAGUGUACGUGCCACACUAUACCCUCUGUAACACCUAGAUAAACCACAGAGUUGAUCAGUAAACCAUGCCAGAAGAAUCUAUAGAGUAGCGAAUGUAACACCUAGAUAACCAGGAGUUUGCCUUGACAAAUACCAGAAAGAUAAGGAUUUCCUUCGAAACCUGGAUUGCAAGAACAUUGAACUUUCUCCUUAUUAUUUGUGGGUGUAGACAUUUCAUAUCUAUGUAAAAUCUUUGCAUUAUGAUUAUUUCUUUUAUAUUUACUACUUUUUGGGAUUUUUCUACCUUGCCAAUCUUCUUCUCUAAUGGUAACUUUUAGAACUUCAUUUAUACACUAAAUAGGAUUUUCUAUAGAUUUUAAUUCGAUCAUCAAGCAUUCAUGCAUGUAGCCUGGUAGCAUGCAGCAAUACGAACAGCAAGUGCUAGCUGGAGUCCUGGUUAUUGCUAAAGGAAUCAAUAUUCAUGUAGAGCGUGAUAAUAUUUUUAGCUAUUUUCCACUUAAGUUUCCGGAAAAUUCUUUAUUUUACAAACGAUGCACAUGCCUAAAUUCCCCGUUUUACAAUUUGUUAGUGUGGCAUCUGCUUGAAUGUCUUGUCUGAGAGGGGAGGCCGGCGCCUCCAUGAGUUACUAGUCUUAUAGGUUAGUUACGCAGUUGUUUAUGGUAAAGUAAUUAUUCUCAUCAUUAUUCAUACGAUUAGGAUGCGUAGUAAGUUUACAACCCUACAAAGCCUAUAAAUAUCAAAGACGAUUUGUAUGAAGAAGUGAACAUACAAAACCCCACACACUUAAAAGUGUCGAGUUCUGAAUCCUCCCAGUCAUUCAACCAACCAGUUGGCAACAGUUCAGUUUUCUUGUAUGCCAGGCUUUGUAGGAAAUCCUUAAUUAGGUCAUUAUGAAAGUAAAUUCCUGGUUAAUUUUACAAUUUUCUUAUUUUCUUUUGGCAUUAUAUUUCCUACUCCAUCGAUUCUUCUCGAAUUUUUUACCAUUACAUGGUGUAAAGAUCAACUAUGUUACUCUAUGUGACAGAGGAUCCAGACUACAUGGAUUGCCAGGGACAUGUGAGAGAAAAAACGUUAGUCCUGGGUAUGUUGCUGCAUUUGCAUCCUAUAUCAUCUAAGAAAUGACAAUUGCUUAGGAGUAAGAAUACUUGUAUUUUUCCUGAUCAGUUCCCUUUCCCUAUCCGUUCAUAAUUGCUUGACUGUUGUAGGAAUUGGAGUGGGAAUUGGAACAUUGUUUAUGCUUAUUGGUCUGUGGUGGUUGUACAGAGUAUUCAAGAGGAGGAGGAAUGAAAAACAGAGGAAAAAAUACGUCGUAUGGAAUGGUGGUUUAUUGAGAUCGUGACACUUGUCACGAUCUUAAGCAAUACUCAGAUAUACUCUAACAAGUUUGACAUACAGACACAAAAUUAAAACAUCUAGUAAAUAAUUUCAAUAUGUAUGAAAGAGUGGUUUUUCAUCUAGUGAUGAAGGAGCACCAAUAUCGAAGCUGGAAAUUGUUGAGGCAUAAGUAACAUCCCAAGGUGCUCCCAUCACUUCUUUUCUGUCAUAUUCAUUCUCUUGUUCGACGAUCAAGUUUUCGGAUUUUAUAAUCCUCUCCAACACCAUUGUGACUUCCUUCAUCGGAGGCCUUUCUUUCCCAUUUAACCUCAAGCAGCUCCUAGCCAAGCUAGCAACCAUCAACACAUCCUCUCUUUUCCCUUGCUUCAUAACCUGAGGAUCAAGAGUAUCAAACAGGCAGUUGCUCUCCAUGGCCAUUAUGAAAUAUGUGGCUAAACUUCUGCCUUGUUCUUCUGAUCUUGUGAACGAGAUUGCCUUCUGCCCAGUAAGUAGCUCAACAAGAACUACACCAAAGCUAUAGACAUCGCUCUUGUCUGUGAAUUGGCUUGAUUGGAAGUACUCUGGAUCCAAGUACCCAAAGGUGCCUUUUACUUGAGUUGUGACAUGAGUGUGGUCGAUGCUUACGGACCUUGAAGUCCCAAAAUCUGCAACUUUGGCUCUAUACUUCUCAUCAAGCAGGAUGUUUGUAGACUUGAUAUCUCUAUGAAAAAUGGGGAGGGAGGCUGCUGAAUGUAGAUAGAAAAGUGCCCCUGCUACCUCUGCUGCAAUCCUUAAGCGCAUUUCCCAAGUUAAAGGGAAUUCCUCGUUAGGGUCAUGGAUAAACUGGAAAAGGGUCCCAUUAGGAAUGAAUUCAUAGACUAACAAUGGAAGUUCAGUCUCUAAACAACAACCCAGAAGCUUAACCACAUUUCUAUGGUUAAUUUGGGAUAGAAGGACGACCUCGUUGAUAAAUUGUCUGAGAUUCCCUUCAUCAAUUACUUUGGAUUUCUUGACUGCAACGAUUUUUCCAUCCGCCAACAUCCCUUUGUAAACUGUUCCUUGGCCUCCAUGGCCCAGCGUUCUAUUCACAUUGUAAUGAUCAGUGGCCUUGUCUAAUUCUUUCGAAGGAAACAUUUUGAUUUUCUCAACAUUGACUUCACCUGAAGAUAGUUGUUCUUGCAGUAAGAGACCACCAUUCCUCUUAAAGUACUUUUUCUUUAGUUUUUCACUCCUCUUUCUCUUGAAUACUUUGUACAACAACCAUAAAACAAUGAGUAGAAACAGUGCUCCAAAUCCCACUCCAACACCUGCACAAGUCAACCAAUUGCAUUCAAUUCCUUUUUAGAGCUGAACUCAGAAAAACAAAUUCUGUCUGUUUGCUUGAGUAAUGGUGCAGUAUCUGCGAUUAUUUGAUGCUGCUGGGAUAGGAUUGGUGAUUUUGGGGUUGUACAGCUGCAGCAAGGGUCUAGAUUUUAUCUCUAACUUCCAUUUUGCAGAUUGUCUUUACUACUUAUCCAGGCAACAGAGUCUGUAUCCUAUAACAAAGUUGAUGGAUCAGUAAACCAUACAAUGGUAAACCGUGGCAGAAGAAUCUACAGAGCAGGAAUUGUAACCAGGGGUUAAUUUACCAUGACAAAUACCAGAAAGAUAAGGAUUUCCUUCGAAGCCUGGAUUGCAAGAACAUUGAACGGUGGAGCUCUGGUUGGUUGAAUAAAUGGAAGGAUUCACAAUCUUACACAUAGAAGUAUAACUUGAAUUAUAGAAUGAUCCAUUCUUAACAAAUGAUUCAAAUACCCUUUCGUCUAUCCCCCAAUCCAGCACUACGGGAACAUAUAUAGUCCCUAUCUCUUGUCGUAAUAAUAGUCAAAGUUCCCUCUGGCAUAAGAAAUACUACCCGUAGUUGAUCUGUGUUUGGGCAGUUAAAGAGGCAUAUGAGUAUCAAACUCAGGUCUCUAAUGGAGGGAACCAAGUAUUAGGAUGAACUGGAAAUAGAGACCGUGAUAUAGUAUUAAUAAUACUGCCCAUCACAGCCUCAUCUAAAUAGCAAGAACUAAAAAUUGGCACAUGUAUAUAUCCUAUCCAAAUUAAAAAUGAGAAACCAAAAAAACGAACAGUUACCUUUAAUGGCACAUGAAAGAUCUAUACACAAUAGUAUGUACAUGAACAUUGGGAUUCCAAAUGAAGAGGAUGAUAUACGAACUUACCGACAGCGACCUGAAUCACUGAUGAUAUAGUACGGAUGCAGCGUUCUCCAUCUAUUCUCCCAUCUCCAUAGUACCCCUUGGGGCAAGAACAUGUAUAAUUCCCUUCGGUGUCGAUGCAUAUGUGGCUGCAAUUGUGGGCUACUUUUGGAUCUGAACAUUCAUUAAUGUCUGUAGAAGCAUCAUAAAGAGAAGCCUUUAAGUAAAACUAUAGUAAAUUCUCAUAAUUUCAUGUAAUCCAAUUUCGAAAAAUCAGAUUAGAGAUCUCCUCGAAAUCAAUUACAAAUAAUUUAACUCUCUUCAUGCAAGUAAAAAAUUAUAAAAAAGGGGAUAAAAUGAAGAAAAAGAAAUGCAUACUUCGGCAACCAUUUGGGAGGUAUGGAUUUCCACGAUAGCCAUCUAAGCAUUUGCAAAUGUUCCCAAACCCAUUUUCAGGGUCAUGACAUUUGCUCUGUCCUAGACAUGCAUUAGACAUCUUGUUCUUUUCCAAGGUUUCGCAUUUAUUGCGCCCAAUACUCCAAUCCACUAUAACAGGAAGCUUACUUACUUUCUCAAAAUCCGACAGGUUACUUGGAAAAAAGCUGAACUGCUUUUCUUCAAUCAUGAAGGCAAAGCUGCAACGAUUGAAUUCCCAGAUUCCCGCAUGAUUAUUGUAACUAGACACGCUCACUUCGAAGUACCUCAUUCCUUUGGCAAUGGAGGUUUGGCAGCAACCAAUUCCGGAGCAUGUGUUUGGCACAUAUGUUUUGUCGCUACAUCCGGAAAUGCAUCCUACCAGGUAUGUAUCAUUCUUGACUCCUCGCGUACCUAGCAUUUUAGCUACAGUAUCACAGCCGAUAGCGACGAACAUAUUGUCAGUGUCAGAAAAAACGUAUGGACCUUGAACGGGUAGGUUUAUCCAGGGACUGUUUCUCGUUGUUCGUGCACCAGCCCGAUUAUAGCAGUCCUUAGCUAUAUCCUGCAUGAUGCGUAGCUUCCCAUCAAGGGUUAUUUCUGUGACCUCUAAGCUACCAUUUCCUAAAAACGGUUUUGGAGGAUUGAAAGUAUGGUUGCAAGUUAUGAGGAACUUAGAGUCGAAGUAGCAAUCUUUUCUGGUGCCAAAUGGAUAUGGGAUACUAAGAUUCCCACAUCUAUCUUGGCAUCCAGGUUUCGCUAUAGGAAUCUCUGUUGCUGCUGUAACUGCUGCUAACAACACUCCAGUUAUUGUGAACUGUAAGGCCAUUCCUCGAAUUCCCAUGACAGCUACUUUUCUGUUUAAUUAAAAUGGAGUCGGGUGGUACAAAACUCUCUAUGGCAGCUAGCUUUGUUAUUCACGGUCCAUUUUCUUAGAAAGAACUUCAAUCCCAUCAAGGUAAGAUGAUAAAAGGGUUGUUUGGAACUGCCUUAUGUUUCUAAAUUUUUUAAAAAACUUUUUGUUUAAAAUUAAUAUUUUUAUUGUUUUAAUAUGUCGAUAUUAAAAAUAAUUUUUUAAAUAAAUAAAAACAUUUAUUUUAAUAUAUUUUCAAAUAAAAAAUAAUAAUUAACACACUUAUAAAUAUUCUUUAAUAAUUGUUACUUAGCUCAUUCUCCACUAAACAUAGAACUCACUUAAGGAAAGAAAACACACCGAACGUUUUGCAAAAAAAAAAAAUUUUAUUUUUAUCUUCUUGAAUUAUUUUAUUUACUUGUCAUUGGAAAGACUUCAAAAAAUAAUUAAAUAUUAAAGUAUUUCUAAAUGAAAGAUUUAUUUUACAGAAUCAACAUAACACGGACUCAAAACUUAUUAAUCAAGAAAAGUCCAUUUCCAUGUAAAGAUUUUGGUUCAAUAUUUGUUUUAUUUUUUUCCUUUUUGAUUUUUCUUUUUUGAAACUAAAAAUGAAUUUGAUAUUUACACAUUUAAUGUUAUUUUGUAAUUGAUUGAAACUUCGAAAUGAUUUUUAUUUUAAAAUAAAAUGAUGAAAAGACUCUAUCAAAAUAUUAAUAAAUAUGGAAGAUCUAAAUUAUGAAAAACAAUUAUGUUAAAAAACCAAAAAUCAUAAAAUAAUUUUCUAUAUUAAUAAAAAAAAUAUAUAUCAUGUUGUAGCAUUUAAUUUAUGUUAUGAAAUAGAAAAGAUAAAUACAAAUGGGAUAAGAAUAUACUUUAUAGCAAGGACGGAGAUAAAAACCAUAAAUUAUAUGUCUGAGAGACAGAUUUAAGCUAAUUUUUAUCCCUCCAAAAAGAAGGAAUGGAUGGAAUAUGGGCUGAGGACAACAUUUAUUAUUAUAGAAAAAAAACUGUGCAUUAUUUUUAAAAUUUUUUUUGAAUAUAUGAGAUAUCUUCUAAAUAACUUGCACAUCACUUAAAAUUAAAUCUUUUCCGAUGAAAAAAAAAUUCAAGUAAUUUCGGAUGAAGUUUUAUGCAUGUUUUGGAUAAUUAAUUAAUCUUUUGAUAUUGAUAAUCUAAUUUUUUUUUAAUUAAGGUGAUUAGAGAAGGGUGUCGAAUACCUACAAAAAGUUUUAUUUGAUAAAUUUAGGGACUCUCUGAUGAUUAAGUCAGUGACUUUUUGAGAGAAAAUACAAUAAUAUUAUAGAGAGAUACUCUGAAAAUAAUUAUGUAGUAGAGAAUGAAAAUUUUGAAUAUUUUUUUGUUAAAGUAUUCAUGGUCUAUUUAUAGCACAUGAGUCUUUUUUAUGGAAAAGAGAGGUUAAAGCGUAAUACUACUCUGAUGAUUUUAAUAAAAAAAAAUAUUAUUGACAUAUAUAUUAAUAUUGAUGGAAAAUAUCUCUGAUAUAAGUAUUAAUAUUGAUGGAAAUAUAGUGGUCACUUAGAGAACUUUUACACACUAUCCCUUACUUAAUAAUAAUAUAAAUGAAAAUAUAGUGGAAUCUAGAAGAAUUUGAUAUAACUAAGGGUGUAAAAAGAAUAUGAACAAAAAUGUAGUUGUGUCCAUGGAAUUAGGUUAUUCCUUUGAUUGAACCCAUAAAAAGUGUUUUUUGAGGGUGUUUUUAGACCCAUUAAAUCUAAAUUUAUCACUUCUAUUUAAAAAAAUUUAAAUACAGACCUCUCACAUCAGUUUAUUACAUUUAAAAAAAGUUUAAUAUGAUCAUGGCUUUUCUAUUAUCUUCACUCUCCGAGACCCGAUAUUUUAGUCCACUUCAUUAAAGAACUGCCAUUGCUCGAGCUUUAACAAGGAAGGCUGGGCUUAGGCUACUCGAUGAAGCAACAAGUGCACUAGAUGCUGAGUCUGAGAGGUCUGUCCAGGAAGCCCUGGAUCGUGCCUGCUCAGGAAAGACCACAAUUGUUGUUGCACACCGGCUAUCAACUAUAAGAAAUGCUCAUGUCAUUGCUGUGAUUGAUGAUGGUAAAGUAGCAGAGCUAUGCCCGCAUGAUACAGUUACAAAUGCUCAUGUCAGGAUUCCACUCGCAUCUAUUGAAAAAUUAUUCUGAUGGGAGCUAUGCCCGCAUGAUACAGUUACAAAUUAAGGUUCACACAUAGCGAAGUCAUUGGAAUGACCUCAGGUUCAAGUUCACGGAGCAAGGAUCCCUUGUGCAUGUGGUUUGUCGCAACUGCUUUCACAAAAAGAUGCCCAAUGUCGGAAGAUAAUUGAGAGAAAGGUGUCCAGGCUUGUGCAAUUAGGCUACAAGGGCUAUCAUGCCAGUGGCAAUGGAUGUAGACCGGAACAUAUUCCUGGCGAUUCGAAAUCAUCCAAUCUUGAGCUUAAUAGGAUGCCUAUCUAUUUAUGAUUUGGUUUGUAGGGAAGGAAAUUAUUGAGUGUCAAAGUUCACAUGCAUGGUGGUUGGUUGCACAUGUGUGUCAUUUGAGUGUCCAAGGACAAGUACUACCCCAAAGAGGGGACCUCGUUGAAAUCAAUAGACCACGCUCCUUCGACCAUUAAUUAGUAGAAGCUGGUGGUAAUGGUGGUGGUGGACAAGCGGGAGACAAAAGUUUAGGAUACGGCAUUUGGAAAAUGACAAAAAGGGAGAUGAUAAGAGAGUUAGAUCAUGGCCUCAUGGGAUGCUCUGUCCUUGUGUUCAUUGCGCGGGCCAUACCCAAUCUCUUUCCAUUAAAGAAAUACAAGGACGUUAGCCUGCACAGAUGGGCUUUAAUGGCGCUCUUGUUUUCAAGUGCUCAAGAGCAUUAUGCUUUUGGGACACGGGAUGAUGACUCUCUGUUAACAAGUAACGACUUCAACAGCUGUUUCAAAUUACGGGCAACUAGAACACACAAUUACAAAAAAAAUGGAGGAAAGUGCUACAAGUCUAAAACCAAUACCACAAGCAUAUUUAAGUUUGACAUACAAACACAAAAUUAAGACAUGUAGUCAAUAAUUUCAAUAUGUAUGUAAGAGUGGUUUUUCAUCUAGUGAUGAAGGAGCACCAAUAUCGAAGCUAGAAAUUGUUGAGGCAGAAGUAACAUCCCAAGGUGCUCCCAUCACUUCAUUUCUGUCAUAUUCAUUCUCUUGUUCGACGAUCAAGUUUUCGGAUUUUAUAAUCCUCUCCAACACCAUUGUAACUUCUUUCAUCGGAGGCCUUUCUUUCCCAUUUAACCUCAAGCAGCUCCUAGCCAAGCUAGCAACCAUCAACACAUCCUCUCUUUCCCCUUGCUUCACAACCUGAGGAUCAAGAAUAUCAAACAGGCAGUUGCUCUCCAUGGCCAUUAUGAAAUAUGUGGCUAAACUUCUGCCUUGUUCUUCUGAUCUUGUGAACGAGAUUGCCUUCUGCCCAGUAAGUAGCUCAACAAGAACUACACCAAAGCUAUAGACAUCACUCUUGUCUGUGAAUUGGCUUGAUUGAAAGUACUCUGGAUCCAAGUACCCAAAGGUACCUUGUACUAGAGUAGUGACAUGAGUCUGGUCGAUGCUUACCGACCUUGAAGUCCCAAAAUCUGCAACUUUGGCUCUAUACUUCUCAUCAAGCAGGAUGUUUGUAGACUUGAUGUCUCUAUGGAAAAUGGGGAGGGAGGCUGCUGAAUGUAGAUAGAAAAGUGCCCUGCUACCUCUGCUGCAAUCCUUAAGCGCAUUUCCCAAGUUAAAGGGAAUUCCUCAUUAGGGUCAUGGAGAAACUGGAAAAGGGUCCCAUUGGGAAUGAAUUCGUAGACUAACAAUGGAACUUCAGUCUCUAAACAACAACCCAGAACCUUAACCACAUUUCUAUGGUUAAUUUGGGAUAGAAGGACGACCUCGUUGAUAAAUUGUCUGAGAUUCCCUUCAUCAAUUACUUUGGAUUUCUUGACUGCAACGAUUUUUCCAUCGCCAACAUCCCUUUGUAAACUGUUCCUUGGCCUCCCUGGCCCAGCGUUCUAUUCACAUUGUAAUGAUCAGUGGCCUUGUCUAAUUCUUUCGAAGGAAACAUUUUGAUUUUCUCAACAUUGACUUCACCUGAAGAUAGUUGUUCUUGCAGUAAAAGACCACCAUUCCUCUUAAAGUACUUUUUCUUUAGUUUUUCACUCCUCUUUCUCUUGAAUACUCUGUACAACCACCAUAAACCAAUGAGUAGAAACAGUGCUCCAAAUCCCACUCCAACACCUGCAUAAGUCAACCAAUUGCAUUUAAUUCAUUUUUUAGGGCUUAACUAAGAAAAUCAAAUUCUGUCUGUUUGCUUGAGUAAUGGUGCAGUAUCUGCGAUUAUUUGAUGCUGCUGGGAUAGGAUUGGUGAUUUUGGGUGGUACAGCUGCAGCAAUGGUCUAGAUUUUAUCUCUAACUUCCAUUUUGCAGAUUGUCUUUAUUACUUAUCCAGGCAAUUGAACAUAGUUAAGUACAGUGUUGUAGUUUGUCUCCAUAUUCUACUUUAUUCAUGUCAGUUAUGAAAAGAGAAUUUGAUUAUUAAAAAACAGCAAGUUAAAUUUUAAUUUUUUAAUAUAUAAUUUUGAUGGUCUGCUUUACUAAGUGUAUAAAUUUUAUUUUUAAUCUUAUGUGGAAAAAAAAACUUUAUUACAAGCAUUUUCAAGAAAGUGUACUUUUUUACUUGAAACUAAUUAUUCAUACAUUUUUCAAGAAAGCAUUAUUUAUACCAGGGAAAGAAGAAAAUUAUGAAACAACGAUCUAAUUACAAAUAAAAUUUGAAAAGGAGGGGACAAAAAUGAAUACUUUAGAAAGAUAAAUCGUACUCAAUCUUCAUGAGUAAUUGUUUAAAAUGGCAUCGACAAAAAUUUCAUGCCGUUGGUGCUUGAAUAAAUUGAUUGAUUUGAUUUAGUCCAUCGGUUUACUUAAAGUAAUAAUGACGAAUUAUAGAAUCACAUAUAUCAUAGUUGUACAAAUGGAAUAUUUAAAACUAGAGUAGUAUAAGGUUGUGUUUGGGAAUGGUUGAAAUCGUUUUCCAUUAAAUUUUAUUUGUUUUUAUUUUUAGAUUAUUUUAAUGUGUUGAUCUCAAAAAUAAUUUUUAACAAAUAAAAAAAUAUCAUUUUAAUAUUCUUAAUGAUAAUUUUUUAAAAAUAAACCGCAAACGCUACUACAAUCCUAAAUAUGCCAGAAGUUCAGAAAGUAACAUGUGGUAUGAGAAAGAAGGGAGAUAUUCUUAUUAUUUUGAUGGUUCAUGAAAAAAAUUUUCUUUGUAUUUUUUUUAAGUGGAUAGUAUAAAAUGACUAAUACAAUGUCACUAAUUAUUUUUGAUGCAUCAUAAAAUAUCUUGUAUAUAUACACAUGUCGCAUGAUAAUUAUAGAAAUCACAAAAUGAUGUGUUGUUUUUAUUGUAAACAUGUAUUGUUCAUUCUCUCAUAUUUUAUUGUGAAUUUACUUUCAAAUUUGUUUAUGUUUUUAUUUUGGUCCCCAAAACUUCUUUUUGCACAAUUGCAUCCUUUUUGACAACAUAAAAGGACAAUUGAAUCAAAUUUAUUGACUAAGGUCAAAAUUAAAAGUCAUGGGAUCAAAGUAGAAAAAAGUUAUACCUAUUCGGUCCUUAAAUAUAUUUUUUUGUGUUUUCAAAGUUAUCACAAAAAAAUCACUUUAAUUAGUCCUCGAACCUCACAUGUUAUACCUAUUCAGUCCUUAAAUAUUUUUUCAAUUCAAUUUUAGUACAAAAUUUAUUAUUUUUUAUUUUUUAGUCCAUGGUUUGAGAGAAAAGAGAGAGAGAGAUCACCGGAUUUCAAUUGUAAAAAGAAAAAAAUAUUGUUGGCAUCGAUUUCGACCAUCAAAACGGUCGAUUUUUAUGUCAAAUGAUUUCAUUUGAUUAGAAAAUUUUAAAAUAUAUGUUUUUUUUUUACCUUGAAAGUGCCUAAAAAACAUAUAUGAGAUUGAGAAGAUUUUUUUUAUUUCGGAUUGAUUUCAAGUUUUUUGAUAGUUUUAGAGGUCAAGAAUAGAUUUCACAAGGCUCCUACGGUGUUUUCUAGGUAUAUUGGGUAAAAAAAAAGGGGGUUAAAAUAGGUUUUUAGAUAAAAAAUAAAAACCCUUCAGUUGCGUUUUACUGACCAUUAUAGUGGCCGGAAUCUGGGCAAAGUCAAACGACGCGUCAUGUGACACGUGUUGUACCACUAUGUAAAAGACAACUCUCCGCUUCCAACACCAUCAUUAACAAUGACAUCUGAAUAUUGAGAGGUGCUACACACGCCGCCCAAAUAGCAUGAGCGCCUCCAACUUUUACAUUUUUUAUUAUUUUAAUACUUGUUCAAAGACCUAAUUGCCCCUCAUUUUAAUUGACAAUAACAAAAAAACAGUAUGGAAAAAAUCCAAAUAGCCCUAAUUGUCAGUUUUACUUCUGAGAAAUGUAAGGGCAAAGAGGUUAUUUAACUGUGCAUCUAAAAAUGAAAAAUACCAAAAAACCCUUAUACUUAGCUUUAUUUUUUAAAAAUUUAUAAGGGUAUAUUAGUUAUUACAUUGUUGAUGAAAAAUGUAAAAGUAUUUAUUUAAAACCAAUAAAUAUGACAAUGACAAAUAAAUCCCAUGUAAAAUACCUUUAUACCCCUUCGACCAUGUUUUUUGAGUUUUUGAUGCAAUGAAAACAAUAUUUUUACUGCUCGAAUAAAUAACUAAACUCUUUUAGUUUCUUUUUUUUUUUUUAAAUAAAAUCGUCAAUUAUGACAUUUGGAGCACUGUCAUGAGACAAGCCAACAACAUAGUUUUCCUCUAAUCAAACAUAACAAUGCCAGUCAAUUGUUUUCUUGACCCAUUUAAGUGUGACAUAAUCUAUGGUCAUUUCUAUCAUGAUGAUAUAGAGUGAAAAUGCAACAACAUACCUAGGCCUGCCAUUUUAGCUUUGAUUUUACGCCGGUAAUGGACGUAUGUUGUACCCUCUGCAACACAUGGAGAAACCACAGAGUUGAUGGAUCAGUAAAGCAUACAAUGGUAAACCAUGCCAGAAGAAUCUAUAGAGUAGCUAGGAAUUGUAACCAGGAGUUUACCUUGACAAAAACCAUAAAGAUAAGGAUUUCCUUCGAAGCCUGGUUUGCAAGAACAUUGAACGGUGGAGCUCUGGUUGGUUGAAUUAAUGGAAGGAUUCAGAAACCCACACGUAGAAGAAUAACUUGAAUUAUAGAAUGAUCCAUUCUUGACAAGUGAUUCAAAUACCCUUUGGUCUACCCCCCAAUCCAGCACUACGGAAACAUAGUCACUAUCUCUCUUGUCAUAAUAAUAGCCAUAGUUCCGUCCGACAGAAUCAUACUCCCCGGAGUCCAUCAAACUUUGGGCAGUUAAAUAGGCAGACCUGCAUUUUUUUUCCCCACUGCUUCCUUUUACACCACGUAACCGUAGCAUGUUUACAUUAAAACCCUUGAGAAAUGAAGGAAUCCUGGUCUGGCAACAGUUGAUCCCACUGCAGCCCAUAUAACUUUUUUCGUCACAAAUUGGCACACACCCACCAAUAAUAGAUUGAUUUUGGGUCAUCGUGGCAAAAUAGCCACAACCCGUUGCAAUGAAGUAAUUCUCGGAGGAGAAAACAAAAGGGCUUCCUUCCAAGUCAAAAACUGUGUUUCUAUUUCUGUCUCCACAAUUUGCAAAAACAAUUGGAAACAUGACCCUUAUCAUACUGCGACGAACAGAGAUGUAUCUCACCUCCAGAUCAUUGCCGUUUACAGUAAGUUUAGGAGCUUGACUACUGGAGGUGCAGAGUAUUUUGAAACUUUCGUCUAGGUAACAUCCUUCUUCCAUUCCAAAUGGAUAUGGAAUAUCAACGCCUCCACAGUUAGAUAGACACCAAGGAAAUUUUACAACCUUGAUUCUGCAGUGAUCAAUGACCAGAACAACACUAUGACCUGAAACACUAUUAACUCAACAGCUGCCAUAUUCUUUUUCUUCUUCUUUCAGACAGUAGCUUUUUAGAAGAGAGAAGCUAUAAAACGGGCUCUUACUUGGCAAGUAACCCAGCCAUAUAUUAAGUUAUCCAAGGUCUUCUUCUUCUUUCUACUAAUUCUUUCUUUCUUUGUUUUUUUCCUCUCGCCUUCCACGAGUAGAAAGUUCAAAACCAAAGUCUUUAGAACCACACAAAGAAUUAAGCAGCCAGACUUGACCGAGUCAGUCAACUACACUAUCCUAUACUAUAGUGGGUUAUAAUUGCAUCAUCGGUCUAUUUUUGCCAAUGGGACUCUAUCUUCUCUUGAAGCUACACUACCACUUUUAUUAGAGGUUGCAGGUUCAAUUCCUCGAAAGGGAAGUCAAUCUCAAUUGCUAAAGCACAAAAACAAAUAAUAAAAAAAUCAUUUUCUUUGUUUAUUAAUUUGAACUUGAAAUUUUUAUUAAAGGUUCUUCAACAUUAAAUUUUCUAGCUAUUUCCUAAAGUGUAUAUAUAUAUAUGAGUAAUCAAAUUAAAAAAUCUACAAAUAUUUAAUGCUAACACAAGCCUGCACAAAUCUAAACUACAUUUUUCUACUUUGAGACGGUAGCUUUUUAGCAGAGAGAAGGAACAUAAACGGGCUUUUACUUGGAAAGUAACCCAGCCAUAUGUUAAACUGUCCAAUCUAUGUUAAUUUAUUUCUAAAAUUAAAAAAAAUUUAAUUUGAUCCUCCUUCAAUGUUUUAAUAUUUUAUUCAUUUUCUUUUGAUUAUUUUUUUUAUUUGAGAUAAUUUUUUAAAUUGAUUUUUUUUCGAUUUCACUCUUCUUUAUAUUUUUCUUUUAGAUUUGAUGCUCAUUUUUUUUAUUGUUAUUUUUUUCUUUGGUAAAUUUUUAAAUUGAAUAUAUUUUUGUUGAUUUCAUUCAUCAACAUUAAAUUGAUUGAUAAUUGAAUUUCUUAAUUGAACUUAAGUCUACUAUUUCAUUUUAUGGGUUGUAAAAUUAAAAUAUUAGCUUAUAUUUAGAAAAUUUUCAUCAUUUUAUUCUUAAAAAAAAUUUCAGACUGACUCUCCGCUAAUGAAUUGUGUGUUAAUGAGAUGACUAGACUUGGCCACUUGUUGAGGGGUUGGGGGUGAUUUCCAUCCUAGUAGAAGAAUAAGCACCCUACCAAAAUAGGAAGUACUAGGAGAAUAAUGUAUAAAAACAAGAGGUGUAGUAGAGUGUCUAGAGGGAAGAGUGUGUACAACAGGGUAGGAGGGAAGAUUGCGUGGAGCAGGAGAAGAAAUACCUUUUAAUUAUGCCAUGUAACUGCAAAAUAAGUUAUUGAGUGUAGGUGCCACACUAUACCCUCUGUAACACCUAGAUAAACCACAGAGUUGAUCAGUAAACCAUGCCAGAAGAAUCUAUAGAGUAGCAAAUGUAACCAGGAGUUUGCCUUGACAAAUACCAGAAAGAUAAGGAUAAUUCCUUCGAAACCUGGAUUGCAAGAACAUUGAACUUUCUCCUUAUUAUUUGUGGGUGUAGACAUUACAUAUCCAUGUAAAAUCUUUGCAUUAUGAUUAUUUCUUUUAUAUUUACUACUUUUUGGGAUUUUUCUACUUCCCCAAUCUUCUUCUCUAAUGGUAACUUAUAGAACUUCAUUUAUACACUAUAUAGGAUUUUCUAUAGAUUUUAAUUCGAUCAUCAAGCAUGCAUGCAUGUAGCCUGGUAGCAUGCAGCAAUACGAACAGCAAGUGCUAGCUGGAGUCCUGGUUAUUGCUAAAGGAAUCAAUAUUCAUGUAGAGCAUGAUAAUAUUUUUAGUUAUUUUGCACUUAAGUUUCCGGAAAAUUCUUUAUUUUACAAACUAUGCACAUGCCUAAAUUCCCCGUUUUACAAUUUGUUAGUGUGGCAUCUACUUGAAUGUCUUGUCUGAGAGGGGAGGCCGGCGCCUCCAUGAGUUACUAGUCUUAUAGGUUAGUUACGCAGUUGUUUAUGGUAAAGUAAUUAUUCUCAUAAUUAUUCAUACGAUUAGGAUGCGUAGUAAGUUUACAACCCUACAAAGUCUAUAAAUAUCAAAGACGUCUUGUAUGAAGAAGAGAACAUACAAAACCCCACACACUCAUUCAACCAACCAGUUGGCAACAGUUCAGUUUUCUUGUAUGCCAGGCUUUGUAAGAAAUCCUUAAUUAGGUCGUUGUGAAGAUAAAUUCCUGGUUAAUUUUACAAUUUUCUUAUUUUCUUCGGCAUUAUAUUUCGUACUCCAUCGAUUCUUCUCGAAUUUUUUACCAUUACAUGGUCUAAAGAUCAACUAUGUUACUCUAUGUGACAGAGGAUCCAGACUACAUGGAUUGCCAGGGACAUGUGAGAGAAAAAACGUUGGUCCUGUUUAUGUUGCUGCAUUUGCAUCCCAUAUCAUCUAAGAAAUGACAAUUGCUUAGGAGUAAGAAUACUUGUAUUUUUCCUGAUCAGUUCCCUUUCCCUAUCCGUUCAUAAUUGCUUGACUGUUGUAGGAAUUGGAGUGGGAAUUGGAGCAUUGUUUAUGCUCAUUGGUCUGUGGUGGUUGUACAGAGUAUUCAAGAGGAGGAGGAAUGAAAAACAGAGGAAAAAAUACUUCGCAUGGAAUGGUGGUUUAUUGCUGCAAGAACAACUGUCUUCAGGUGAAGUCCAUGUUGGGAAAAUCAAAUUGCUUACAUCCAAAGAACUAGACAAUGCCACAGAUCACUACAAUGUGAAUAGAAUGCUUGGUCAGGGAGGUUGGCUGAUGGAAAGAUCAUUGCAGUUAAAGAAAUCCAAAAUUCUUGAAGGGAAUCUCAGACAAUUUAUCAAAUUAUUGAGGUGGUCAUUCUUUCACAAAUUAACCACAGAAAUGUGAUUUAGCUUUUGGGCUGAAGUUCCAUUGUUGGUCUAUGAACUCAUUCCUAAUGGGACACUUUCCCAGUUUCUCCACUACCCAAAUGAGGAGCUCCCAUUAACAUGGGAAAUGCGCUUAAGGAUUGCAACAGAGGUAGCAGGGGCACUCUCCUACCUGCAUUCAGCAGCUUCGAUCCCCAUUUAUCACAGAGACAUCAAGUCUACAAACACUGUUGUAAGCAUUGACCAGACUCAUGUCACAACUCUGGUACCUUUGGAUACUUGGAUACAGAGUACUUCCACUCAAGCCAGUUCACCGACAAGAGUGAUGUAUAUAGCUUUGGUGUAGUCCUCGUCGAGCUACUCACUGGACAAAAGGCAGUAUCCUUUAGCAGAUCGGAUGAUGAAGCCAGAAGUUUAGUCGCAUGAAAGACAACCAUCUGUUAGAUAUUCUUGAUCCUCAAGUCAUGAUGCAAGGGAAGAAAGGGCAUGUGUUGAUGGUUGCUACCUUGGCUAUGAGUUGCUUGGGGUUAAAUGGGAAAGAAAGGCCUCCGAUGAAAGAAGUUGAUUAAAAAAAAAUCACUUAGGAAUCAAAUUUCAGAGAAGGAUUUCAACAUUUCACACGAGAUUGAAAUAUGAUAAUGGUUAUGAAGUAAUUGAUGUUCAUUGGGACCUUGCUUCUACCUCAAUAGGCUUUGGUUUUGACAAUGGUGUUGCUUCUUCAAAAGAAACAACACUACUCUUGUACACAUUUAGAAUUCUUUUUUCUUUUUUGUAAUUUUAUGUUUUGUUGUAACCAAAUAGUUGCUCCUGAUCAUAUGAAUAAUAUAAAGAAUUUUUUUUAUUUUCCAUUUUUUUAGUAUCCAUUGUUCUUGAUAGUAUCCACAACACUAUCAAGAACAACGUUCGUACGUAGAUUUAUUUGGUGAUAUAUGUAUCCUUGACUGGUUCAAGAUGACGCACUCCAUGAGCAUGCUGUGUUGGUCACAGGCAUUCAUUAUCAGUCAAGAAUGGCUCCUGGAAUAAAUAGAGUUUCGAAACUUAUUCAAAUAUUAAUUUAAACCUUGAAAAGUUAUGAUACCGCAAGUCCAGUGAUGGUAAGAAGGAAAUCAUUUGACAUUUCUAUAAUUUCUAGCAUUCACGCGUUAUGAUUGAUUAAUUUCAUUGCAAGAAAUUAACCAAGAUAUUUCUUUCUUUUCUAGAUGAAUGGACAAUGAAUACGUCAAAAAAUUAAGAAUUAAUUCAUAAUUACAUAAUUAUAUAGUUUAUCAGAACUAAUAAUUAAUGAGUCCUUUAGUAUGAAAAUAAUUACAUAAUUCUUUCACAAAUGUUUUUAAUUUGGCACUUUUAUUUUCAAAAAUCUCUUUUCUUCCUAAUCAAAUUUUCUCAUCCUAGACAUUACACAUCUUUUCUUUCUUUUUAGGCCUUGUUUGUUUCCCGGAAAGUAGUUUCCGGGAAACCAUUUUCCAAACUUUUCUGUGUUUGUUUGUCAUUAGAAAAGUUGGUCAACGGAAAACAAUUUCCGGUCAGCGGAAAACACUUUCUAGUCAACAGAAAACAGUUUCCGGUCAACGGAAAACACUUUCCAGUCAAUUUUAGUCAAAAACAUUAUAGUCACCGAAUCUAACUUCUCUUCCAUUAUCAAGGUCUUCAUCAAUUCUCCCUUCGAGAAAUUAUAGUCACCGAAUCUAACUUCUUUGCAGAAAUCAUCACUCCAUCAGAUCCUUGAUCAUACAGAACCCAACUGUUCCCCUUGUGCCGUCAUCUGCUAGUCUUCACCAGUUUCAUUACAAACUGUUACAUAUACGAAAAUAGUACCGUAUGGAUAAUCCUUCAACUAAGCAAGUUCCCAAUAGAGAUUGGAGGGGUCACAACGGUCCCGCUUAAAACCCAAUCUCCUAGCCAGAACUUCCUAAGCCAUAUUUAUCCAUCGUACUGCCUUUCCGUAUAUACAACCAUUUGAUAGCUUUGUCGCGGAUUUCUUUUACAAGUGAUCUGGAAUAUUUUUGUUUUAUACAUGAUUUCUCAACAUCUAGCGAGACUACUAGUGCUUAGAUUCAUCAAGAUUGGUCUUCAUCAAUUUUCACUCUCCACCUCAAAUCAUCCACAUGAUCGGGUGUCUAGAGUAUCGCCAAUUUUGCCUUCCUUUAAGGCAAUUAAAUUUCCCCACUAAACAAUUCAGCACACAUAAUUGGGCAAAUGUGUGCAACUUCUUCUUCUUCUUCAUCUCCAUCAACCACCAUCAAGACCUUCAAAUGCCUCUUGAUCGAGCAAUCUCUCUUAAUAAUUCACCACCACCACUUUCGGUCUCAAAUCUUAACAAACGGACCAUACCAUUGCAUUCAGAAUGAUCAAAUUAGCUGGAAAUAAGUCUGAAAUCAUCCAAAUCGCAUUUCAAACGGCUAAGAUUUGAUCAAAACAAUUUUGACCUCAUGAGCGGCCCAGAUUCAAUCUCAGAUCCGGUUGCACAAAGACUCCACUACAUGGAACCCAAUCCCUCAACUCGCGGCUCGGCUCCACCCGACUCGGCUCAAUCGAGGCUGAUGACAUGGCAUGUGGGUCCCACUAUGCAGACGUGUCUGCUGACUGGUCGCUGCCAUGACAUGCCAACUAUGCAUGCUGAAGCAUUGAUUACAUCAUGAUGAUGUCAUCCUCCAUCCCACUCAGUAUGUGGGUCGGCUCAUCUGGUAUUCGGGUCUGGUCGGGUCAGCCCAUCCGAACGAAGAAGACACGUGCGACACGUGGCCAUCCAAUUCGCCGACGCGUGGGGGCGCAUGCGGCCAUGUCCGACGUUCGAUUUUGACGCAGCUUUCACCAGUGACUUCAUCUCUUCCGCCUCUAUACGAUGGUUUGGUCAAAACACAAUUUUGACAACUUUCAUUUUUGAGCAAAAAUCAAACACCACUUUAAACCAUAUGCUCUGAUACCAAUUGUUGGAGAAUCCGACCGGUGAUGUAUUGACAGUUGCCCAUUGGAGGCUAAACACACUGACACAAUAUUUAACAUGGUUUGGAAAACCGCCUACAUCCACAGGAGAGGUCCAUAUUAUUCGAGAUAGAGAAAGGAUACAAAACAAAUACAUGGAGGAGGAGGAUCACUUAACUCAAACUCGACAACCCAGCUUUCAUUGCUGCCCUUACAACUCCUCUCAUUCUCUCUUAUUCUCUUCACAUGCUCUCUACACUCUUUCAUUUUGCUCUCAAAUAAUGCCUCUAUUUAUAGGCAUCAAUGGUAAGACAAGAUGCUAUCAAUUAUGAUACAAAUGGUGGCAGCACAUGGGUUGCACCAUUUUUGUCAAUGAUUUGUGCAAUUUCCAUUGUAGCCUUUUAACAAUAUAUAGCAACCCUACUUCUUAGGAUAGAUGCACAUGUUGUUGCCUAUUAAUGGCAAUAUCCCAACAAUUAAGAAUCUCAGCAUCAAUGGUAUCAUCUUCCAAUUCAAUGAUGUUCCUCUUUUCCCUAAUGCAUUGCAGGGCAGAUUCGCUACAAAGAGACGCAAGAUCUGCCUCAAAAUACCCCUGAGUUCCCUUUGAGAUCUCUGUUUGUUCGGUUGCUAGCAAUAACCCUUUUGAGGCAGCUUUUCCUUCCGAAACUGACCUUAGCAAAUGAAUGCCAAAUUAAGAUCUUAAACGAGGUAGUUUUAGUGAAAGGAAUGCUAAAACAAGUUCAUUAUUUGUACGCAGAUAAAAACUAGUUCAUUAUUUGUCAUUAUCUGUGACUCGCAAUAAGCAAUGGAUCAUUAAAUGACCCCAACAACAGCAUCACCCUUUUCAAUACAAAGGUAUCGUGUCUCGCGUCUAUGCAUUCAUUUUAUGUAACUGGAAGAUUCCAGUUUACUGGGUUUGUUUUUGUGGCAACAGAGGUUUCUUUAUGAUCUUCAUGGUUAGAAGACCCGGCCUCAUGAGUGCAGGGUCGAUUGUAUCAGGCCUGUUGGUAGCACCAAUUACGAAGACGGUUUUCUUUUCUGAUAAACCAUCCAUAUCUCAGUUAGGAGUUGGUUCAAAACUCUAUCCGCGGCACCACCAGCAUCUCGUACACUGUUUCCUCUUUGAAUAGCAAUGGAGUCAAGUUCAUCGAAAAAUAGGACACAAGGAGCAGACUGGCGUGCCUUGUCCAAAACAUCCCUUGCAUUUGCUUCACUCUCUACAAACCACAUCGUUAGAAGCUCAGGACCCUUGAUUCUGAUGAAAUUAGCUUGACAUUCAUUGGCAAUAGAAUUAGCCAGCAAUGUUUUGUCACAGCCAGGAGGACCAUAGAAAAGAACUCCUUUAGAAGGUGACAUGCCAAACUUCUCAGGAUGCUCCACCGGAUAUUGAACAGUCUCUUGAAGCUCCAUCUUGACCUUCUCAAGACCACCAAUAUCCUCCCAUCUAAAAUUGGGAAUUUCCACAAUGGUCUCACGAAGAGCAGAAGGAUUGCUGGUUCCGAGAGCAAUGUUGAAAUGCUUAUUUGUAACAGCCAUGGAAUUAAGAAUCUCAGCAUCAAUGGUAUCUCUUCCAAAUCAAUGAUGUUCCUCUUUUCCCUAAUGCAUUUUAGGGCAGAUUCACUACAAAGAGACGCUAGAUCUGCCCCAAUAUACCCCUGAGUUCCCUUUGACUAGUUUUUCCAAGUCGACAUCUUCAGAGAGCUUCAUCUUCUUUGUAUGGACACGAAGAACCUCAAGGCGACCAGCUUCAUCUGGAACACCAAUAUCUAUUUCUCUGUCAAACCUUCCAAACCUCCUCAAUGCAGGGUCUAGACCGUUAGGCCUGUUUGUAGCUCCUAUCACAAUAACAUGGGCACGGGCCUUUAGCCCCAUCCAUGAGAGUCAGUAGUUGUGAAACGAUUCUUCUUUCUAUUCGCCACCAGUUUUCUCACGUUUGGGAGCAAUUGAAUCAAUCUCAUCAAUAAAUAUAAUUGCCGGGGCAUUCUUUUCAGCUUCUUCAAAAGCUUUUCUGAGAUUUUGCUCACUCUCUCCUGCCAUCCUGGACAUGAUUUCUGGUCCGUUGAUACAAAAGAAGAAAGCCCCAGUUUCAUUAGCAAUAGCCCUCGCUAUCAAUAUUGUUUUACCAGUUCCAGGAGGACCAUAAAGCAGAAUUACUUUCGGUGGCUUCACACCAAUAAUGGUCUUGAAAAGUUGAGGAAACCUUAAUGGCAGUUCAACCAUUUCCCUGAUCAGUGCCAAUUGUUUCCUAGCACCACCAUUAUCAUCGUAGCGAAAUCGAUCAAGACUUUCCUCAUCUUCCCUCUUUACAGCUUCCCCUUCACAGAAGAUCUCUGUAUCAGGCGCAACCACACAGUACUAAGCAGGAUCCGCCCAGUGACCUUGAACUCCACACUCUUCAUUCCUGCUCUGAUGAGGUAAUCAAACAGACUACCAUUAAGGCCUUCAACUGUGUCAUCCAAAGGCAGAAUAUGAACCCUCUUGCCAUACCGUAAAUUCGGACAUACCUGCACCGAAACCAUAUCACCAAGCCUGACCCUUAAGUUUGACCUCACAAUCUUAUUCAUCAAAAUCUUGGACUGAUCGCAGCUAUCAUCAGCUAAGGCAGUACAAACUGUACCCCUCCUCUUCUUUCCCUUGAUCAACAAGUUAUCUCUGCGGAAAAUAUCAAGUUGCUCCAUUAAUGUAGCUGGAUUGAGUGUGAUGACAGAGUUGUCAUCGUUAAUGGCUUCAUCAACGAGAAGCCUGCUGGGUGCCUUCUUGCGAUCCAUGAUUGCAUAACUAAAACCUCUCUUUCUUUUGUUUGUGCCCGCCUGAUCUCUCUUAACCCAAAGAGCGAGCAAAUCUUUUUGAAUGAACAAUAAUGUCGAUACCACUGUGUUUAUAAACAAGUCUCUAGUCCCUUUUACGUACGCGUUGUUUAUGGAAUCAGACAAGUGCUCGGAUUUUAUAGAAAUUAUAUCUGAUUUAGGUUUCCGCUUCUAUUCGGUUUCAAGCCCUAUAUGUUUCUUGUUAGAAUUAGGAUUUCAAACAAAUUUUUUUUUUUUUUUUGUUAAUUUCAAACAAAAAUUUUAAAACCUGACUGGGGCUAACAUAUAGAUAUUUUCAGGGCUUAGCCGAUUUGUUUAUCCUAUUUUUUUAUAACCUGGUCUGGGUCAAGUUUUCAGCCAGUUAUAUCCCGGCCGGUCGAUCUAUCAUGCCAAUCUAGAUUUUAAAACAAUUAUCCUUUUUUUUUUUCUUUUGCUUAUUAAGAUUUUUUUUUUAAGAAAAAAUAAGUAGGCCAUAAUAUAAUUAGUGUCUGAGGAGUUUCAAUUAAUAUAAUCCAUGGGGCUGUAGGACAUUAACAGUUCAAUAAUUUCACCAUUGAAAGGAAAAAAUAGAAACGUAAUACCUCAAUUAAUAGUUGGGAAAUUGACAAGGAGGGAAAUAUAUUCAUAUUUUUUACAUGGAUUUAUGAGGUCGAGGACCUCGUAUAUUUUACAUAGUAUACAGGUUCGUCCCUCAUCAAAAUUAAUAAUUUCUUAAUCCAAUAUCUAUUUUAAAAUAAUAAAUAUUUUUAUUCUUUUUUUACUCAAGUACUGAACUUACCAGUAAUUUGAUUUUGAAAGAAAUCAUAGACAGGUGUUUAAGCAUUCAAAAUACUUUUAUAUUUCAAAACUUGACAAUAUAAAAGGUUACAGAAUUUAAUUUGAGGAAACGAAAGUCAGCGUAGGAAAUAUAUUUUUUUUAUAUAAAAAAAAUGAACAUUUGAAGCUGAAACCAUAAUCAAUUUCGUCAUUAAAAUUUUUAAAUAAAAAAACUACAAAACAAGUUUUCUUGAAUUUUUUCAACUCUUCAUUUUCUGGUCACAUAUUUUACUUCUUAUUUUAAUUUCUAUUUUAAUUUAAUUUAGUAGAAAAAAAGAAAGCAAAGAAAGAUAACAAAGAGAAGGAAAACGAACGAAAAAAAAAAGAUUAAAAAGAAAAGAAAAGGAGAAAGAUAAUGAAAAUAAAAGAAGAAAAUAAAAGCAAGAGAUGGAAGCCCAGAUUCACAUCACCUAACUAGAGUCUGAAUUCAUCUUUUAUAUUGUCAAGUUUUGAAAUAGCAUAGCAUUUCAAGCAUAACAAAAAAAAAAAAAAAAAAAGCAAAAUAGAGGGAUACACGCGCGUGCGCACACCGUAGUAUUAGAAUAAUAUAUACAUGUAUAUAUAAUUUCUUCAUUUAAUAAAUAGAUAUACCUCAAAUAUAUACAAAUCUUUUAUUUUAUAUUGAAUAAUAAAUAUUUAAAAUACUAUAAAUAAAAUAUAAAUAUAUAAGUUUUUUAUUUGAUAAAUAAUAAACAUAAUAUAGAUAUAAUAGAAACUCAACCCCUAAAUACUAAUAGCUAUAUAUAGCUCGAUAGCAGACUCCAAUUAUGUGGAAUUAGAAAGUCCUGCCAUUACAUAUAUAUGGCAGUCCAUUAUAUUUUGAUGAAAAAAAAACUAUUAGGGUGUGCUAUCAUCAAUGAGCAAUUGUCAUCUUACGGAGUUGAAAUUCUAUAUAUUUAAAAAAUAAGAUUCCGUACCCCUUCGGAAUGGAAGCAGGCUGCUACCUGGAUAAGAGGUUCAGAAUACAUUGCAACUCCAACAUGACUCCGAGGCUUUCUAUAAAUGGAAUCAAUCUAGAGGAGUUGAACAUCCCUGUUGACGAAGGCACAAUUCACGUCAAAUUUCCGAUUUUCUAUUCAAGUAAUUGUCGAGGCAAAGAAAGCAAUCCAGUUAUUGUGAAUUUGGAAGGAAGCCCUUUUGUCUACUCAGAAAAAUGGAACAGAUUUGUUGUGGUGGGUUGUAACAACAUUGUCUUGAUGACCCAAAAUGACUCAAUCUAUGGUGGGUGCAUGUCUAUUUGCGAUGAGAGCAGCAACUCUGCUAGAAAUCAUGCGAGUUGCAAUGGCAUCAACUGCUGCCAGAUGAGAAUCCCGUCGCAUCUAAUGUCUUUCAAUGCAGUAUUCAAGGAUCUUGACGGUGGUCAAGGUAGAGGCAGGGAUCCAUGCAAGCAUGCCUAUUUAAUUAGUAGAGCAAAGAUGGUUCCAUGAUAGGCUCAAUAGUAGUCUUGAGACCCCUUACUCGGUGACAGAUAUGGACUCUGUGCCUGUGGUGCUGGACUGGAUGAUAGAUUUAUUGGAUAUUGAAAGGAAUGGAUUAUUAGCAGAUAAUAAAACAUGUCAUUUUCAUGUUAACAAUUACGAUAACAUUUAAAGCAAACAGAAAUCCUUAUCUUCCUGCUGCUUGUCCAGGUAAACUUUCUCUCUGUCACGAAAAUGGAAGCCUUGUAAAUAGAAUUCAGGGGCUUCCAUUUUUGUUCCAUUUUCUUCUUACUGAAAACAAAUUAUUACUGGAUUACUUAGGGCUAAUAUCUGUUUCUUCGUCUAUAUAUAUGGAUAUAUUCAGAUAUCAAUGAAUUUGAGGACCCUCGUUUCAACGAUUGUUGGAAGAACAUGGUCUGCGUAAAUUUUGAUGCUGGAUAUGGCUGCUUCCCACCCGAAGUCAAGAAGUCUCCGGUUAAAAUUGUGGUUGUAGGUAUGCCCCUCUGCCCAACAUAUAACAUAUUUUUAUCUUACUGAGCAUCAAGAAUUCUCUACAGAGCAUCGCAAGGAAUUGUUUGCAAUAUGGGAAUAUAUUUAUUUCUUGAUUCAUGCAGGUAUUUGUGCUGCCCUUGGGGUGUAGUUUCUACUUUACAAAGUUGCAAAGAAGAGUAAGGGGAUUGACAAACUCAAGAAGAAAUUCUUCAAACAGGAUUAUGAUUUAUUGUUACAAGAAGGGUUGCCCUUAGCAGAAGUCGAUGUUGAAGAAAUGAUGUCUCACGUAGAAGAGGCUGAUCCCACUAUUUAAAUCCAUCCUAAAAGUUUUGGAAUGAUACAUAUUGAUUACAGAUUGUUGGAAAAUUCAUGGAAAGAUAAUGUAGGUUCUGAAACUCAUUGCUGAUGUUGAGUGUAAAAAAAAUCUGUCAAGCCCAUCUCACCUUGGGCUGGUCUGGGCUGCGAUCACCUUUCCUGGUCCAGGCCCAGGCGAGGUGAAACUCCCCAUGCAUGAGCGAGACUCGCCCCGGCCUGCCCUGUAUAUAUUCUUUCUUCCUAUUUUUUUACACAUUUAUUUUAUAAAAUUAUAUAAACCAUUCACCAGUAAUUUUUUCUACCGCUUACGCACUACAAUAAUAAUAUCUCUCCAUUUAUUAAUACCCUGAUAAAGCAUCACUCUACAAAGUAAACUACACCAUUCACCGUGUGUUAUUCACGGUCCAUUUUCUUAGAAAGAACUUCAAUCCCAUCAAGGUAAGGGGGAUUUUAGGGUUAUUUGGAACUGAGUUAUGUUUCUCUAAAUUUAAAAAAAAAAUUGUUUAAAAUUAAUAACUUUUAUGUUUUUUUAUCGCUUUAGUUAAAAAUAAUUUUUUAAAUAAAUAAAAAAAUAUUUUAAAAAAUAAUUGUUAUCACACUUAUAAAUACUUUUUAAUGAUUAUUAGUCAACUCACUCUCCACUAAACAUAGAACUCAUUUAAGAAAAGAAAACACAUCGAUUUUUUUGAAAGAAAAAAAAUUAUUAUUUUUAUCUUCUUAAAUUAUUUUAUUUACUUGUCAUUGGAAAGACUUCAAAAACUAAUUAAAUAUAAAAAAAUUUCUCAAUGAAAGAUUUAUUUUACAGAAUCAACACAACACGGACUCAAAACUUACUAAUCAAGAAAAGUCCAUUUCCAUGUAAAGAUUUUGGUUCAAUAUUUGUUUUAUUUUUUUCCUUUUUGAUUUUUCUUUUUGACACUGAAUAUGAAUUUGAUAUUUACACAUUUAAUGUUAUUUUGUAAUUGAUUGAAACUUUGAAAUGAUUUUUAUUUUAAAAUAAAAUGAUGAAAAGACUCUAUUAAAAUUUUAAUAAAUAUAGAAGAUCUAAAUUAUGAAAAACAAUUAUGUUAAAAAACCAAAAAUCAUAAAAUAAUUUUCUAUAUUAAGAAAAAAAAAGAAAUAUAUCAUGUUGUAGCAUUUAAUUUAUGUUAUGAAAUAGAAAAGAUAAAUACAAAUGGGAUAAGAAUAUACUUUAUAGCAAGGACGGAGAUAAAAACCAUAAAUUAUAUGAUUUUUAUCCCUCCAAAAAGGAGGAAUUGAUGGAAUAUGGGCCGAGGACAACAUUUAUUAUUAUAAAAAAAAAACUGUGCAUUUUUUUUUUGAUAAUUUGAAUAUAUGAGAUAUCUUCUAAAUAACUUUCACAUCACUUAAAAUUAAAUCUUUCCUAUGAUAAAAAAAAAUUCAAGUAAUUUGGGAUGAAGUUUUAUACAUGUUUUGGAUAAUUAGUUAAUCUUUUAAUAUUAAUAAUCUAAUUUAUUUAUUUUAAUUAAGGUGAUUAGAGAAGGAUGUCGAAUACCUGCAAAAAGUUUUAUUUGGUUAAUUUAAGGACUCUCUAAUAAUUAAGUCAAUGAGUUUUUGAGAGAAAAUACAAUAAUAUUACAAGGAGAUGUUCUGAAAAUAAUUAUGCAGUAGAGAAUAAAGAUUUCAAAUCUUUUUUGGUUAAAAGAUUCAUGGUCUAUUUAUAGCACAUAAGUCUCUUUUAUAAAAAAGAAAGGCUAAAAUAUAAUAUUACCCUAAUGAUUUUAAGGAAAAAAAAAUAUUAUUGACAUAUAUAUUAAUAUUAAUGGAAAAUAUAUCUAAUAUAAGUAUUAAUGAGAAAAAAUAUAUCUGAUAUAUAUAUUAAUAUUGAUGGAAUUAUAGUGGGUACUAAGAGAGCUUUUACAUAGUAUCCCUUACUCAAUAAUAAUAUAAAUGAAAAUAUAGUGGAAUCUAGAAGAAUUUGAUAUAACUAAGGGUGUAAAAAGAAUAUGAAGCAAAAUGUAGUUGUGUCCAUGGAAUUAGAUUAUUCCUUUAAUUGAAUCCAUAAAAAAUGUUUUUUGAGGGUGUUUUUAGACCCAUUAAAUCUAGAUUUACCACUUUUAUUUUAAAAAAAUUAAAAGACAUACCUCGCACACCAGUUUAUUACAAUUAAAAAAAGUUUAAUAUGAUCAUGGUUUUUCUAUUAUCUUCACUCUUCGGGACCCGAUAUUUUAGUCCACUUCAUUAAAGAAUUGCCAUUGCUCGAGCUUUAACAAGGAAGGCUGGGCUUAGGCUACUCGAUGAAGCAACAAGUGCACUAGAUGCUGAGUCUGAGAGGUCUGUCCAGGAAGCCCUGGAUCGUGCCUGCUCAGGAAAGACCACAAUUGUUGUUGCACACCGGCUAUCAACUAUAAGAAAUGCUCAUGUCAUUGCUGUGAUUGAUGAUGGUAAAGUAGCAGAGCAAGGAUUCCACUCGCAUCUAUUGAAAAAUUAUCCUGAUGGGAGCUAUGCCCGCAUGAUACACUUACAAAUUAAGGUUCACACAUAGCGAAGUCAUUGGAAUGACCUCAUGUUCAAGUUCACAGAGCAAGGAUCCUGUUAAACAAUUGACAUUUUUUAACUCUAGUGUUUCAUGUUGUUUGAUCAAGUAUUGUCUGUUUUCUUUUCUUUCAUUUCUGUUUUGAUCUUGUCAAAAUAAAUCCCUUGUUUUUCUGAAGUUGUUGUUGAGAUUAGUGGCAGCACAUUGUCCACUACAAUUGUUAAGUUUUCUCAUGUAUUUAAAGACAUGCAGUUAAUGAAAUACUCACUGAGACAUUUCAUCAAACACCUUGUGUGUAAUUCGUGUUCUUCAAAAUCCAGCAUUUGUUGUUCUUGAUUGUGCAUCCCUUCACCUGCACAAAACACAACAACACAAUUCUUAACAGUGGUAUCAGAGCAUCUCAGAUCUUACAGGACCAAAACACCUUUUUUUCAAAAUCUCAAAAAUGACAUCCAACAACUUACUUUUAAACUCCCACAUUAUAUUCACUGGCGAAAACUACCAUAUUUGGUCAGUGAAGAUGCAAGCUUUUCUUGAAGCUUAUGAUCUUUGGGAAAUUGUUUCCGAAGACAAACCAGUAGCUCCCUUACCAACAAAUCCCACUAUGGCUCAAAUCAAGUUCAGCAGUGAGGAAAAGGCAAAGAAAUCCAAGGCAAAAUCAAUCAUCCAGAAUUCUGUGGCAGAAAGCAUUUUCUACAGAAUUAUGGCAUGCAAUUCAACUAAAGAGGCUUGGAACAAACUAAAAGAAGAAUACCAAGGCAGUGACAGAACAAGGCAAAUGCAAGUGCUGAAUUUGAAGAGAGAUUUUGAGGCACUUAACAUGCAAGAAGAUGAAACAAUCUCCAAGUAUUCUGAUCGAAUUUCACUAAUUAUCAACAACAUCAGAUUACUUGGAGAAGACUUUCCUGACAGUAGGAUUGUGGAGAAGGUUCUUGUGACUCUUCCUGAGAGGUUUGGAUCCAAAAUCUCCUCUCUAGAAGAAUCAAAGGACCUCAGUAAAAUCUCAUUAGGUGAACUAAUGAGUGCUCUUCAAGCACAGGAGCAACGAAGAACAAUCAGGCAAGACAGAUUGACCGAAGGAGCCUUUUAUGUGCAAAAACACCAAGCUGGAAAAGGAAAGAAGUUGCCUAAUCUGAGAUUCAAAGGCAGAAAUGAAGGGGGCAGCACUAGUGAAGCUUCAAAACAAAAGAAGUUUCCUCCUUGCACUCACUGCAAAAGAAACACACAUUCAGAAAAAUAUUGCUGGUGAAGGCCAGAUGCAAUUUGUGGAAAUUGCAAGCAAUCAGGGCACAUCACAAAGGUCUGCAAGUUUAAAAACUCAGAUCCAAAACCUCAACAAGCUCACCUAGCAGAUGAAGUUGAUACACAGGAGGAGCAAUUCUUUGUUGAGUCAUUUAUACCUGAAAUCAGUCAAAAUUUGUUGAGUGUUGGACAAAUGAUGGAGAAAAACUAUUCUCUUCAGUUUAAGGAUCAUAAAUGCAUUAUCUUUGAUCCUUCUGGAGAACAAGUGUUCUGUGUAAAGAUGAAAAACAGAAGCUUUGUUGUUGAUUGGGAUAAAGUAUCCAAUCAUGCAUAUGUGAGUGCUACUCAGGAUGUUUCAAAUCUUUGGCAUAAAAGAUUUGGACAUUUCAAUCAAAAGGGCUUGUCAAUUCUGAAACAAAAGGAAAUGGUUGAAGCAUUGCCCACAUUGAAUGGUGAGAUUCAAUUGUGUGAAACAUGUCAACUUGGCAAGCAAUCAAGGCCACCAUUUCCUAAAAGGCAAGCAUGGAGAGCUAGCCAAAACCUUCAGCUCAUCCACACUGACGUGUGUGGACCUAUGAAGACAGCCUCAUUAUGUGGUAACAAGUAUUUCAUUCUCUUUAUUGAUGAUUAUACUAGGAUGUGUUGAGUGUAUUUCAUCAAAUUUAAGAGUGAAGUAUUUACAAUCUUUCAAACAUUCAAAGCUUUAGUUGAGAAUCAAAGUGACAUGCUAAUUAAAUGCUUAAGAUCUGACAAUGGUACUGAAUAUACCUCAAAUCAGUUUCUUGAGUAUUGCAACAGCAGAGGCAUUGUGCACCAGUACACUACACCAUACACACCACAACAAAAUGGUGUAUGUGAGAGGAAGAACAGGACAGUAAUGGAGAUGGCUAGAUGUCUCUUACUUGAAAAGAAAAUGCCAAACAAAUUAUGGGCAGAAGCAGUCAAUACCUCUGUUUACUUGCUGAACCGACUUCCAACUAAAGCACUGGAGGACAAGACACCAUACGAAGGCUGGAAUGGUGUUAAACCUGUUGUAGAUCAUCUUCGAAUCUUUGGCAGCAUAUGUUAUUAUCAUAUAGCUGAGCCAAAGAGGAGCAAACUUGACAACAAAGCUCAGAAGAGAGUUCUUGUGGGUUAUGAAAUAACAACCAAAGGAUACAGAAUUCUUUGCUUACAAACAGAGAAGGUAAUUCUCAGCAGAGAUGUGAAGGUUGAUGAAGCAAUCACAUGGGAUUGGGAACAUCAGAAAAAUAUUAUUUCUGAUCAACCAUUCACCAUUCAGCCUCAGCUGGUAGCUGAUGAAUCAGUGGAUGAUUUUCCAGUUAGAGGCACAAGAUCAUUGGAAGAUAUUCACCUAAGAUGCAACAUGGCAAUUCUAGAACCAACCAGCUAUACUGAAGCUCAAGAAUUUCCAGCAUGGAGGAGAGCAAUGGAGGUAGAAAUGGAAAUGAUCAACAAAAAUGCAACAUGGCAGCUGAUUGAAAGGCCUAAGCAUCGCAAGGUGAUAGGUGUAAGAUGGGUUUUCAAAACAAAACUCAAUUCAGAUGGGUCAAUAUGCAAACACAAGGCUAGAUUGGUGGUAAAGGGCUAUGCUCAGCAAUAUGGUGUGGAUUACCUAGAGACCUUUGCUCCAGUAGCAAGGUAUGAUACUAUUAGACUUCUUAUUACACUUGCAGCACAUAACUCUUGGCAGAUUCACCAACUUGAUAUCAAGUCUGCCUUCUUGAAUGGAUUUCUUGCUGAAGAAAUCUUUGUAGAGCAACCCGAUAGGUAUGCUGUUAAAGAUAAAGAAGAGCAUGUGUAUCUACUUAAGAAGGCCUUGUAUGGGUUGAAACAAGCUCCCCGAGCUUGGUAUGACAGAAUGGACACACAUCUGCUUCAACUUGGGUUCAGCAGAAGCCAAAAUGAAGCAACUUUGUAUGUGAAAUCCUGUGGUAACCAUUUUCUAAUUGUAUCUAUUUACGUAGAUGAUAUGCUCAUCACAGGAAGUGAACUUGGAAUGAUCCAAGAGUUCAAAGAUGAAAUGAAGAAGAUGUUUGAGAUGUCUGACCUUGGAAUGAUGAAUUACUUCCUUGGAAUGGAAGUGAUGCAAUCCAGCAAUGGCAUUUUUACAUGCCAAAAGAAGUAUGCUUCAGACAUCCUAAAAAGAUUCAAAAUGGAGGAUUGUAAACCAGUGGGGACUCCUAUGACAACAAGUAUCAAGCUUAGCAAGGAUGAUGAAUCUGAAAAAGUGGAUGAAAGUUUGUAUAGAGGCUUAAUUGGGAGCCUUCAAUAUCUCACAGCAAGUAGACCUGACAUAUUGUUUGCUGUGAGUAUUCUUUCAAGGUUCAUGCAUUCUCCAAGGGAGACUCAUUUUAUUGCAGCAAAAAGGAUACUUAGAUACAUCAAAGGUACCAUUGAUCUUGGUAUUUUCUGUCCAAGAUCAUCAGAAGGGGCUGUGGAACUAAAAGGCUAUACUGACAGUGACUGGGGAGGCUGUGUUGAUGAUUCAAGAAGCACUUCAGGGUAUUUAUUCUCACUCAAUUCAGGUGUCUUCACCUGGAGUUCAAAGAAGCAAGAGACAACAGCUCAAUCCACUGCAGAAGCAGAGUACAUUGCUGCUGCCGCUGCUGUCAACCAAGCAAUUUGGUUGAGGAAAAUGUUAAAGGAUUUGGGACAUGAACAGGUUGAAGCUACUAAAAUCAUGUGUGAUAACAGUUCUGCAGUAUCAAUUUCAAAGAAUCCAGUCUUUCAUGGACGUACAAAGCAUAUCAAAAUCAAGUUUCAUUUUAUUAGAGAAGUUCAACAAUCUAAUGAAGUGAUGCUGAUUCAUUGUUCUUCCGAAGAACAACUUGCAGAUAUAUUUACCAAACCACUACCUAAAGAGAGAUUUGAGACAUUAAGACAAAUGAUUGGAAUUUGUCGUCAAAAUGUCAAGGAGGAGUGUUAGACAAUUGACAUUUUUUAACUCUAGUGUUUCAUGUUGUUUAAUCAAGUAUUGUCUGUUUUCUUUUCUUUCAUUUCUGUUUUGAUCUUGUCAAAAUAAAUCCCUUGUUUUUCUGAAGUUGUUGUUGAGAUUAGUGGCAGCACAUUGUCCACUACAGUUAGUGGCUGAUAACUAGGGAGGUUUGUUAAAUUUUCUCAUGUAUUUAAAGACAUGCAGUUAAUGAAAUACUCACUGAGACAUUUCAUCAAACACCUUGUGUGUAAUUCGUGUUCUUCAAAAUCCAGCAUUGUUGUUCUUGAUUGUACAUCCCUUCACCUGCACAAAACACAACAACACAAUUCUUAACAGAUCCCUUGUGCAUGUGGUUUGUCGCACCUGCUUUCACAAAAAGAUGCCCAAUGUCGGAAGAUAAUUGAGAGAAAGGUGUCCAGGCAUUCCCUGCAUUUUUCAUGUACGAUUAGGAAAUGUGCUCCUAUCACAAAAAGUGUCUGCUUUCAAAUGUCAAUCAAAUCAUGCAAGGAAUCCUGAUCAUGUUUGCAACAAUGAUCGAGGGCUUGUGCAAUUAGGCUACAAGGGCUAUCAUGCAUGCCAGGAUUCCACUACUCUCCGACUUUUACUGAUGGAAAAAGAAUGGACCCAAUGACAAUGGAUGUAGACCCGAACAUAUUCCUGGCGAUUCGAAAUCAUCCAAUCUUGAGCUUAAUAGGAUGCGUAUCUAUUUAUGAUUUGGUUUGUGGGGAAGGAAAUUAUUGAGUGUCAAAGUUCACAUGCAUGGUGGUUGGUAGCUAGCACGUGUGUCAUUUGAGUGUCCAAGGACAAGAUAGCUCCGUGCGAAACAAGGACAAGUACUACCCCGAAGAGGGGACCUCGUUGAAAUCAAUAGACCACGCUCCUUCGACCAUUAGUAGAAGCUGGUGGUGAUGGUGGUGGUGGAUAAGCGGGAGACAAAAGUUUAGGAUAUGGCAUUUCGAAAAUGACAGCGGGAGACAAGGACGUUAGCGUGCACAGAUGGGCUUUAAUGGCGCUCUUGUUUUCAAGAGUUCAGAGCAUUAUGUUUUUGGAGGGACACUGGAUGAUGACUCUCUGUUAAUAAGUAACGACUUCAACAGCUGUUUCUAAUUACGGGCAGCUAGAACACACAAUUACAGAACAAAUGGAGGAAAGUGCUACAAGUCUAAAACCAAUACCACAAGGAUAUUUAAGUUUGACAUACAAACACAAAAUUAAGACAUCUAGUAAAUAAUUUCAAUAUGUAUGAAAGAGUGGUUUUUCAUCUAGUGAUGAAGGAGCACCAAUAUCGAAGCUGGAAAUUGUUGAGGCAUAAGUAACAUCCCAAGGUGCUCCCAUCACUUCAUUUCUGUCAUAUUCAUUCUCUUGUUGGACGAUCAAGUUUUCGGAUUUUUUAAUCCUCUCCAACACCAUUGUGACUUCCUUCAUCGUAGGCCUUUCUUUCCCAUUUAACCUCAAGCAGCUCCUAGCCAAGCUAGCAACCAUCAAUACUUCCUCUCUUUCCCCUUGCUUCGCAACCUGAGGAUCAAGAAUAUCAAACAGGCAGUUGCUCUCCAUGGCCAUUAUGAAAUAUGUGGCUAAACUUCUGCCUUGUUCUUCUGAUCUUUUGAACGAGAUUGCCUUCUGCCCAGUAAGUAGCUCAACAAGAACUACACCAAAGCUAUAGACAUCACUCUUGUCUGUGAAUUGGCUUGAUUGGAAGUACUCUGGAUCCAAGUACCCAAAGGUGCCUUGUACUUGAGUUGUGACAUGAGUUUGGUCGAUGCUUACGGACCUUGAAGUCCCAAAAUCUGCAACUUUGGCUCUAUACUUCUCAUCAAGCAGGAUGUUUGUAGACUUGAUGUCUCUAUGAAAAAUGGGGAGGGAGGCUGCUGAAUGUAGAUAGAAAAGUGCCCCUGCUACCUCUGCUGCAAUCCUUAAGCGCAUUUCCCAAGUUAAAGGGAAUUCCUCGUUAGGGUCAUGGAUAAACUGGAAAAGGGUCCCAUUAGGAAUGAAUUCGUAGACUAACAAUGGAAGUUCAGUCUCUAAACAACAACCCAGAAGCUUAACCACAUUUCUAUGGUUAAUUUGGGAUAGAAGGACGACCUCGUUGAUAAAUUGUCUGAGAUUCCCUUCAUCAAUUACUUUGGAUUUCUUGACUGCAACGAUUUUUCCAUCCGCCAACAUCCCUUUGUAAACUGUUCCUUGGCCUCCCUGGCCCAGCUUUCUAUUCACAUUGUAAUGAUCAGUGGCCUUGUCUAAUUCUUUCGAAGGAAACAUUUUGAUUUUCUCAACAUUGACUUCACCUGAAGAUAGUUGUUCUUGCAGUAAGAGACCACCAUUCCUCUUAAAGUACUUUUUCUUUAGUUUUUCACUCCUCUUUCUCUUGAAUACUUUGUACAACCACCAUAAAACAAUAAGCAGUGCUCCAAAUCCCACUCCAACACCUACACAAGUCAACCAAUUGCAUUCAACUCCUUUUUAGAGCUGAACUCAGAAAAACAAAUUCUGUCUGUUUGCUUGAGUAAUGGUGCAGUAUUUGCGAUUAUUUGAUGCUGCUGGGAUAGGAUUGGUGAUUUUGGGGUUGUACAGCUGCAGCAAGGGUCUAGAUUUUAUCUCUAACUUCCAUUUUGCAGAUUGUCUUUACUACUUAACCAGGCAACAGAGUCUGUAUCCUAUAACAAAGUUGAUGGAUCAGUAAACCAUACAAUGGUAAACCGUGGCAGAAGAAUCUACAGAGCAGGAAUUGUAACCAGGGGUUAAUUUACCAUGACAAAUACCAGAAAGAUAAGGAUUUCCUUCGAAGCCUGGAUUGCAAGAACAUUGAACGGUGGAGCUCUGGUUGGUUGAAUAAAUGGAAGGAUUCACAAUCUUACACAUAGAAGUAUAACUUGAAUUAUAGAAUGAUCCAUUCUUAACAAAUGAUUCAAAUACCCUUUCGUCUAUCCCCUAAUCCAGCACUACGGGAACAUAUAUAGUCCCUAUCUCUUGUCAUAAUAAUAGUCAAAGUUCCCUCUGGCAUAAGAAUACUACCCGUAGUUGAUCUGUGUUUGGGCAGUUAAAGAGGCAUAUGAGUAUCAAACUCAGGUCUCUAAUGGAGGGAACCAAGUAUUAGGAUGAACUGGAAAUAGAGACUGUGAUAUAGUAUUAAUAAUACUGCCCAUCACAGCCUCAUCUAAAUAGCAAGAACUAAAAAUUGGCACAUGUAUAUAUCCUAUCCAAAUUAAAAAUGAGAAACCAAAAAAACGAACAGUUACCUUUAAUGGCACAUGAAAGAUCUAUACACAAUAGUAUGUACAUGAACAUCGGGAUUCCAAAUGAAGAGGAUGAUAUACGAACUUACCGACAGCGACCUGAAUCACUGAUGAUAUAGUACGGAUGCAGCGUUCUCCAUCUAUUCUCCCAUCUCCAUAGUACCCCUUGGGGCAAGAACAUGUAUAAUUCCCUUCGGUGUCGAUGCAUAUGUGGCUGCAAUUGUGGGCUACUUUUGGAUCUGAACAUUCAUUAAUGUCUGUAGAAGCAUCAUAAAGAGAAGCCUUUAAGUAAAACUAUAGUAAAUUCUCAUAAUUUCAUGUAAUCCAAUUUCGAAAAAUCAGAUUAGAGAUCUCCUCGAAAUCAAUUACAAAUAAUUUAACUCUCUUCAUGCAAGUAAAAAAUUAUAAAAAAGGGGAUAAAAUGAAGAAAAAGAAAUGCAUACUUCGGCAACCAUUUGGGAGGUAUGGAUUUCCUUGAUAGCCAUCUAAGCAUUUGCAAAUGUUCCCAAACCCAUUUUCAGGGUCAUGACAUUUGCUCUGUCCUUGACAUGCAUUAGACAUCUUCUUCUUUUCCAAAGUUUCGCAUUUAUUGCGUCCAAAAUUCCAAUCCACUAUAACAGGAAGCUUACUUACUUUCUCCAAAUCCGACAGGUUACUUGGAAAAAAGCUGAACUGCUUUUCUUCAAUCAUGAAGGCAAAGCUGCAACGAUUGAAUUCCCAGAUUCCCGUAUGAUUUCUGUAACUAGACACGCUCACUUCGAAGUACCUCAUUCCUUUGGCAAUGGAGGUUUGGCAGCAACCAAUUCCGGAGCAUGUGUUUGGCACAUAUGUUUUGUCGCUACAUUUGGAAAUGCAUCCUACCAGGUAUGUAUCAUUCUUGUCUUCUCGGAUACCUAGCAUUUCAGCUACAGUAUCACAGCCGAUAGCGACGAACCUAUUGUCAGUGUCAGAAAAAACGUAUGGACCUUGAACGGGUAGGUUUAUCCAGGGACUGUUUCUCGUUGUUCGUGCACCUUCCCGAUUAUAGCAGUCCUUAGCUAUAUGAUGCAUGAUGCGUAGCUUCCCAUCAAGGGUUAUUUCUGUGACCUCUAAGCUACCAUUUCCUAAAAACGCUUUUGGAGGAUUGAAAGUAUGGUUGCAAGUUAUGAGGAACUUAGAGUCAAAGUAGCAAUCUUUUCUGGUGCCAAAUGGAUAUGGGAUAGUAACAUUCCCACAGCUAUCAUGGCAUCCAGGUUUCGCUAUAGGAAACCCUGUUGCUGCUGUAACUGCUGCUAACAACACUCCAGUUAUUGUGAACUGUAAGGCCAUUCCUCGAAUUCCCAUGACAGCUACUUUUCUGUUUAAUUAAAAUGGAGUCGGGUGGUACAAAACUCUCUAUGGCAGCUAGCCUUUUUUAUAGAGCAAAUUACCACGAUGUUGGUCGAUGGAAGACCAAAUUAUAGGGCUUGAAUGCCAGUUGGGAUAUAUGUGACUGAAUAUCUAAAAGAGCGUGCAUGUGGUAGAGGACUUGCAAGCAAGAACUUACUUGAAUCGAAGCGUUUUUAUUCGAAUUAAGUCAAGGCCCCUAAAUAUGGAAGUGUCAGUACAUUUUUUCCUUGAGAAAUCUCAUUAUAAAAUCCCCAAACUUUGAGGUCAAUUUCAAUUAGGUCCUCGAUUUUCCUUAUCUCAAUUAGAACCUCGACGUAGGAAUGAAUUCUCAGCCAGAUCCAUCAUUUAAUUUACUUGCACUUGCUACGUGACAGAGGUUUGUGUAUUGUAGCCGUCAGCCGUGAAUCAAACGGCGAGGCAAUUGAUUUCAAGAGAUUGCAUGGUAAAUAGAGUGGAUGUGCGAGCUUCACUUGAUAGGUAACCUUUUAAAGUCAAAAUUAUUUGUUAGAGGGGGCCAAAAUUAAUAUAAUAAAAUAUAAUAUUUGUUUUUCUGAAUAUUAAGAUAUUAAAGGUUGGUAUGGCCCUAGAUUAAUGUAUGCCCUUAGAAUUUUAUCUUGUUGAUUAACCGGCUAUUCUCAAAUUUGAGGACGAUUAUUUAGAUAUUUAAUUAAAUGAACAAUGUAGAUUCUAAUAAGAGGUUGCUCACUAAUCAACACAGGUUCUUCGUAAACUGAAGCAUACUGGGACUUAACCAUAACUUCAACAUUACACAUUAGAAUUGAUUUAUCAGGUUGUGAGUCAUCAAUAUUUUUUUUUCAGAAAAAAAAUCAAUUCUUCUUAUUUUGUUCAUGGUUCAACCUAAAAUCAAAAUAUAUUUCGUAAGAAAAAAUUGAUAAUUUUGGUGGCUCUGUUAAAAAUAAAACAUAAAAAAAAUCCAAGCAUAAUUAAAACAAACCAAUAAAAUAUAUCUAAUUAAUUAGAGAAAAAAAAUCAUUAUAAUAAGAAUUCAAAAAACAAUUGGUAGAACUAGCAGAUCUGAGAAAAAAAAAGAGCAAAAAUAGUAGAAUUAUUUAAAAAAACCUCAUGAAAUUAUUAACGAAUAUAUCAAAACAAAGCAAAAAUAGAUUUUAAAUUUAAAUUAUCUUAUUUUGUUUGAUAAAAAAUAAAUUAAUUGAUGGCUCUAUUUUAAUUUUUUUGUAGAAAAAUUUUGUUCAUGAUUUGUAUUUUUAUUUCUCUAUUUAAUCGACCAUAAGAUUUAAAUUAAGAUAAAUUGGUGGCUCUAUGGCUUUAUUUUUUAUUUUACAAAAUAAUUUCUCUAUAUAUUUUUCUUUCCCCGUAUGUGAAGGGAAGAGUGAAUUGAAAAUUAAAAAUAAAGUCACUGUAAUAAGUCCCACCUUGACCUGUGGGUAAUGAAAAAGAAUUAUAAUGCCUUGGGGGGGGGGGGCAGGGCCCCUGCUUGCCCCCCUGACUCCAGGUGAACAGUGCUUCAUCUGAAGUGAACAGUUCCAGGUAAAUAACUACUUACAUUUAAAAAAAAUUAUGUUUUUUAAAUUAUAUUUUAUUCAAAAAAUUAGUGUUUAAUAUUAUUUAAUAACGCUACAUAAAUUAGAAGGAGAUCGCUUGAUGACGUAGCAUUUACAGAAUUUGAUCGUAAGCUCAAUUAUGUUCUUGCCGGGUCCGACCUAGUUAAAAAAAAUUCAGUUUUUAUUUUUAUUUGUAAUUGUGUUUUAUUUAAAAAAUUAGAAGAAGAUCAUUUGAUGACGUAAUAAAAAAUUCAGUUUUUGUUGUUGUGCACUUAAGAAACCAUGGAAAAUAUAGUCCUUGUUGGAUAGAUUUCGUACGUAAUAAAAUUGCACAUAAUUUAAUGAAAUAAUAAAAAAAUAUUUGAUAUCAAUAUUAUUUAUUUCAUGAUGUAAUAACAGUAGUUAAAUCUAUAAUAUUUAAAUUAAAAACCAUCAAUAUAUAUAUAUAUAUAACCUCAAUUUGAAAAACAUUCUUUUAACUAAACACAUUAAACUACAUUUUAUUCAACCUCAAUUUUAACCAUAUUUUUAACCAAAUAUAUAUUUUUUCAAACCAACCUCAAUUAAAAGUACUUUUAAAAAAAUAUUUUUUUUAAAAUUACAAUCAUAACAAUUGCCACAAUACUAAACACACUCGUAAUUCACCUCCAGAUCAGUGCCGUUUACUGUAAGUUUAGGAACAUUGAAACUUUCGUCUAGGUAACAUCCUUCUUUCAUUCCAAACGGAUAUGGAAUACUAAUGUCUCCACAGUAAGAUUCACAUCCAGGCAAUAUCAUAACCUGUGAUUCUGCAGUACGCAAUGAUCAGAACAACAGGAUGACCUGAAAUACUGUUAACUCAACAGCUGCCAUAUUCUUUUUCUUCUUCUUUCAGACAGUAGCUUUUUAGAAGAGAGAAGCUAUAAAACGGGCUCUUACUUGGCAAGUAACCCAGCCAUACAUUAAGUUAUCCAAAAUCCUCUUCUUCUUUCAACUAAUUCUUUCUUUCUUUGUUUUUUCCCUUUCGCCUUCCAUGAGUAGAAAGUUCAAAACCAAAGUCUUUAGAACCACACAAAGAAUUAAGCAGCCAGACUUGACCGAGUCAGUCAAUUACACUAUCCUAUACUAUAGUGGGUUAUAAUUGCAUCAACGGUCUAUUUUUGCCUAACGGUCUACUUUUAUUAGAGGUUGCAGGUUCAAUUCCUCGAAAGGGAAGUCAAUCUCAAUUGCAAAAGCAUCCAAAAAAAAUUCAUUUUCUUUGUUUAUUAAUUUGAACUUGAAAUAUUUAUUAAAGGUUCUUCAACAUUAAAUUUUCUAGCAAUUUCCUAAAGUAUAAUAUAUAUAUAUAUAUAUGACCAAUCAAAUUAAAAAAUCUACAAAUAUUUAAUGCUAACACAAUCCUGCACAAAUCUAAACCACACAUUUUUCUACUUUGAGACGGUAGCUUUUUAGCAGAGAAAAGGAACUUUAAACGGGCUUUCACAUGGAAAGUAAUUAACCCAGCCAUAUGUUAAGCUGUCCAAUCUAUAUAUUAAUUUAAUUUAGUAGAAAAAAGAAAAGAAAAGAAAUAUAACAAUGAGAAGGAAAACAAACGAAAAAAAAAAAGAUUAAAAAGAAAAGAAAAGGAGAAAGAUAAUGAAAAUAAAAGAAGAAAAUAAAAGCUAGAGAUGGAAGCCCAGAUGCACAUGACCUAACUAGAGUCUGAAUUCAUCUUUUAUAUUGUCAAGUUUUGAAAUAGCAUAGCAUUUCAAGCAUAACAAAAAAAAAAAUCAAGCAAAAUAGAGGGAUAUACGCGCGUGCGCACACUCUAGUAUUAGUAAAAUAUAUACAUGUAUAUAUUAUUUUUUUCAUUUAAUAUAUAAAUAUACCUCAAAUAUAUACAAAUUUUUUAUUUUAUAUUGAAUAAUAAAUAUUUAAAAUACUAUAAAUAAAAUAUAAAUAUAUAAGUUUUUGAUUUGAUAAAUAAUAAAUAUAAUAUAGCUAUAAUAGAAACACAACCCGGCCCUAAAUACUAUUAGCUAUAGCUCGACAGCAGACUCCAAUUAUGUUGAAUUAGAAAGUCCUGCCAUUACAUAUUUAUGGCAGUCCAUUAUAUUUUGAUAACAAGGCAUGAUGAAAAAAAAAAAACUAUUAGGGUGUGCUAUCAUCAAUGAGCAAUUGUCAUCUUACGGAGUUGAAAUUCUAUAUAUUUUAAAAAUAAGAUUCCGUACCCCUUCGGAAUGGAAGCAGGUUGCUACCUGGAUAAGAGGUUCAGAAUACAUUGCAACUCCAACAUGACUCCGAGGCUUUCUAUAAAUGGAAUCAAUCUAGAGGAGUUGAACAUCCCUGUUGACGAAGGCACAAUUCACGUCAAAUUCCCGAUUUUCUAUUCAAGUAAUUGUCGAGGCAAAGAAAGCAAUCCAGUUAUUGUGAAUUUGGAAGGAAGCCCUUUUGUCUACUCAGAAAAAUGGAACAGUUAACAACAUUGUCUUGAUGACCCAAAAUGACUCAAUCUAUGGUGGGUGCAUGUCUAUUUCCGAUGAGAGCAGCAACUCUGCUAGAAAUCAUGCGAGUUGCAAUGGCAUCAACUGCUGCCAGAUGAGAAUCCCGUCGCAUCUAAUGUCUUUCAAUGCGGUAUUCAAGGAUCUUGAUGGUUCCAUGAUAGGCUCAAUAGUAGUCUUGAGACCCCUUACUCGGUGACAGCUAUGGACUCUGUGCCUGUGGUGCUGGACUGGAUGAUAGAUUACUGGAUAUUUGAAUCUCUAGAAAGGAAUGGAUCAUUAGCAGAUAAUAAAACAUAUCAUUGUCAUGUUAACAACUACGAUAACAUUUCAAGCAAUCAGAAAUCCAUGGUUAAAUGUUCUUGCAGCGCUGGUUAUCAUGGGAAUCCUUAUCUUCCUGCUGCUUGUCCAGGUAAACUUUCUCUCUGUCACGAAAAUGGAAGCCUUGUAAAUAGAAUUCAGGGGCUUCCAUUUUUGUUCCAUUUUCUUCUUACUGAAAACAAAUUAUUACUGGAUUACUUGGAGCUAAUAUCUGUUUCUUUGUCUAUAUAUAUGGAUAUAUUCAGAUAUCAAGCAAUCAGAAAUUUUGUGGGGGUAUAGGAUUUUCAUAAACAUGCCUAAUGCAUUAUCAGAAUUCGAAACACUUCAAAGAUAAUAAAGAAAAUGAAUCAUAAACAUUGUUGAUGUUGAGUGUAAAAAAUAAACUGCCAAGCCCAUCUCACCUUGGGCUGGGCUGCGAUCACCUUUCCUGGUCCAGGCCCAGGCGAGGUGAAACUCCCCGAGCGAGAGCCUGCCCUGUAUAUAUUCUUUCUUCCUAUUUUUUUACACAUUUAUUUUAUAAAAUUAUAUAAACCAUUCACAGUAAUUUUUUCUACCGCUUACGCACUACAAUAAUAAUAUCUCUCCAUUUAUUAAUACCCUGAUAAAGCAUCACUCUACAAAGUAAACUACACCAUUCACCGUGUGUUAUUCAUGGUCCAUUAUCUUAGAAAGAACUUAAUCCCAUCAAGGUAAGAUGAUAAAAGGGUUGUUUGGAACUGCCUUAUGUUUUUAAAUUUUAAAAUUAUUUUUGUUUAAAAUUAAUAUUUUUAUAUUUUUUAUCGUUUUAAUAUAUCGAUAUAAAAAUUAUUUUUGUUUAAAAUUAAUAUUUUUAUAUUUUUUAUCGUUUUAAUAUGUCAAUAUAAAAAUUAUUUUUUAAACAAAUAAAAAAUAUUUUAAAAAUUAAUCAUUAUCAUAUUUAUAAAUACUCUUUAAUUGCUUCUCAGCUCACGCUCCACAAAACAUUGAACUCGUUUAAGGAAAGAAAACACACCGAUCAAUUUGCAAAAAAAAAAUAUUAUUUUUAUCUUCUUGAAUUAUUUUAUUUACUUGUUAUUGGAAAGACUUCAAAAACUAAUUAAAUAUUAAAGUAUUUCUCAAUGAAAGAUUUAUUUUACAGAAUCAACACAACACGGACUCAAAACUUAUUAAUCAAGAAAAGUCCAUUUCCAUGUAAAUAUUUUGGUUCAAUAUUUGUUUUAUUUUUUUCCUUUUUUAUUUUUCUUUUUGAAACUAAAUAUGAAUUUGAUAUUUACACAUUUAAUGUUAUUUUGUAAUUGAUUGAAACUGUGAAAUGAUUUUUAUUUUAAAAUAAAUUGAUAAAAAGACACUAUCAAAAUAUUAAUAAAUAGAGAAGAUCUAAAUUAUGAAAAACAAUUAUGUUAAAAAACCAAAAAUCAUAAAAUAAUUUUCUAUAUUAAGAAAAAAAAAAUAUCAUGUUGUAGCAUUUAAUUUAUGUUAUGAAAUAGAAAAGAUAAAUACAAAUGGGAUAAGAAUAUACUUUAUAGCAAGGACGGAGAUAAAAACCAUAAAUUAUAUGAUUUUUAUCCCUCCAAAAAGGAGGAAUGGAUGGAAUAUGGGCCGAGGACAACAUUUAUUAUUAUAUAAAAAAAAAACUGUGCAUUAAUUUUUUUUUUUUGUUAAUUUGAAUAUAUGAGAUAUCUUCUAAAUAACUUUCACAUCACUUAAAAUUAAAUCUUUCCGAUAAAAAAAAUUCAAGUAAUUUGGGAUGAAGUUUUAUGCUUAUUUUGGAUAAUUAGUUAAUUUUUUGAUAUUGACAAUCUAAUUUAUUUAUUUUAGUUAAGGUGAUUAGAAAAGGGUGUCGAAUACUUGCAAAAAGUUUUAUUUGGUUAAUUUAGGGACUCUCUGAUUAUUAAGUUAAUGAUUUUUUUAGAGAAAAUAUAAUAAUAUUGCAAGGAGAUGUUCUGAAAAUAAUUAUGCGGUAGAGAAUGAAGAUUUCAAAUCUUUUUUGGUUAAAAGAUUCAUGAUCUAUUUAUAGCAUAUAAGUCACUUUUAUAGAAAAGAGAGGUUAAAACAUAAUAUUACCCUGAUGAUUUUAAUGGAAAAAAAAUUAUCAUUGAUAUAUAUAUUAAUGUUAAGAGAAAAUAUCUCUUAUAUAUAUAUUAAUAUUGAUGGAAAUAUAAUGGUCACUUAGAAAGCUUUUACACACUAUCCCUAACUUAAUAAUAAUAUAAAUGAAAAUAUAGUGGACUCUAGAAGAAUUUGAUAUAACUAAGGGGGUAAAAAGAAUAUGAACUAAAAUGUAGUUGUGUCCAUGGAAUUAAGUCAUUCCUUUGAUUGAACCCAUAAAAAGUGUUUUUUAACGGUGUUUUCGGACCCAUUAAAUCUAAAUUUACCACUAUUAUUUUAAAAAAUUAAAAGACAUACCUCUCACAUCAGUUUAUUACAAUUAAAAAAAGUAUAAUAUGAUCAUGGCUUUUCUAUUAUCUUCACUCUUCGGGACCCGAUAUUUUAGUCCACUUCAUUAAAGAAUUGCCAUUGCUCGAGCUUUAAAUAAGGAAGGCUGGGCUUAGGCUACUCGAUGAAGCAACAAGUGCACUAGAUGCUGAGUCUGAGAGGUCUGUCCAGGAAGCCCUGGAUCGUGCCUUCUCAGGAAAGACCACAAUUGUUGUUGCACACCGGCUAUCAACUAUAAGAAAUGCUCAUGUCAUUGCUGUGAUUGAUGAUGGUAAAGUAGCAGAGCAAGGAUUCCACUCGCAUCUAUUGAAAAAUUAUCCUGAUGGGAGCUAUGCCCGCAUGAUACACUUACAAAUUAAGGUUCACACAUAGCGAAGUCAUUGGAAUGACCUCAGGUUCAAGUUCACGGAGCAAGGAUCCCUUGUGCAUGUGGUUUGUCGCACCUGCUUUCACAAAAAGAUGCCCAAUGUCGGAAGAUAAUUGAGAGAAAGGUGUCCAGGCUUGUGCAAUUAGGCUACAAGGGCUAUCAUGCCAGUGGCAAUGGAUGUAGACCGGAACAUAUUCCUGGCGAUUCGAAAUCAUCCAAUCUUGAGCUUAAUAGGAUGCGUAUCUAUUUAUGAUUUGGUUUGUGGGGAAGGAAAUUAUUGAGUGUCAAAGUUCACAUGCAUGGUGGUUGGUUGCACAUGUGUGUCAUUUGAGUGUCCAAGGACAAGUACUACCCAAAGAGGGGACCUCGUUGAAAUCAAUAGACCACGCUCCUUCGACCAUUAAUUAGUAGAAGCUGGUGGUGAUGGUGGUGGUGGACAAGCGGGAGACAAAAGUUUAGGGUAUGGCAUUUGGAAAAUGACAGCAAGGGAGAUGAUAAGACUUAAGAGAGUUAGAUCAUGGCCUCAUGGGAUGCUCUGUCCUUGUGUUCAUUUCGCGGGCCAUACCCAAUCUCUUUCCAUUAAAGAAAUACAAGGACGUUAGCCUGCACAGAUGGGCUUUAAUGGCGCUCUUGUUUUCAAGUGCUCAAGAGCAUUUAUUAAUUUGUUUAUUUAUUUGUUUAUUAAUUUGAACUUGAAAUAUUUAUUAAAGGUUCUUCAACAUUAAAUUUUCUAUUUCCUAAAGUGUGUGUAUAUAUAUAUAACAUGCAAUUUUAACGAAUCACCUUUCUUUUUUAACUCUAAUAAUGCAAAAAUAUAUAUGAGUAAUCAAAUUAAAAAAUCUACAAAUAUUUAAUGCUAACACAAUCCUGCACAAAUCUAAACCACAUUUUUCUUCUUUGAGACAGUAGAGAAGGAACAAAAACGGGCUUUUACAUGGAAAGUAAUUAACCCAGCCAUAUGUUAAGCUAUCCAAUCUAUAUAUUAAGCUAUCCAGUCUAUAUUUACCCCUUAUCAAACAUACCCUAACAUCAUAUAUAUAUAUCAUGCUAGUUAAAUCUUGACAUUAAUUACAUUUCAAGUUAUAAAUGGUUAGAAUUUUGUUAAGUGGGAUUUUAAUGAAAUUAAAUAUUCUAUCAGCAAACAAAAAAGUAACCAUUAAAUAAAUAGCAUUAACAGGCUCCACAAUAAUUAUUUUCAUUAGUCUAUUUGUUAAUGGUUUUCUUCAACUUGUGGAACGACGUGCAUGUUCCUCCAACUACUUGUUUAACAGCUUAAUUUGAUUUUUCUUGAUUGACUUGGGAAGUCAUCAUGUGUUCUGAACUUGUCGAAGAUAUGAUAGAAGAGACAAGAAACCUGGCUCGUGCGAGGCUCCAUGAACACUUCCAGCAGUGGCAUCUCGUAGACUCAGCUCCACACUGGCUCGUCAGUAGCUUCUUCAUCAGUAGCACCAUGGACCUCUCCAAGCCCUGCACAGCACCGUGAACAAGCGAAGUUUUGGCCAGCCACCACACCUUCGUCAUCGUCCAGACCAGAAGUGGAGGGGAAGUUUUGGCCAGCCACCACCUUCGUCAUAGUCCAGACCAGAUCUGUCACUGUCGUCGGCCGAUCUCUCAUUCUUCUACCGUUGGAUCAACUUGAUUUUUGGGUAUGUUAUGUGUCUCCAUAGUUCCUACAUCCAGACCGGAGGGAUCGUUCAUAUCUGCUGCCGUUUAAGAAAUCUAAUUGUUUGAAGAUUUCUGGACAAACCACUCUCGGAACAGUAAGCUCCGCCGGCCUUUUUCUCACUUUUCUACCGUUGGAUCAAUCUGAAUUUUGGAUAUGUUAUGCUUAUGGUUGUAUUAAACAUUCUGAACGGUGGAGAUGAGAUGAAACCUUUCCAGCAAAGUGUUAUGAAUGUCUAAAUGGUGGCUCGUCAAUCUCAGGUCAGUUUUGGUCUAACUCCGAUCUAGGGAGAUCCAACCGUUAACUUGAGCUGAUAUUUGGAUAUAUGCUGCAUAAGAUGUGUGUUUAUCUUUGUACCGUUGGGAUUUGAUAUUGAUUGAAUUGUUAGUGAGUAAUUGAUGUUUGAAGCUCUGUCCGGAAUCUGUCAUGACUUUCAAUCCGAAACCCAAAACACCCAAAGCUAACAUCACCCCCUCAACCACUAAACAUCCCACAAACCAACACCAAAACACCCAAAACACAGCCUCCCCAUCGCAGGUUUGAUUUCCAAAAUCCCACAAACCAACAAACAAUCAAAAAUCCCUUUCCAACAACCAUCUCUGCCCAAAACAGCAACCACCCUCUAAACACAAUUGCAGUAUUCCUAGCCAAAGAACAACGAUACAAUAACAAGAUCUCCCAAAAUGCUCCCAACCAAAAAGCCUUCGCUCACCCCUGCAAACCAGACCGUAGCAACGUUACUCAAACCUCACCUGAAUAAUACAGCCUCUCAAACACCUUCAAACACAACCUUCCCUGUUACACUAAGCCUACCGAGACCUGUGCACCACACAAUAAACGUCCAGAACGUUAAUAAGCCUUCUUCUAACACAACCUUCCCGACCUUUACCCCUUCUAAGUUCUUUAUUGAACGUUUCCCAUCAUGGUUAGAUUAUCAUGACCUCAAAAAGACGCUUGCAAAGAUUGGUCCUGUUACCAAUCUUUUUGUCUCCAGGAAAAAAACAUCACGAGGGAGACGGUUUGGGUUUGUUUCCUUCCUCUCCACCUUAAAAGAAUCAGACAUUUGUAACAGCUUGAACCUUAUCUGGUUCGAUUCAUACAAAAUUCGUGCAAACCCGGUCAGAUUUCAGAAACCUCUAGACAAAAAACCAGACCUUGUUAUAAAACCACAACCAAAAACCAUGCCCAAACUCACCUUCAGAGACACCCGGACCUUCGUUGAAGCUCUUUCUGUCACAAAGCAUCCAAAGAAAACGGUGAUGUAUGAGUCUAUCCCCGAUGACAAGGAAUGGCUUCAGAGAAGUUUAGUGGGAUUCAUAGCCACAGACGUGGACUAUGCUCAGCUUGAGCAUAUGGUGCUAAAAAAUGUCAAGCAGACAGUUGGGUUUCGUUUUUUGGGAGCAAGCCAAGCAGUCAUCACCUUUACAAAUAGAGAAUCUAUGGAGAAGAGCUGGUAAAUGGAUCCUCUGUUUUGGAAACAUCAUUCUUUCAUUUGAAACCAUGGGAAAAAGGAGCUAAAGCCAUAGACAGAUUUGUGUGGGUGUCCAUAUUAGGAUUACCUUUGAUAGGAUGGAAUCGCAGAUGUAUUGAAUCCAUUAUUGAGAAAGCAGGGAAAAUGCUUGGAUAUGACAUUACCAGCGUGAGCCAAGGAUCUCUCACAGGAGUUAAAGUGCUGCUGAGCACAACCUCAUUUGAGACGCUAAAUGAACAUGUUUUGCUGGUUCUAGAUGGCGACGAAUUGAAAUCUCAAUCAUGGAAAUGAAACCGGAUUUUAGUCCCCUGCUGUCUACAAUCAAACAUUCAAUGGGUGCAACAGGUAUUCAAACAUCAGAUGAAGAGUUAUGCAGUGAAUUUGCAGCUUCAGAUGAGGUUACGGCAGCGGGCACAAAGAUUACUGACACUGAUGGUGAUCAUUGUGCAACAAACAUUAUUUUAACACAGCAACAAAAGGCGGAUACGGAUAGUGAUUUCUCUCUCAUUCUCUAUCAAGGGUACACUGGACCAACAAACAACUUGGAUCAUACUGACACAAGUUCAAAUAUUGCCUACCUUUUUCCUGAAACAAAAGAAACACGUGAUGAAGGGGCAACCGACAGUGAUAGCAACACAGAUGUCUCAGCACAUUCAGUUACAAGAGUGGGCCUUGUAAAAAACAGAAUCACAGGCCAGGUGAAAGGAACAAGGCUAAUCAACAAGGCAAUAAACUCAUGUAACUCAUUCUCUAAUUUCAUACGUGACCUGGCAGAGCCUCAAGAAGUAGUGGAAAUGGAACUACAGGAAAAAAAAAGGAAAAAGCUUAGACGAACCAGAAGACUUGGCCCUAAAUAUACAUACGGAAAAGGGAAGAAGGGGAAGAAAAACAAUCAUGCUUUGGCUCUUAAUGACACAUCAGAUAUUGUUCCUGACUCAUUCAGAAACACAUAUCAAAAAGAAAACGACUCAGCCCCUGCUAUUAAGUCAUCUACUGAUCAACAUGAAGAUAUUACCUCUAAUCAUGCAUCCAUGGAUACAGAGACCAGUGAUACACAGGCUCAUCUACCAACCCUUUUGAACUCUCAGUGCAGCCAAGAGGCCUCCUCAGAAGCGAUCAACGAAAACAACAGGAAUGCUAGAAGCAAAUCCAGGAAAAUAAAAUUGUUGCAAGCUAAUGGUAGUGUAGCUAACACUACUGAGAAAUGUGUCUCUUCUGAUUCCCUCAAUUCGGGAAUUAAGCAAGGCAAUGUCCGGUUCCAAACAACCUGUGAGAAUAAUCAAGCUGAUGGUUUUGAUAUAGAUAAGGAAACCCAGGAAAUGUUACAUGAUGCAGCGGCUCUAGGCUUGGGACCAUUCCAAGAUCUUAUAGGGUAUGAAGAGGGAGUUCGGGGGAACAUUGACAGAGAAGUAGACGAGUGGAAAUCAGUCAAUCAGUUGUAAGUUUCUUAACUUGCUAAGUUUUGUUCUGUCAUGGUUUUGAUCUACCUAUGAAUAUUUUUGCUUGGAAUAGUUGUGGGUUGGGUAUGUUGAACAAACGUCAUUCCAUCCGGAAUAGGUUGCUCAACAGUAAUGUUGAUAUCUGCUUUCUAUUAGAAACAAAAAAAGAUAAUUGUUGCGAUUCAUACAUCAGGAAUUUGUGGAAUGUGGUAACUGUUAAAUGGGCUUUGCUAGAGUCUGUAGGCAAAUCAGGAGGGAUAAUUGUGAUGUGGGAUAGUUCUAUCUUUGAGGUUAAUUCCAUAGAAUUUGGGGGGCAAUGGAUCAGCCUAUGCGGUAAACAUGUUCAUUCUUCCUUUAACUGCAUGGUAGUUGGUGUAUAUGCUGCAUCUUCUGUGCAAGAUCGUGCUAAGCUGUGGGAAGACAUCACUACUCUGAAGUUUGCCUUUGAAUUACCAAUGGUGGUGAUAGGUGAUUUCAAUGAAACUCUUCAAGCUAAUGAGAGAAGUAGCGGCUACAUUAAUCAUUCAGGGUCAGCUCUGCUCUCCGUAAUUUCCUGUCCGAUUGUGCUCUGAUUGAAUUCAAACUGCAGGCAACCGUUUCACUUGGUUUAGGGGGGGUUCUAUGAGCUGUAUUGACAGGGCUUUCGCAUCUCCAGAGUUCCACCUCCAGUUUCCAUUCUUAUCACUCUACCGUUAUCCUAGGGGGAUGUCUGAUCACUGUCAAUUGCUUCUUCAGGCACCAAAGGUAGAUUGGGGAUGGAAGCCUUUCCGCUUCAUAAAUAGUUGGUUGUCACACCCUACAUUCUCAGCUGAUUUUGAGAUCUUCUGGUUUGAUAGUUGCAAGGAAUUUCCCGGUGACUAUAGAUUGGUAAAGAAACUAGGAACUUUGGGGAAAAGACUGAGACAAUGGAACAAAUCCACCUUCGGUAAUCAAAAUUCAAAACUUGCAGACAUUCAGAACUCCAUCACAACCAUCGAAGACUUAAGCGAGGUACGCCUCUUGUCUGAGACUGAAAAAACAAAGCUCAAGAAUCUGAACUCUGAACUUUGGGAGGUUAGUAGGAAUGUCGAGGGCAUUUGGAGGCAGAAAUCCCGCCAAAACUGGUGCAAAAUGGGGGAUAAAAACACUCGGUUCUUCCAUCUUUCGGCAAGUUUGAGGAAUGGUCGGAACCACAUUAGUAAGAUUGAGCAGAAUGGCAGAUUUUUGGACUCUCCAAAUGACAUCAAAGAGGGUGCUGUCAACUUCUUCUCAACUCUGUUUGCCAAGCCACAAUGCAGAAGAAUUGAAAUGGGAGACUCAGGGUUCUCUAAAAUUUCAGAAGAAAGUUCAGUUUGGUUAGAAAGACUACCUUCAUUGGAGGAAGUGAAGCAAGCCGUAUGGGAUUGUGAUGGUUCAAAAGCCCCCGGUCCUGACGGGUUCACCUUCUCCUUCUAUAAAAAGGAAUGGAAUCUUAUCAGCCCUGACAUCUUUGUGAUGGUCACAGAAUUUUUCAGAACAGGUAAAUUACCAAAGGGGAUCGGCUCGUCCUUCGUGACUUUGAUUCCAAAGACCAAGAGGCCGAGCACUUUCUCCCAAUUUCGACCAAUUAGUUUGAUUCAUGGGUUAUAUAAAAUAGUGGCAAAGCUCUUGUCCACUAGGCUCCGAAGCAUUCUACCAGAUGUGAUAAGUGUAAACCAGUCUGCUUUCAUUGCCGGGCGUCAGAUUCUAGAUGGGUUCAUGAUAGCAAACGAGGUUGUCCAUAGUAUUCGUAGCAAAAAGGACCACGGGUUUUUGCUAAAGGUAGAUUUUCAUAAAGCCUUCGACUCGAUUUUAUGGGAGCAAUAUCGAUUCUACCAUGGGUUAUAUGGGUUUUUGGAUCUCACUGGAGGAAACUGAUCUUUGAAUGCAUGUCCACUUCUAAAUUGGCCAUCUGAUUAAUGGCUCACCAAGCAGAGAAUUCAGUAUGGAGAGGGGUCUCAGGCAAGGGGACCCCCUCUCUCCUUUCCUUUUUGACAUAGCAGUUCAGGGGUUAACAGUUCUAUUCAAGGGCAUAGAUUCAGGUUACUUUAAAGGUUUACAGACUUCGCAAGGACAUCACAUAACCCAUUUGCAAUAUGCAGAUGACACUCUGAUUUUCCUGCCGAAUGAUUAUCUCUUAUUGCAUGUCAAGAGGAUCCUCCGCUGGUUUGAGAUCAUUUCAGGACUGAAAGUUAAUUUCUAUAAAAGCUCACUUAUAGGAAUUAAUUUGGAUAACGAAUACACUUCAGGUCUGGCUAACAUAAUUUUCUGUCGCAGUGACUCCUUCCCAGUCAGAUACCUUGGGUUGCCUCUUGGUGCUAACCCAAAUAGGCUCUCCACUUGGAAACCGGUAUUGUCCACAAUCAGAGCAAAGUUAAGCAAAUGGAAAGGGAAGUUUUUUAGCAUGGCCGGAAAGAUAUGUCUUAUUAAAUCUGUCUUAAACUCUCUACCUCUAUACUAUAUGUCGGUCUUUAUUAUGCCAAAGGGCAUUGCAAAAGCAAUAUCCUCAAUCAACCCAUGUUUUCUUUGGAAGGGCUCCUCAAAUUCACAUGGUAUUUGUAAGGUUGCUUGGCAUAAGGUAAUUAAGAGUAAGCCUCUAGGAGGUCUCGGGCUUGGUUCUAUUCACAGUAAAAAUCUGGCUCUGAUGUUUAAAUGGCUUUGGAACCUUGACAAAGGAGUGGUAGGAGGUUGGCAAGAGCUCAUCUUACGAAAGUACCGGCCACAUUUUUCAAAUGGCCUUCCUGUGUUUGCAGGUUCUUUAUCUCCAACUUGGCGUGGCAUGGUAUCUGCAAUUUCCUUAAAUCACAGCAUAGCCGCUCCCAUCCAAUCCAAUGUUGGGUUUAAGGUGGGUGAUGGGAGAAACAUCAGGUUUUGGUCUGAUUCUUGGCUAGGCUAUGCAACCCCUCUCCAGUUCAUGUUCCCUAGGCUCUACAACCUCUCCCUGCAGCAAUCUUUAAGCGUUGCAGAAGUUCAUAACCCAACAGAUAACUCAAUCAAUCUUUCUUGGAGAAGACCACUUCGAUCCCAAGAACUCUGCAUGUGUGAAAGCUUGAUAGUAGAAGUGGAACGUGGCCUAGUCUUCUCUGAUGGUGAAGACAACAAGAUUUGGAAACACCAUAGCUCCAACAAUUACACAGUCUCCUCUGGGUGCCAUCUCUUUGACGGUUUAAAUGUUUCAGGACAUCUGCACUCCCCUGCUUUGCUUUGGAAAGGGUUUGCGCCUCCAAAAAUAGAUGUGUUCAUAUGGCUUCUUUUCAAUGGCAGUGUCUGCACAAAGGGUUUCUUAGCUGAGAGGAGAAUCAUCAAUUACGAGGAAGCUCUUUGUCCUUUCUGCUGCAAGGAGAUUGAGACUACACAUCAUCUUUUCCAUCUUUGUCCAAAAUCAUGGUCUCUUUGGGGCAGACUAUUUAGUUGGUUUGGGUGUGUAGGUUGUCUGCCAAAAGAACCAUAUCAUAACCUUCAGGAAUGGUCCAACAUGUUAAAAGGAAAAUUCCAGCGUCAGGCAAUUACUCUUCUUUGUAAAGGAUUAUACUAGUCAAUUUGGAUAGCGCGCAACCACAUGAUCUUUGACAACAAAACUCCAGAUUGGGAUGUGAUUUUUGACCUCACCUUUCAUCGGUUGGCCUUUUGGUUGAAGUCCUUUGUUAAAAAUUUCAGCUAUACGGGCUCUGAUCUUUAUAGGAAUCCUGAAUGUAUUAUGAACUGGACUAACUAGUCAGGUCUUUAGAUUCCUUGUUUUCUUAAUGUAUUUUUAAUUUCCCAUGUAAUCUUCCUUAUCAGCCCUCAUCUCCUUAAUGGGGGCAUUUUAUUUAUACUAUUCUCGAUUACUAUCAAAAAAAGAAGAGACAAGAAACCACCUUCUAUAUAUAAUCAAAGCUUGAUUGCAGGGCUUCUUCGUAAUUUCACAAUGGCUUAAACUUGUGGUCUAUACUCUCGUUCCUUCGCCUCAUUCUAUUUUUCUUUUCGAAUUUUUGGUUCCAUUUUUUAUUAUUUCUAUUUGUUUUAUUUAAAUUUAAUUUUAAAAUUAAACUUUUUUUAAUUUGAUCCUCCUUCAAUUUUCUAGUUUAUCAAAUUUAGUUCAUAUUAUUUUAAUUAUUUUUUUAUUUGAGAUAAUUUUUUAACUUGAUUUUUUUUAUUUCAUCCUCUUUCAUUUUUUUUCUUUUCGAUUUGAUGCUCAUUUUUUUUUUUGAUAAAUUUUUUAAAUUGAGAAUAUUUUUAUCGAUUUCAUCCAUCAACAUUAAAUUGAUUGAGAAUUGAAUUUCUUAAUUACACUCAAAUCUACAAUUUCAUGGGUUAUGAAUUUGAAAUAUUAGCCUUUAGAAAGUUUGGCGCCCUAAUCAAUUACUGUGGAUUGAAAUUGUAAAUUUAUGAUAUCAUUUAAACCCUCCAUUCAAUUAUGGUGAAUUAGAUAUUUUUUAAAUUAUCAAGGUUAGUAUUUGUUUUUUAGGUAAGUUUUCAAGUUUAUUUAAGGAUUUGUAAGCCUUCUAGAGAGACAGACAUCUUAAAAAAAGUAUUGAGUAAUAAAAUUAUGAAUCAAGGUUUUUAUGUGAUCCAUAUCCGACAUGAUUAUGUGUUCUUGUUCUUAUUUUUUUAUUAUUUUUGUAUUGCUUCGGUCAGCAUCAACUAUAAUAUUAAGUUAUAAAUAGCCAAUGUGUAUUGAUCAUUCAUUAAGCAAAUAAACAAUAAGAAUUUAUUAAAUACCUUUGAAAAGAUUUUCUAAACCUAUCUUUCUCUUCUAUUUCUACAUGCAAUUUUAUCACUUGUGUGUGACUCGAGGUGUGUGUCGCAAAAGUGAGAAACAUAUUGAUGAAGUCAGAAAAACUUUGAUAGGGAUCUAGGUCUUUCCGCUAAUGGAUGGUGGGCUGACGAGGUAGCUAGACUUGGCCACUGGUUGUAGUAGUAUGAUUUCCAUACUACUACAAGAAUAAGAAAUUCCGAUUGUUAUUUAUCCCAUAACUCAGCUAUUCAAUGUUCCUUUGAGCCAGGCUUUGAAGGCAAUCAUUUUAUUCUUGACGGCUGUGAAGGUAAUUUAAGCAUUGAAUCCUUAAUCUAAUAGCUUUAACUUCAAGCCUUUAACACAUAUCUUUUUAUCCAACUAUACUUUAAUCAACAAAAUCAAACGUUCGAAAACCAAAUUAUGAUGAUACCAGUUAGGAAUAAAUUUGCAUUUGAUGUUAUGCUAGAUAAUUCUAUAUAUGUGUGUGAUGGAGGAGAAUUCUUUCGGGAAAAUAUUUUUUUUUUGGUGAUUUUAUUUUAUUCUAAACAAAUAUUUGAGAUUGAUAAUUUAAGUUGAUUUUUUGGCUUAUUUAAGAAGAUGUAAACCUCUAAGCCUCAUAAUAGAAUUUUCUCUUCCACAAUAAAAUUAUAAAUUAAGAUUUUUGUAUUCUACCCCAUUAAUAUGCUUUCUUGAUAUUGUCAUAUUAUUUGUGCUCCUGCCUACAUCAGUAUAUAUGUACAGAUAUUAAUCAAUGCAUGCUUUGCUGUGAGUAAGCCGAUCUGUGUAAAUUCAGAAGGUGGCUACGUACGGUUGUAUCACACCAGAUAGCAAGGAGUCAAUGGACUAAAGGAGCCGGAGUCGCUUUAGGUAUCUAAUUUCACCAUUUAUUUUUAUUAAGACAGCAUUUGGUACAAGUUUAAAAAAUAAAAAUAAAAAAUUAUACGAAUUUUUAUUUUUUAUGAGUUUACUGAUUUUUAUUGAAAAAUAUACCAGAGUAAUACUGAAAGUGUUUAAAAGAAAAAUGUUUACGUGAAGAAAUGAAGAUAGGAAGAAGAGAAGAGACAGCAAAGAUUGUAUUUGAAUUUAUUGCAGAUUGAAUGAGAAUCAGAUUGUAUACAAUUUAUUGCAAUCUUUACAAAUAUAUAUUUAAACAAAACAAAACAGAAUUGCAAAAUUAUAGCAAUAAAUCAUGAUAUGUUAACAGAUUAACUAACUCCUAGAGUCUAGGACAAUAGUUUAUUAUUUGCAUAAAAACUGAAAACAACAAAGCAGAAAUAAAAUCUUUGACAGCUCCUGAAGCAAUCUUCAACAAAUACCACAAGAUAAAUUUUUAAGAGUGUAAAGGUUGGGUUUCAAGUGUUUGGUGUGUUAAUAAAGUGAGAGAUAAAUUGUUAAUGAAAAGUGAGAAAAUGUUAAAAUAUUAGUACUGAUCGGAGAAAAGAAGAUAAAAAUUUAUCUUGGAUAACGGAAAUGUGCCUAUAAUUUUGUCUUUUGCUACAACUGCAGGCAUUGAAUGUCUUCGGAUAACCCAGUGUAGGCCUAGCAUAUGCCGCUAGAAUCUGCAAAUAUAAUAUGUCCCUGGAACUUGCCAACUGAUUAAACGAGAGGUACAUUACAAGGCGCAGAUAAAAUUAAUAUGUUAAAUAUAGUUUUCCUGUGUGUAUAUACUUGAUUAGUAGAGUUGAACGAAAUUACUGAAUGGAAGCUGUUGAUAAUGGAGACAAAAUGGCCAUCUGGAAUGGAGACUAGAUGUGAUAGAACAAUGAGCUGAAAGUGCCAGGGUAUUAGGCUGGCAAGGGUUGAGUUCGUCUGCCAUUAUUGGCAGAAAUCUUGGAUAGAAAUGGGAAUGCCCCCCCUCUCCCCCCAAACCAUUUCUGCUAUAAAUGAAGCUCAAUUGUGCAGCAGAGUUAGAGAAGAAGAAGCAACUGCAAGGUGCAGAAAACAGCAAGAACAGCAGCAAGAGAAAUAGCAGCGAAGGGCAAGAGCAGCAUAAGGUGCAGCGGAAGUGAGAGGAGAGAUAUUUUGAUCAAAAGUGAUAUAGAGAGCAUUAGUGUGUGAGAGGAAUGUAACGCCAUUUAUAAUUCUCCACAUGUUGAAAAAUUGUUUCUCCAACGCCCGUAGGUAAACUAUUUGUGCCUUUUUGUGCAUUACUUUGAACUUCUGGGCAUUCGCUUUAAACUUCCGCUGUGCCACAACAGCAGCUACAUCUACAUCAGGGUGGAAAAGAAAGGGAAUGGCAGCUAUUCGAUUAGUAGUGUACUUUCAGGUAGUUCUUUUGUUGUGGUCAUUUAAUGAUUCAUUGCUUACUGCAGAAGCACAGGCAAAGACUCUGAAAAUUGUCCAUCUGCCUGUGGCAAUGUUAGCAUUCCAUAUCCAUUUGGAAUGAGAGAAGGUUGUUACCGAGACGAAAGCUUAAAAAUACAUUGCAACUCUAGUGAAAUUCCCCUACUUUCAAUAAACGGCACUGAUCCGGUGGUGACAGACAUUUCGGUUCAUGACAGCACCAUUACGGUCAACUUUCCAAUUGUCUUUGCAAAUUGUGGUGGCAAAGAAAGAAACACGGUUAUUGACUUGGAAGGAAGCUCUUUGUUUUCUCCUCCGAUUUGAAUUACUUAUUUCAAGUGGUUGUGACAACCGUGCCUUGCUGAUUCAGAAUCAGUCAACAGUUGGUGGGUGCAUGUCAAUCUGUGAUCAUGAAAGUAGCGAUGACGACUUAUUGAGUAGUUCCAGCGGCAUCAACUGCUGCCGGACUAGUAUCCCUUCACAUCUCAAGGUUUAUAACGUAACCUUGGGAAGGUGUUGAUGAUGGGAAAGGCUCUGGAAGAAAACAUCGGGCGAACAAAUUAUGGAGGCAUGCCUAUUUAGUUGACGAAAAUUGGAUGAAUAAUAGUGUAUGGUAGGGAUGAAAGCAUAAUGACCCCUUUUGACAUGAGAGAGAGAAGUUCAAGGACUGAAUGGUUCCCGACAGCAAGGUCUACAUGUAAGUGUCGAGUUCUCAAUCCUCCCAUUCAUUCAACCAACCAGUUCGCAACAGUUCAAUUUUCUUGUACAUGUAGGUAAUCCUUAUUUAGGUCAUUAUGGAGGUAAAUUCCUGGUUAAUUUUACAAUUUUCUUAUUUUCUUUGGCAUUAUAUUUCCUAUUCCAUCGAUUCUUCACGGAUUUUUUACCAUUACAUGGUGCAAAGAUCAACCAUGUUACUCUAUGUGACAGAGGGUCCAGACUACAUGGAUUACCAGGGACAUGUGAGAGGAAAAACGUUGGUCCUGGUUAUGUUGCUGCAUUUGCAUUCUAUAUCAUCUAAGAAAUGACAAUUGCUUAGGAGUAAGAGUACUUGUAUUUUUCCUGAUCAGUUCCCUUUCCCUAUCUGUUCAUAAUUGCUUGACUCUUGUAGGAAUUGGAGUGGGAAUUGGAGCAUUGUUUAUGCUCAUUGGUCUGUGGUGGUUGUACAGAGUAUUCAAGAGGAGGAAUGAAAAACAGAGGAAAAAAUACUUCGUAUGGAAUGUCUUCAGGUGAAGUCCAUGUUGAGAAAAUCAAAUUACUAGACAACGCCACAGAUCACUACAAUGUGAAUAGAAUGCUUGGCCAGGGAGGUUAGCUGAUGGAAAGAUCAUUGCAGUUAAAGAGAUCCAAAAUUCUUGAAGGGAAUCUCAUACAAUUUAUCAAUGAGGUGGUCAUUCUUUGUUGACAGUUGCCUCAUUUUCUGCUGAAGAAGAGGUCUUCGAUGCUGUGAAGAUCCAGUCAAGAUUGACUCCAGAUUGUUAGGAUGUUAGUUGCAAAUAAAGUUGUCAUAGAUCAGAUCUUUCUCUGUUUUUAUCUUUUCAAUAUUUUUCGGAAUUCUGUUAUCAAACUCUUCUAUAAAAGAGUGUUUUAUCAAUAAAGAAAGUACACUUCAAUUCAUAACAUUUAUAUCUUUAUCUUAUUGCUGAGUUCUUGCCUGUUCUUAUACAAUUUGUUACUGUCGUAAACUACAAAUUGGUAUCAGAGCACAUUGAUUUUAAAGGGACCAGCUUGUGAGAAAGAGAGCAACCUGUGAGAAACCCUUCUUCCACCAAAAAACCACAAAACACCAAAACCAAAACCUUUCAUCAUUCUUUCAAAUGGCAUCCAACACUUAUUCUCUUGCAACACCACCAGUAUUUACUGGUGUGAACUACCAAAUGUGGGUUGUGAGAAUCAAAACUUACUUACAAGCCUGCGAUUUAUGGGAUGCUGUUGAACAAGAACAUGAACCUCAGCCUCUUCCUGCAGAUCCAACCAUAGCCCAAAUCAGAAAUAAUCGUGAGGAGAGAUCAAGGAAGUUCAAAGCCAAAACUUGUCUCUAUGUUGCUGUUUCUGAAGCAAUAUUUCCAAGAAUAAUUGCUUUUGAUACAGGCAAACAAAUAUGGAAUUAUCUCAAGGAGGCGUUCCAUGGUAAUGAGAGGACAAUUCAAAUGCAGGUUUUGAAUUUGAGAAGGGAGUUCGAAAUGCAGAAGAUGAAGGACUCAGAAACUAUCAGAGAUUUUUCUGAUAGAUUACUCUCCAUAGUCAACAAAAUAAGACUAUUGGGAGAGGAGCUUUCUGAUCAAAGGGUUGUUGAAAAGAUCCUUGUGACUUUACUCGAGAGGUUUGAGUCAAAGAUAUCCUCAUUAGAAGAAGCCAAAGAUCUGUCAAAAAUAUCUUUGGGAGAAUUGUUAAAUGCCUUACAAGCUCAAGAACAAAGGAGAACUAUAAGGCAAGAAGAAUCCAUGGAAAGAGCUUUUCCAGCAAAGGUGCAAGUCCAAGAAGGUGACAAAGGGAAAAGGAAGAACAUCAAAUACAAGGGAGCAGGCAGUAACAAUCGAAGAAUUGGAACCUUUCCCCCUUGUCAACACUGUAAGAAAACAAAUCACUCACAAAACUACUGGUGGUGGAGACCUGAUGUUAAAUGCAGGAAAUGCAAUCAGCUGGGACACAUGGAAAAAAUCUGCAAGAACAGAACAAAUCAACAGCAUGAAGAGGCUCAAGUUGCUGAUCAACAACAGGAGGAACAAUUGUUUGUGGCCACCUGUUUUGUAAGCAAGCAUGCAAGUGAUUGCUGGUUGAUAGACAGUGGUUGCACAAAUCACAUGACAAAUGAUGUGAAUUUGUUCAAACAUCUUGAUAAAUCAAGUGUCUCAAAAGUCAGAAUUGGUAAUGGCGAAUAUAUUCCUGUCAAAGGAAAAGGGACAGUGGCCAUCGAAGGGAAUUCAGGUAUUAAACUCAUUUCAGAUGUCCUUUUUGUACCUGAAAUCGAUCAAAACCUGUUGAGUGUUGGCCAAGUUCUUGAAAAAGGAUACUCGGUUGUUUUCAAGAACAAACACUGUUUAAUUUCUGAUCCUACUGGAUUAGAGAUUUUCACCAUAAAAAUACAAGGGAAAAGCUUUUCUCUAGAUUGGAUGGAAGAGGAGAUAGUAGCAGUAUCAAACAAAUGAAGCUGAAUUAUGGCAUAAGAGGAUGGGCCACUUCAAUCAAGCAGCUUUGGUUCAUAUGCAGAGAAGGAAGAUGGUGAGAGGGGUGCCCAGCCUAGAAGAAAAAAUCACGGUUUGUGUUUCUUGUCAAUAUGGCAAGCAACACAGACUUGGAUUUCCUCAAAAUAAAGCUUGGAGAGCAAGUGAAAAACUUCAGCUUAUUCACACUGAUGUUGCAGGCCCUCAGAUGACAGAUUCAUUAAAUGGCAGCAGGUAUUAUGUUGCUUUCAUUGACGAUUAUACAAGAAUGUGCUGGGUGUAUUUUUUAAAAUCCAAAGCUGAAGUAACAGGUGUUUUUUUGAGGUUUAAAAACUGGGUUGAAAAUCAAAGUGGUCAUAAAAUUCAGAUUGUGAGGUCUGACAAUGGCACAGAAUAUACUUCAAACAAAUUUGCCUAGUUUUGUCAUGAUGCAGGGAUUGAACAUCAAUACACUAUACCUUACACACCUCAGCAAAAUGGUGUGAGUGAGAGGAAGAACAGGAAAAUCAUGGAGAUGGCAAGGUGCUUAUUAUUUGAGAAAGAUUUGCCCAAGAAAUUCUGGGCAGAAGCUGUGAACAUUGUUGUGUUCUUGUUAAACAAGCUGCCAACAAGAGCAUUACAGCACAAAACACCUUAUGAAGCUUGGCAUGGUUAUAAACCCUCACUUCAAAACUUAAAAGUGUUUGGAUGCUUAUGUUUCACUCAUAUACCUCAGGUGAAAAGAGAUAAGCUUGACAGGAAGGCUGAAGCUGGAAUUUUCUUGGCUAUAGCAAUGUCACAAAAGGCUAUAGAGUUUAUCAACCUGCAACUGAAAAAGUCAUAAUCAGCAGAGACAUUAAAUUCGUUGAAGCUGAAAAAUGGAAUUUUGAAGAUACAACAAGCAAUGCAAGUAAGGAGAUCAUGCAAGAUUUUGAUAAAGAUGUUGAUGACACACCAGUCAGAGGAACCAGACUUCUUGCAGACAUUUAUCAAAGCUUCAAUGUGGCUGUGCUUGAACCUGCAGAAUAUGAGGAGGCCAAAAAUGAUCCAAGAUGGGUCACAACAAUGAAAGAAGAGCUAAGCAUGAUUGAGAAGAAUCAAACAUGGAAUUAGUGGAUAUGCCGACACAUAAAAAACCCAUUGGUGUGAAAUGGGUUUACAGAAAAAAUUGAAUGCAGAUGGCACUAUCAACAAACACAAAGCUAGGCUUGUGGUCAAAGGCUAUGCACAAGUCUUUGGUGUGGAUUUUUCAGAAACAUAUGCCCCAGUAGCUCGACUUGACACCAUCAGAAUGUUGCUAGCAAUUGCAGCUCACAAAGGUUGGAAAAUAUUUCAACUUGAUGUGAAGUCUGCAUUUUUGAAUGGUUACCUGCAGGAGGAGAUUUACGUGGAACAACCUAAAGGUUUCAUGGUAGAAGGAGAAGAAGACAAGGUUUACUUAUUGAAGAAAGCUUUAUAUGGACUGAAACAGGCUCCAAGAGCCUGGUAUAGCAGGAUUGAUGAGCAUUUACUCAAACAUGGCUUCAACAAAAGUUUGAGUGAAUCGACCUUAUAUAUCAAGAGUUCAAACACUGGUUUUAUGGCUGUUUCACUUUAUGUGGAUGAUUUAUUUGUUAUAGGUAACAAUUCAACCAUGAUGGACAUCUUCAAAGCUGAAAUGAUGGAAGUUUUUGAGAUGACAGACCUUGGUGAAAUGUCCUAUUUUCUUGGCAUGGAAGUGCAGCAAAAUCAGCUUUUGAUCUUUGUUUGCCAACAAAAGUAUGCCAAAGAGAUUCUGAAGAAAUUCAAAAUGGAAGACUGCAAAUCAAUGACCACGCCCAUGAAUUUGAAAGAGAAGUUCAGUAAAGAAGAUGGGGCAGACAAGGUGGAUGAAGCAAUUUACAGGAGCUUAAUUGGGUGUCUAAUGUACCUUACGGCAACAAGGCCAGACAUCAUGCAUGCAGUGAGCUUAUUAUCUAGGUUCAUGCAUUGUGCUAGUGAAAUACACUUCAAGGCUGCAAAAAGAGUGGUGAGAUACAUAAAAGGUACACUAAACUAUGGCAUUCAGUUUAGUUGUGCUGAAAACUUCGACCUACAAGGAUAUGCAGAUAGUGAUUGGGCUGGCAGCUAUGAUGAUAUGAAGAGCACGUCUGGAUAUUGUUUUAGUUUUGGAUCAGGAAUUUUCUCCUGGUGUUCCAAAAAACAAGAAGUUAUUGCUCAAUCAACGGAAGAAGCAGAGUAUGUUGCAGCUACUGCAGCUGCAAAUCAAGUCUUAUGGCUUAGAAAAAUCCUAGCAGAUCUGGACAUGGAGCAAAGGGAAGCUACUAAAGUUAAUGUUGACAAUCAAGCUGCAAUUGCAAUAUCUAACAAUCCAAUUUUCCAUGGGAAAACAAAGCAUUUCAAGCUCAAGUAUUAUUUUCUGAGAGAAGUUCAGAAAAAUAAAAAACUGCAACUGAUUUAUUGCAAGACAGAAGACCAGCUUGCUGAUAUAUUAACCAAGCCAUUGCCAAAAGCAAGGUUUGAAACUUUGAGGAACAAGAUAGGAGUCUGCAGCAAAAGAUGCAAGGAGGAGUGUUGACAGUUGCCUCAUUUGCUGCUGAAGAAGAGGUCUUCAAUGCUGUGAAGAUCCAGUCAAGAUUGACUCCAGAUUGUUAGGAUGUUAGUUGCAAAUAAAGCUGUCAUAGAUCAGAUCUUUCUCUGUUUUUAUCUUUUCAAUAUUUUUCGGAAUUCUGUUAUCAAACUUUUCUAUAAAAAAGUGUUUUAUCAAUAAAGAAAGUACACUUCAAUUCAUAACAUUUAUAUCUUUAUCUUAUUGCUGAGUUCUUGCCUGUUCUUAUACAAUUUGUUACUGUCGUAAACUACAUUCUUUCACAAAUUAACCACAGAAAUGUGGUUAAGCUUUUGGGCUGAAGUUCCAUUGUUGGUCUAUGAAUUCAUUCCUAAUGGGACACUUUCCCAGUUUCUCCACUACCCAAAUGAGGAACUCCCAUUAACAUGGGAAAUGCGCUUAAGGAUUGCAACAGAGGUAGCAGGGGCACUCUCCUACCUGUAUUCAGCAGCUUCGAUCCCCAUUUAUCACAUAGACAUCAAGUCUACAAACACACUGUUGUAAGCAUUGACCAGACUCAUGUCAAAACUCUGGUACCUUUGGAUACUUGGAUACAGAGUACUUACAAUUAAGCCAGUUCACCGACAAGAGUGAAAGACAAAAGGCAUAUACUUGGAUACUUGCAUAUAGCUUUGGUGUAGUCCUCGUCGAGCUACUCCCUGGACAAAAGGCAGUAUCCUUUAGCAGAUCGGAUGAUGAAGCCAGAAGUUUAGUCGCAUGAAAGACAACCAUCUGUUAGAUAUUCUUGAUCCUCAAGUCAUGAUGCAAGGGAAGAAAGGGCAUGUGUUGAUGGUUGCUACCUUGGCUAUGAGUUGCUUGGGGUUAAAGGGGAAAGAAAGGCCUCCGAUGAAAGAAGUUGAUUAAAAAAAAAUCACUUAGGAAUCAAAUUUCAGAGAAGGAUUUCAACAUUUCACACGAGAUUGAAAUAUGAUAAUGGUUAUGAAGUAAUUGAUGUUCGUCGGGACCUUGCUUCUACCUCAAUAGGCUUUGGUUUUGACAAUGGUGUUGCUUCUUCAAAAGAAACAACACUACUCUUGCACACAUUUUAGAAUUUUUUUUCUUUUUUGUAAUUUUAUGUUUUGUUGUAACCAAAUAGUUGCUCCUGAUCAUAUGAAUAAUAUAAAGAAUUUUUUUUAUUUUCCAUUUUUUUAGUAUCCAUUGUUCUUGAUAGUAUCCACAACACUAUCAAGAACAACGUUCGUACGUAGAUUUAUUUGGUGAUAUAUGUAUCCUUGACUGGUUCAAGAUGACGCACUCCAUGAGCAUGCUGUGUUGGUCACAGGCAUUCAUUAUCAGUCAAGAAUGGCUCCUGGAAUAAAUAGAGUUUCGAAACUUAUUCAAAUAUUAAUUUAAACCUUGAAAAGUUAUGAUACCGCAAGUCCAGUGAUGGUAAGAAGGAAAUCAUUUGACAUUUCUAUAAUUUCUAGCAUUCACGCGUUAUGAUUGAUUAAUUUCCUUGCAAGAAUUAAAUUAACCAAGAUAUUUCUUUCUUUUCUAGAUGAAUGGACAAUGAAUACGUCAAAAAAUUAAGAAUUAAUUCAUAAUUACAUAAUUAUAUAGUUUAUCAGAACUAAUAAUUAAUGAGUCCUUUAGUAUGAAAAAAAUUACUUAAUUCGUUCACAAAUGUUUUUAAUUUGGCACUUUUAUUUUCAAAAAUCUCUUUUCUUCUUUAUCAAAUUUUCUCAUCUUAGACAUUACACAUCUUUUCUUUCUUUCAUAUAUUAUCAGUCAAGAAUGGCUGUAGAAUUUAUUGGGGUGCGAAAUUUCAAACCUUAUUUAAUGAUUAUUUUAAAAAAAUAAAAAUAUAUAAUAAUACAUUUUUAAAUAAAAAAAUAUUUUUUAAAAAACCGUUAUUAUACUUUCAAAUACAUUUUAAUUAUUAAUACUUAACUCAAGAAAUAGAGAACUCACUCAAUAAAAAAAACAACACCUAUCUUUUCUUAAAAAAAAAAUACAAUUUUUUUUUCUUGAAUUUUUACUAAAGAUUUCAAAUAUUAACUUAACUCUACCAUCAGUUUAUUACAUUGAAAAAAAAAAUUAAUAUGAUCAUGGCUUUUCUAUUAUCUUCACUCUUCGGGACCAUUUCAUUGAAGAUCACAGUUUUGUUCCAUGCAUGAUUGCUUGAUUUUUAUCCCCUUCAUGAAAUCCUUUAUAUAUAUGCGCGUGCAGUAAAAAUUGUUAACAAGCUUUUUCUAAUUACGGGCAGCUAAAGCACACAAUUACAAGAAAAAAGGAGGCAAGUGCUACAAGUCUAAAACCAAUACCACAAGCCUAUUUAAGUUUUACAUACAGACACAAAAUUAAAACAUGUAGUAAAUAAUUUCAACAUGUAUGUAAGAGUGGUUUUUCAUCAAGUGAUGAAGGAGCACCAAUAUCGAAGCUAGAAAUUGUUGAGGCAGAAGUAACAUCCCAAGGUGCUCCCAUCACUUCAUUUCUGUCAUAUUCAUUCUCUUGUUGGACGAUCAAGUUUUCGGAUUUUAUAAUCCUCUCCAACACCAUUGUGACUUCUUUCAUCGUAGGCCUUUCUUUCCCAUUUAACCUCAAGCAGCUCCUAGCCAAGCUAGCUACCAUCAGCACUUCCUCUCUUUCCCCUUGCUUCACAGCCUGAGGAUCAAGAAUAUCAAACAGACAGUUGCUCUCCAUGGCCAUUAUGAAAUAUGCGGCUAAACUUCUGCCUUCUUCUGAUCUUGUGAACGAGAUUGCCUUCUGCCCAGUAAGCAGCUCAACAAGAACUACACCAAAGCUAUAGACAUCACUCUUGUCUGUGAAUUGGCUUGAUUGGAAGAACUCUGGAUCCAAGUACCCAAAGGUGCCUUGUACUUGAGUAGUGACAUGAGUCUGGUCGAUGCUUACGGACCUUGAAGUCCCAAAAUCUGCAACUUUGGCUCUAUACUUCUCAUCAAGCAGGAUGUUUGUAGACUUGAUGUCUCUAUGAAAAAUGGGGAGGGAGGCUGCUGAAUGUAGAUAGAAAAGUGCCCCUGCUACCUCUGCUGCAAUCCUUAAGCGCAUUUCCCAAGUUAAAGGGAAUUCCUCGUUAGGGUCAUGGAUAAACUGGAAAAGGGUCCCAUUAGGAAUGAAUUCAUAGACUAAUAAUGGAAGUUCAGUCUCUAAACAACAACCCAGAAGCUUAACCACAUUUCUAUGGUUAAUUUGGGAUAGAAGGACGACCUCGUUGAUAAAUUGUCUGAGAUUCCCUUCAUCAAUUACUUUGGAUUUCUUGACUGCAACGAUUUUUCCAUCCGCCAACAUCCCUUUGUAAACUGUUCCUUGGCCUCCCUGGCCCAGCGUUCUAUUCACAUUGUAAUGAUCAGUGGCCUUGUCUAAUUCUUUCGAAGGAAACAUUUUGAUUUUCUCAACAUUGACUUCACCUGAAGAUAGUUGUUCUUGCAGUAAGAGACCACCAUUCCUCUUAAAGUACUUUUUCUUUAGUUUUUCACUCCUCUUUCUCUUGAAUACUUUGUACAACCACCACAAACCAAUGAGUAGAAAUAGUGCUCCAAAUCCCACUCCAACACCUGCACAAGUCAACCAAUUGCAUUCAAUUCUUUUAUUAGGGCUGAACUCAGAAAAACAAAUUCUGUGUGUUUGCUUGAGUAAUUGUACAUUGUUAAGCGCAGUGUUGUAGUUUAUCUCGAUAUUCUACUUUAUUCAUGUCAGUUUUGAAAGGAGAAUUUGAUUCUUGAAAAACAGUAAGUUAAAUUUUAGUUUCUUUUUAUAAUUUUGAUGGUCUGCUUUACUAAGUGUACAAAUCUUAUUUUUAAUCUUAUGUGAAGAAAAAAAAAUUAUUACUAAUUAUUCUUACAUUUUUUUUCAAGAGCGCAUUAUUCAUACUUGGGAAUGAAGAAAAUUGUGAAACAACGAUCUAAUUAAAAAUGAAAUUUGAAAAGAAGGGCACAAAAAUGAAUACUUUAGAAGGCUAAAUUGUACGAUUAAUCUCCAUGAGUAUAAUUGGUUAAAAUGGCAUCAACAAAAAAAAUUCAUGUAAUUGGUUCUUGAAUAAAUUGAUUGAUUUGAUUCAGUCCAUCAAUUUACAACAAAUUAUAGUAUGACAUAUAUCAUAAUUUUGCAGAUGGAAAUAUUUAAAACUAGAGUGGUAUAUAAGAGAAAUUUUAUGGUGUUUAUAAAAUAACUAGUGGUAUAAGAAAAAAAUGAUAAGCGAAAAUAUUUUUAGCAUUUUAAUAGUUCAUAGAUUUUAUUUUUAUCUUUCUCCAUGUAUCUGUUUUUAUUUUCAAAGCAAAUAUUAAAAAAUAACUAAGAGAAUGUUAGUAAAAAAAAUUUGUGUGUAUUAUAAAAUUUAUCGUACACAUGUCACAAUAUUUAAUUAAUUAUUACUAGUUUUAGGAGCAUAAAUGUAUAUACUACAAAAAAAGAAAAAGAAAAAUCGUAAGGGGGGCUGCUGAUUGUUUUCUUGACCCAUUUAAAGUGUGACAUAAUCUAUAGUCAUUUCUAUCAUGAUGAUAUAGAGUGAAAAAGCAGCAACAACAUACCUAGGCCUGCCAUGUUAGCUUUGAUUUUACGCCGGUAAUGGGCGUAUGUUCUACCCUCUGCAACACAUGGAGAAACCACAGAGUUGAUGGAUCAGUAAACCAUUCAAUGGUAAACCAUGCCAGAAGAAUCUAUAGAGUAGGAAUUGUAACCAGGAGUUUACCUUGACAACUACCAUAAAUAUAAGGAUUUCCUUUGAAGCCUGGAUUGCAAAAGCAUUGAACGAUGGAGCUCUGGUUGGUUGAAUUAAUGGAAGGAUUCAGAAACCCACACGUAGAAGAAUAAGUUGACUUAUAGGAUGAUGCAUUCAAGACCCUUUCGUCUAUCCCCCAAUCCAGCACUACGGGAACAUAGUCACUCUGACUCAUGUCAUUAGGGUCAACGUUCCCUCCGCCAGAAUAAUACCUCCCGUAGUUGUUGAUCUGUGUUUGAUCAAUUAAAUAGGCAGACCUGCAUUGCUUUUCCCCACUGCUUCCUUUUCCAUCACCUAUCCCCUUCAUGGUUACAUUAAAAACCUUGAGCAAUGAAGGAAUCCUGGUCUGGCAGCAGUUGAUCCCACUGCAGCUAGCCAUCGUGCUAUCACUGUUUUUGUCACAAAUUGACAUACACCCACCAAUAGUAGAUUGAUUUUGGUUCAUCAAGGCAAAAUUGCCACAAGGCCCUGCAAUGAAGUAAUUCUCGGAGGAGAAAACAAACGGGCUUCCUUCCAAGUCAACAACUGUGUUUCUAUCUUUGCCACCACAAUUUGCAAAAACAAUUGGAAACAUGACCUCAAUCGUACUGCGACUAACUGAGAUGUAACUCACCUCCAGAUCAGUGCCGUUUACUCUAAGUUUAGGAAGUACUCCACUACUGGAGUUGCAGAGUAUUUUGAACCUUUCGUCUAGGUAACAUCCUUUUUCCUGUCCAAAGGGAAAUAGAAUAUCAAUGCCUCCACAAGAAGAUUCACAAUCACGCAAUGGCAUCAUAACCUGUGAUUCUGCAGUACGCAAUGACCAGAACAACAGGAUGACCUGAAAUACUGUUAACUCAACAGCUGCCAUAUCCUUUUUCUUCUUCUUUCAGACAGAGUAGCUUUUUAGAAGAGAGAAGCUAUAAAACGGGCUCUUACUUGGCAAGCAACCCAGCCAUAUGUUAAGUUAUACAAAAUCCUCUUCUUCUUUCAACUUAUUCUUUCUUUCUUUGUUUUUUCCUUUCGCCUUCCAUGAGUAGAAAGUUCAAAACCAAAGUCUUUAGAACCACACAAAGAAUUAAGCAGCCAGACUUGACCGAGUCAGUCAAUUACACUAUUAAUUAACAGAUACUCUAACACACUUAGGUUUUUUUUCUUCUUUUUAUUCGCUUUUAUUUCUUCAUUUUUUUUACAUGUUUUUUUUUUACCCAAAAUUGACUUCUUCUUCUUUUUCUUUUUUAAUUUUUUUUUUCAAAAUUAUCUUUGCUAAUAUUUUUAAAUAUUGAGCUGUUUGAAAAAUUAACUAUGUAGCUUUUUUCUUUAAACUAUUGUGGAUUGCUAUAAUAUUCUAAUACAUUGUUUUUUUUUUUAUAUAAUUCUUUCCAUACAUAGUUUUUGCUUUACUGCAAUGUUUCCCCAUAUAUUUUUUUAAAAAAUUAUCUUUAUUGAAUUUAUUUUUUCAAUAUUAAGCUGGUUGAUAAUCUAUCUUUAGCUUUCCCCACAUGUUUUUUUUAUUUUUUAUAUUUGUUUUUACCCAAAAUUUACUUCUUUUUUUUUAAAUAGUCUUUGUUGGUUUUUUUUUAUAUAUUGAGCUAGUUGAGAACUUAGCUUUGUAGUUUUUUUCAAAAAAAAAAAAAAAACACUAUGGAUUACUACAGUGUUUUUCUUACAUGGUUUUUGUUUGGCUGCAAUGUUUCCCUCACAUGUUUUUUUUUUUAAAAUUAUCUUUGUUGAAUUUAUUUUUUUAAUAUUGAGUUGGUUGAGAAUUUAGCUUUAGCUUUUCCCACUUUUUUUUUUUUUUUUGAAUUUUUCUCAAAAUUGUCUUUCUUCUUUAUAUUUUAUUUUUCUUUUUUCAUAAUUAUUUUUUUUGAUUUUAUUUUUUUACUAUUAAGCUGAUUGAGAAUUUAGUUUUUUUAAUUUUUUUCUUUAAAACACUAGAUUGCUACAGUAUUUCUCUACAUGGUUUUUUAUUAAAUAAGUUUUUUUCAGAAUUAUGUUUGUCGAAUUUAUUUUUUUCAUAUUAAGCUGAUUGAGAAUUUAGCUUUGUAGUUAUUUAAAACAUAGUAGAUUGCUACAGUGUUUUUCCAUAUGAUUUUUGCCUUGCUAUAGCGUUUCCUCACAUGUUUUAUUUAUCGAUAUUUUUUUUCCAAAUAUGUUUUUGUCAAAUUUAUUAUUUUCAUAUCGAGCCGGUUGACAAUUUAGCUUUUUUUUCUUAAAACAUUGUAAAUUGCUAAAGUGUUUUCCCAUAUGAUUUUUUUAGUUAUGUUUUUUUUUUUUGAAUUGUCUUUGUCGUUUUUAUUGUUUUUAAUAAUGAGCUGGUUAAAAAUUAUUACUGUAGAUUUUCUCAUGAAACACUAUAGAUUGUUAUAGUAAUCAAAUUAAAAAAUUACACAAUAUAUAUAUAUAUACUAGCCAUGAUACCAACACUAUGCUGCGGGUGUUAAAAUUUGCAAUAUUUUUUUUUGCACAUGUUAUAUAGGAAUAUGUAGCAUAUUCAUAAAGUUAGUUGCAAAAGUUAAGUGGAGAUAGUUAAAUUCAAGCGUAACAAAAGCAUCUAGAGGUAAUACUUUAUGCUUUAUACAUAUAGAUAUAGAAUUAGACGCUAAUGAGCGGCAAGUUGUAUUAACAACGCAGAUGAUGAAGACGUCGAAUGAGGUUGCGAUGUUGGAUAAGAAAGCAUUGAUUAACUGAACGUUAAUCGUUUUCCUAUUGUAAAAAAUAAGUGUAAUGGUAAGUUAUAAAUUAUGCAAAGCGAUAAAUAUUAAAUGUUUUUAAAGAUAAAUCAGAAAUGAGAAAUAAAGAUGUAAUUGUUGUUGAGCAUGUGAGUUCACAAAGAAAGGAAAGUAAUUAGAAGUAGAUGCUUACCUUUUCAGGUGAUGAAAUGGAGAGGUGCUGCUUCUUUGAAAGUUGUGGUGCAGGAUUGUCAUCAUUUUUGUAGACAUGUUCCUUUGAUGAGUCUGCAAAAUCUUUCAAGGGUCUUGGAUGGGGAAGUUGGGUGCUGAAUCAUAUAUUGAAAGGAAGUACGUAAGGAAUGGCAAGUGUAAACAAUAUGAAGAAUCAAGUAAUAAUUUUCAUGGGAAUGAAUGUAGAUGAAUUAUGAGAUAGUGGUGUGUGGCAGGUUAAUAUCUUGAAAUCAAAAAAUAAGAAUAAAAAUAAUGAUACAGUUUAAAAGGAUUCAAUGGGAUGAAUAUUAUAUUAGGGAAUGCAUAUUAGUUUGGUAGGUACCAAAACAUCACUCUCUGGCCAUUGUGAUACCAAAAUAAUAUAUUAAGAAUGAAAAGGAAGACUAUUUAUAAAGUUGUAGAUCAGCCAAGGAAUAAUUGUUAAAGGAAUGCAUAUGACGGAAAUGAGAUAUUGGCUUCGGCUGGUGUGUUAUCUUUGCACUGGGAAAUAAGAAAUCAAGAUUUAUGAUGGUUGAAGCACCAUCGCGCAGGGUCAUAAAUUGUUGGUACAAUACAUGAAUUAUUUGUUAUGUGCGGGGAAGCAAAACAAACAUGUCGUGUGGCUCAGCAUCAUUAAAGGUUAGUGCUCUUUUUGACUGGCGAUGGUAGCUGUGAUGAAACGUGUCUUUUUGUGGAGAGGUGUGUUGCUGUGAAGCUGGAGUGUGAAUUUGAGAUUGAUCUACAUCCAGGGAUCUGCAAGGUUCGGUGUUGGAGGGGUGAAAGUCAUGGAACUUCCAGCAGCAGAGGUUAUUGAGGUUGUUGUGUCAACAUCUUUAAUGGGGCUAGCUGGGCUAACAGAUGCUUCAGUUGGAAAUCGAAGAUGUUGCAAACAUAUAUUUCACAUCUGCUGAGAAGAGAUUUGUAUGCUCCAAAUCGAAGCUGAAAUAUUUUUGUUUUGUUUAAUUUCUCAAUCAUUUGAGGUGGAACAAUGAAUGGGUCAGUGAAUUUUUUAUCGAACACCAAAUGAUGAGCUGAAGCAUUGAAAAAAUACUCAGCUGUCUUGCCAGAGAGAAGAAAGUUGGUGACAUCUUGACCAUCACUAACGAUGCAAUUAAUUCUGAACCUAAAAGAUAUGAAAAAGAGCUUCGGUUAAUAACGAAAUAAAAGCAUGGGUUAAUAUAUGUUUCAGUUGAAAACGCAAUGAUGUUUUGGUAUGUAUAUUAGUUGAACCAAGGGACUGGUGCAGAGGUUGGAUAGUCAUGCUCCAUGCAUCAUAAACUAUUAAAGAGUUCAGAGAGUGGCUUGUUGCAAUCUGGACAGCUUUGACACCACCAUCCCUUGAAGAGAUCAUAAUCAACUAUGAAAGCUUUACAUGUAAAUCUUUCAUUCUGCAGGUGUCAAUUAAAGUAGAAAGUCAUAUAAUUUUUUUGAUAAAAACGAAGGUGAUGCAGUGUUGAUGAUUGUUAACAGUAGUGUAAUUAUAACAAUAGCAUUUACCUGUAAUAUUAGGAAAUUGAAUGAAUAGAAACCACUUGCCAGAACAAUAACGAAGAAAGCUUCUUCUCGCAGCAGAGUCCCGAGAAGAAGCUUUUCCGGCUUUUGUCCUAAGCAAUAAAUCAACAAUAUGCGGCAAGCAGCUAAUUUCCAUAUGCAAGAUGGCACUAAGUCAUUUAUAAGCAAAUUUGAAUUCUAGCACCAGAAACGGACAAUUUGAAUUCUGAUAAUCACUCACCCACCCACCCAUCCUCUUAGAGCUACUUGUUACGGCGUUGAAACUUGAAAGGCUUUUAAUUUUACAAAAGCUUCCCUGUAAUUUUCAGCCCCCAUUUCCCAUCCUUAUUAUCAUAUGGUUGAACAGACACACUUAUAUAUGAACUUUAAAUUUUGAAUUAAAUAAUUAACCAUAUGCGCUUUCUCUUUAUACGGCUGUUCCAAAAAAGAUAAUGUAAUUGCAAAAACAUUAAGAUUUAUAUAGCAAGUUUUGAGUUUAAACCACAACAUGUAUUUUUUAUAAAAUUCUAAGAUAGCUAGAAUUUUACUUACUCAUUUCAAUUUAUAAAAUACAUUUUUUAAGAAAUGACGUUUAAUCAGAACCAAAAAAUAAAGUAAUAGUAUGGGAAUUUUAAGACUUAAUUAAUCUUUCUCAAGGACAAAAUCAAUACUGCAAUUGAUAUAUUAAACUUUUUCAUCACAUGAAUUAGGAAAUGCUGUCUUUGAGUUAACGAACAAAACAUGCAACUCUUUGAUUCGACAAAGCUUGGUCUCUUUUCCAUUCUUUCAAACUCGUCCUCUUUAAUGUAUUCAGGUGCUAGUUUUCAAACAAGCAGUAUUUAAUAUAAUAAAUAUUGUUUUGAGCCUUUUCAUGACAAAAAGUCUGUUGAAUAUUAUUUCGAAAAAGAUUCAUUUUUCAUAUUUUUUAUUUUUAUUUUUUUAAGAAGACAAAAAAUUAAACAGUACAUAUCAUUGAAUAUUGAUGAUAUUUUAUUCAAGUUACACCUAUGAACCAUGGGAAACUCUUGCACCAUUUUGUUUUUUUUAAGUGCAAGAGCAAUUUUUUUAAUUUUAAAAUAUUUUUUGAUGUUUUAAAAUUAUUUUUUUAUAUUAAUGUUAAAAAUAAAAAAAUAUAUAUAUUUUUAAAUAAAUAUUUUAAAAAAUAAAUCUAAAUAGGCUCUCCAAUCAUUUGAGCGAAAGAUUAAAACUAUAAGUAUUUUGUCUAAUAUUCUAUACACUCCGCAUUAAAAAUAGGAAAGGAAAAAAAGGGGCUAGGGGAAUCUUUUGAAAUAUAUGUCAAAAAAGAGAGAAUCAAAGGCCACAGUUGAAGGGGCUCCUAUAAAGCCAUCCUAUACAGCAAGCAGUUUUGUUUUGUUUGCAAUAAGCAAUAUUUAAAAAUAACAUAAUAGAUACCUUGUGUUCAAAUGGGUCCAUACAGAGGAUCUCUCUUAUUGUUCUCCUAUUUUCAUUUAUUUGAGUUUGCAAUGAUAUAUAGAACAACUCCUGAUGAUGGAGGCAACUGGUGCAAGUCAACAGGCAGUUGAGCAUAGCUACGUAAAGAUAAAGAAAAAGGUGUUGAGAAUUAAUUUAAACAUUAAUAUAUAAAUUGGAUUUUAACAAAUGUAAAAGGUUCGAAGAAUAUAGAAAUUUUACUAAUGUUUGUAUGCUAAUAACUCUGGUAUGUCCGGGUUAAAAUACCAAAGUGAAGCUGCGGUGCCAAUUAGAUUUGCAGAUCCUACAAAAAAUGUAAUAAAUACAUAUUUACUGGUGUAUAUUUAAUGUCAAGAGGUUAUGAAACCUGAACUGAAAAGCUAAUAAAACUGAAUGAUGGCAGCCUUGAUCAUAGAACGAAGAAUACCUCUAAAUUCAGAGACACGAAAACCAGCAAAAGCAAUGAUAACUGAAGAAUUCCUAUUAUGCCAAAGAAGCGUCACCAAAGCUUCGAGCAAUGUCACCCCAUAAAGUAAUACGAAGCUCAUCGCCACUAAAUAAAAUAAAAGCAUAUUAUAGUAAUGCUAGCAGGAAUUCAAUAUAAUAAAUAAAUUUAAUUUAUCAUUAACCGUAUAUUUUCAAUGAUGAACUCUCUUUUGUCUUCAAGUGUUUGCCCUCGAACCAAAAAUUUUUCGAUUGGUUGUAUUGCUUUCAGCCUACCAAGAACAUCUAUAUAAAUAAUUGAAUAAUUGUGUUAGUGUAAUGAAAAAACUACGUAUGAUACAGUUGGGUAGAUAAGGUUAAGAAUGAAGAAUACCUGUGAGAAGUCUUGAUCCUUUUUCUUUGUUAAGGACAUGUGCAAAAUUCGUGAAAUUAAAGUAAUAUCGUGGAAUCGAAAGUGGGAGAGAAUUGAGGCGAGUUUCUUUGGUGUUAGACUUAAGAUCAAUAACAGCUUCAUGGCCAACAACAACAUUCAUGUAUCGAUUUUCAAAGGUGUAGAAGUUUUUGACUUCAUAAUAUUCACCUUUAGUAAUGAUUGAAGAAAAAUGUGCAGCAUCUCUAGAUUUGGCUGAUCCUUGUAUUGCACCACCCUUGUUCAUCAAAAUAAGGUAAAUAAUUGGUGUCAAUGCAUAAUGGUAAGGUUAAAAUAUACAGAAUGAUGGAUGAGAAGAAAAAGUAAUCUUGAGCAUGGUAAAAUUAUAGCCUCUGGUUUUGAGGUCUGAUUGAUAAAAUCAUUUUGUGUCAUUCAUGUAGGGAUAUGUUAUUCUUAAGAAUUUGUUUUGUUAAUGCAGACAAUAAGGGGUGGUUGUUUUUGGCUAUAAUAUUAGAAAAAAUUGAAGAGGUUUUUCGUAUUGCACUAUGUUCUAUCUGUAAAUUUAGUUGAAUGGGUUAGUUGUAUAAUUGUGGUCCUAUAAGAAUUUCAAACUAUUAUUGUUAAUGAAUGAAUUAUUCUUAGCAUCUGUACAUAGGUAUGGUUAGUUUAUUAAGUUUGAAAAGACUAUAGAAAUAAUAAAAGUAUUUGUGUGGCAAAUAAGGGAUUGAUUAUAUUCCUUAAAUAUAUCCAAAAAAAAAGAAAAGAAUGCAAGCAGAGGCAAGAAUUUGAAGAAAACAAUAAUAAAGGUCAUAUUAGCAGAUAUGUUGCAUACCUCACGAUCAACAAACAGACAAUUGAAGUUUGUUGGUUGUCCAUUUUGUUUCGAAACCCAAACACGACAUACCUGAGCUCGGAUUAAAGGGUAGAAAACAUAUUUUUUAAUGUUGUGCAAAUGAAUAGCCAUUAUUCUGCAUAAAAAAAAGAGUAAAAAAUCAACAAAUAAGUGAAUAAUUAAAGAUGAGAUUAAAAUAUAAAGACAACAGUAGAUGCAAAUGGAAGUUAGAUAUGAAAAUAUAAAGAUAAUAUGGCAGAAAAGUGUCAUCAAAAAAGUAUAAAUCCUAUUUAAUUGCAUGAAGUUGAGAAUAAUGGAAUGUGUUAGGUUGUGCCUUAGCCAACCUUCCUAUUUAUAUAGAGGCAGUAGAACACUGCAGUAACUGUAAUGAUUACAACAUCCUAUAUUAGAAUCCUAUUCUGAUAGAUACAUGAGUAACUGUAAUGAUUACAACAUCCUAUAUUAGAAUCCUAUUCUAUAAUAUGCCCCCUCAAGCUGAGGGUGGGGGAUCAACCCGAAGCUUGAAUCGAAAAGUAGUAAAGGAUGCAACAGGAAGCGGUUUAGUGAAGACAUCGGCAAGUUGAUCUCGAGAGGGAAUAAAACGAAUCUGAAUUUCUUUCUUAGCAACACGGUCUCGGACAAAGUGAUAAUCCACUUCAACAUGCUUAGUACGAGCAUGGAAGAUAGGAUUUGCUGAGAGAUAGGUAGCACCAAGAUUAUCACACCAAAUGGUAGGGGCAAAGACUGAGGGAACCUGCAAAUCUGUUAACAAGUAUUGAAGCCAAAUGACUUCAGCGGUACCAUCAGCAAGGGCUUUAUACUCAGCCUCAGUAGAGGAGCGAGCAACAGUGCGUUGCUUGCCGGAUUUCCAAGAAAUCGGCGUCUGACCAAAAAAGACAAGAUAGCCGCCCGUAGACUUGCGAUCAUCAAUACUACCAGCCCAAUCUGCAUCUGUAAAGCCAUGUAGAGCAAAAGAGGAGCCUCGAGUGAUAUGGAAACCAUAAGAUGUCGUACCUUUAAGAUAGUUUUUGACAGCGGCCCAAUGAGAAUCUGUAGGAGCAUGCAUAAACUGACAGACUCUGUUAACAGCAAAGCAUAUAUCUGGACGGGUGAAGGUAAGAUAUUGAAGAGCACCCACGAUUUGACGAAAUCGUGUAGGAUCAGAGAAUGAAUGAUCCGGUAAUAAAAUGACUUUCGAAGGGGAGACUGGAGUAUCAACUGGUUUGCAGGAAGUCAUACCAGCUCGGGUGAGGAUGUCAAGAAUAUAUUUAUGUUGACGCAGCAUUAAACCCAUACUGGUAGACUGAACUUCAAUACCCAGAAAGUAGUGAACAACACCUAAGUCACGAAGCUUGAACUCAGAGCUGAGUAACUGUAUAAGGUGAUGGAGCAUAGCAGAGUUGCUACCGUGAGCAGAAUAUCAUCAACAUACACCAGGAGAUAAAAGAUAUUAGUACCAUCAGAUAAGAUAAACAGGGAGGUGUCAACCUUGGAAGCUCGGAAACCGAUGGAGAGCAAAAAAUCACUUAGACGAGUGUACCAUGCUCUCGGUGCCUGUUUCAAACCAUACAAUGAUUUGUGCAAUCUGCACACAUGAGAUGGAAGAGAAGAGUCAACGAAACCUGGAGGUUGUUUCAUGUAGACCUCUUCAGUAAGAACACCAUUGAGGAAGGCAUUAUGAAUAUCAAGCUGAUGAAUCUUCCAAUUUCGCGAAACCGCGAUAGAGAAAACCAAUCGGACAGUGGCCUGCUUAAUAACUGGACUGAAGGUUUCAGAAUAAUCAAUACCUUCCUGCUGGGUAAAACCUCUAGCAACAAGCGCGCUUUAUAGCGCUCAAUACUACCAUCAACACGACGUUUGAUCCGAUAUACCCAUCUACUGCCAACAACGUUCAUCGAAGGAUGAAAUGGAACCAAAGACCAAGUGCGAUUUUCGCGUAAAGCGGCGAUCUCAUCACACAUAGCAUUAUGCCAAACUGCAUACCGGUCAGCAUCAGAGAAUGCAAAAGGCUCAGAAGAGGUACAGUACCCGUGUGGAGGUAGAAGUAGCGGCAGCGGAAGCAACCAGAUUAGCUGUCUUCGGCUGCCGCGGUCUAAGAGUCAUAGGAUGUCUGCUGUGCUGGUGGAGACGCAGGGGAAGACGGUUGUAGCGAGGAGACCUGUGGCAGCUGAUAAGAAGACAAAUCAACCAUAAGUUGCAGACCAGCGGGAGAGGAUGAUAAAGAAGCAGCCUCAAGCACAGGACUGUCAGCAGAGGAGGGGCUGGAAGUAGAGACUGAAGCUGCAGGAGUGCUGGCCAGGGGGGCGAAGCAGAGGAGGGACUAGAAAGUGCCCCAAGACCAUGAGGAGAGGAGACCAAUUGACGAUCUGAACCUGCAUCAUAAGGGUUAGAUAAACAAGCAUGGGAUGAUGGCCAAGGGAUGGGUGGAGGCUGUGGUCGGGUGGCUGUUUGGAGUGGCAAAGCGGAGUGUUGUGGGCUGUUUGGGUGGCUAGUGAAAGUGGGUGUGGGUGGUUUAGCAAAUUUGGGAGGGUGACAGUAGCGGGUGGGGUGGGGUUGUGGUGGAGACCUUUGCAAUCUGUUCAGAAUUAUCAAAUGGAAACACAUGUUCAUGGAAGCGGACAUGACGGAAAUAUAAAUACGGUGAGAUGCAAUGUCAAGACAUCGAUAACCAAGAUGCGAGGAACUAUAUCCAAAAAACACACAUGGAGAGGAACGAAAAUCCAAUUUAUGAUUAUUAUAUGGACGCAGAAAAGGAAAACAGAGACACCCAAAGGUACGCAAAAAAUGAUAAUCAGGAGACCGUUGAAAUAAACAAUCAAACGGAGAGCGAUGGGCAAGAAUAGGAGUAGGCAUGCGAUUUAUAAGAUAAACAGAGGUUUCAAAAGCAUAAUUCCAGAAUCGAAAAGGUGCUUUACAUUGCCCUAAAAGAGUAAGACCUGUUUCCACAAUAUGCCUAUGACGACGCUCUACUGUUCCAUUUUGUUCAUGAGUGUGGGGACAAAUCAGACGAUGAUGAAUACCAAUGGUCUGAAAAAAUGUGGAUAGUUUUCGGUAUUCACCGCCCCAAUCAGUUUGAACAGAUUUUAUUUUUAAUGAAAAUUGACGUUCGACAAGAGUCUGAAAUUGAUGAAAAACAGAGUAAACAUCAGACUUGGCAACGAGAGGAUAAUACCAUACAUAUUUAGUAUAAGCAUCAACAAAGAUAACAAAAUAACGAUAGCCAUCUGAAGAAAAAAGAGGAGCAGGGCCCCAUACAUCACUAAAAAUUAAUUCAAGUGGAGCAGAAGUUUUGUGACCGUAGGUCCUAAAGACAAACGCGAUGAUUUUCCUAAAGGACAACUUUGACAUUGAAAAUUAAGACGUUUGUUGUUACAAAUGAUCUUAUUUUUCGAGAUUAACAAUUGAAAAAUACGUGAAGUAGGAUGACCUAGUCGACGAUGCCAUAAAUCGGCAGAGGCAGAAGUGCAGGGAGACCAAUAGGCUUGAGGAACUGACGUGACGAAGACUUGGUCAGGGCAUAGAGACCAUCUUUACUCUGACCUGAGAGAAGGACUUCAUGGGUGUUGAAAUCCUUGACAUAAAACACACGAGGGUGAAAUUCAAAAUAAACAUUAUUAUCAAGACAAAAUUUCUGAACAGAGAGAGAGGUUUUGUGAUUGCAGGAACAUGAAGAACAUUAGAUAAGGUGAAAGAACGAUGUGGUGUAUAUAUUUUUGUAUGACCAAGAUGAGAUAUAGGAAGGCCCUUACCAUCACCAACAUGCAAAUUAUCAUUACCAAGAUACGGUUCUGAAGCGGUCAAGGUGGCAAGAUCAGGUGUGACGUGUUGAUUGGCACCGGUAUCUGGAAACCAAUCAACAGAACCGGUUGAGGAGAGAUUGCGCUGCACCAGGUUGGCAGUAGGUUGUUGGCCAUAACCUCGCUGCUGGAAUUGAGGGCAAUGGGGAGCUGUAUGGCCGAAAUUCUGACACAGUUGGCAGCGUGGAUUCUGCCCCUAUUGCGCUGCCAAGAGCCCUGCCUAUUGUCACCGAAGGAGGAGUUUUGGAAGCUGCGGUGAUCAGGUCUGGAGCCAGCAAAUCGGUUGCCUCUGCUGUUGGACUGGUUGGGACGCCAGCCACCGUUGAAGCGGCCCUACGCCAGAAUUGCCAAAAGUCUGGCGCUGCAACAAGAGCAGAAGAUGGAAUGCUGGGUGUGGGCAGCAGAGGAGCAUGUAUGGCAGCAGAAGAUUUGUGAAGAAAUUCAUGUGUGAGGAGAUGGCUGUGAAGAUCUGCAUAUGAUAAAGGUUCAGCCUUGGUAAUAAGACUGGUAACUAAGUCUUUAAACUCUCCCCGAAGACCACGAAACACAUAUAAAUUGAAAUCUUCAAGCGAAACUGGCCGACCAGCAGCGGCCAAUUCAUCAAAUAAGGCCUUCGCUUUUUGCAUAAAUUGAGUUACUGAUUCAUCACCCUGUCGAAGAUCCUGAAGAGAGCCGUGAAGUUGCAUAAUACGAGAGUUGGAGGUGGAAGCGAGAGCUCGCUCAAGAGUGCCCCAAGCUGAACAAGAACUUUGACAGCCAACAACAAGAUGCAAAACUUCCAUAGAUAGGGAGGAAAGAAGAGCACUUAGAAUGAGUUGGUCCUGUUGUUUCCAGGUUUGAAAAAGCGGAUUUACCUGAAGAGAGAUACCAUCAUGGGCAAGAACAUGUGUUGAUGGACAUGUGUUGGAGCCAUCAACAAAACCAAAAACUCCUUGGCCUAGGAGAUAAGGCAGCAUCUGCAUACGCCAAUAUAAAUAAUUGGUGUUUGUUAAUUUGAGGGAGAUGACUUGAUGAGUGUGAGAAAGGGAGAUAAUGCUUGCGGCAGUAGAGGCAGCAGACGUGGGCUGCAAGAGGAGGCGUUCACCAGCCAUGGCAGAGGAGAAUCCAGGCGGUGACGCAGUAGAGGAAAGCAGAGGAGGCGCUGCAAGAGAAGAGGGUUGCACUGUCGGAGAAGAAGAAAGCUGGACUGCUGGUGCUGCAGAAUUUGAAGAUGUAUGUGGCGGCUGUUCCAUUGAAGAAGGGAGGUUGGGAGGCUAUGAGAAAAUUAGGUUUAAUUUAUUUUAGGGUUUUGUGGCUCUGAUACCAAGUUGAGAAUAAUGGAAUGUGUUAGGUUGUGCCUUAGCCAACCUUCCUAUUUAUAUAGAGGCCGUAGAACACUACAGUAACUGUAAUGAUUACAACAUCCUAUAUUAGAAUCCUAUUAUGAUAGAUACAUGAGUAACUGUAAUGAUUACAACAUCCUAUAUUAGAAUCCUAUUCUAUAAUACAUGAAAUGUUAUUUAGAUCAUGAAUACAUGUGUAUGGCAAUUGAUUAUUUUUAUACAUGUAUGGCAGAGGUGAAAUUAAUAGAUGAAAUAAAUUAAUGGUUAGGAAUAACAAAAAUUAAGAAUUACUUUAAUAGAUGUUUUAUACUAUGUUUUGAAACGAUUUGCAUGCCCAUGCAUUAUAGAUAGUAGCAGUAUUUCUCGUAUAAACAUGUUAAAAUAUUGGAGAGAAGGUCGGUUCAAAUUUUAUAUUUGUAGUCGAAUUAUGACCUUAAUCAAUUUGAAAUCAAGUUGAUUUCAAUAAUAACUCUACAUGCACGCUGGAUAGAAAUAUAAAUAAAUUUGUUGAGAUAUUUUAGAGGUGUAGAUAAAAUUAUUACUCAAAUCUUGGAUAAAUCAAUUACAAUAUUUCUAUUUGGAUUAGCAGGUGGCAUAGAUAUCUGAAUUAGCUAACUACAUAUAUAUUAUAUAUAUAUAUAUAUAUAUAGUAUCAUGUAGCAUUCCACCAAUCACACGUAAAAGAAAUAAAGAGAAAGAAAGAGAGAUGGCUGAAGGUGCUUUUAUUCUAGCACGUGGUGGAAAGGAAUACGUUGCAAUGUUAACUUUCACGGUGUUCCUGAGUUGUUUUUUUGCAGCAAUAGGAGGUUUGAUUUUUCGUUAUGAUCGUGGCAUUUCAGGGGCGUAAUAAUGUAGAAUUAAGCAGUUUAUAUUUUAAGAUGCAAUAAUCUUAUCUUGAUUUUUAUGUGUUUCUAAGUAUUUAUUUAUUUUGUAUACUAAUUUUAUGUCUAUGAUGUUUGUUGGUGUUGAAGAAGAAAAAAAAAAUUAACAAUGAUUUGCACUGGUUUUGUUUGUGUUUAGCGUGAAUGAAUAAUUAAUUGUAGGAAUUCGAGGUUAGUUGAUAAGAGGUUCGAAGAUUGGAAUUAGGCUUUUUUCUAUAGUCUUGUGUGGACCUACGAUGCACACUUUGUUCAUGAGAUGUGUUCUAAAUAUAAGUUACGUAAUAAAUUCGUUGUGUAUUAAUAAAUUUUUGCUUUAUUAGUUGUGUGUAUUGAUAGAGAAAAUUGAAGAAUUCAAUCAUUGAUAGUUUGAUUGCCCUGUUAUCUCUGUUUUUUACAAUUCGUGUGUUUAUUAUUUGCUUGCCUUAUAGCUCAACAUAGCAUUCAAAGGACUAUAAUAUUCACCUGAUCAGAUAGUUCUAUGGGGCGCAGCUAUGGUGUUAUGUUCAAGCAAUAUUGCAGCUGUCAAGUAAACUAAAAAAUUAGUCUCGUGAUGGGCACAAAAAAAUCCCCGAUAAGUAAGUUUUUUGGGUCAUUUUUUGAAUUUCUUUUGAAAUUUGUAGUGAUUUCUGCUAAAUGUUUUCUUUUUGUUUAAAACUUGUUAAGGCAUUACUGUCAUUGUUGCAUUUGAGAACAGAAGGAUGUACAUUUAUUUAUAAUGAUUUUGUACUGGAUAUUUAAAUAUUGUGUGCCUUCUCCAUUGAUUGAAUUUUGUUGAGGUUUUUUUAAACUAAUAUCCUGAUCCAAUCAAUUGCGUAAAAUUUUUAAUAUAUGUGAUAAUUACAGUAUGUUGCUGUGAAAAUUUUCAUGGAGCAAGGCUUUCAUGCUGAACGCUUUAAGGAAUUUCUUAGGGAGGUGUGUUUUAUCUAGAAUUGAUUGUGAUGUGCACUAAGCUGAAGAAUUUUUUUGAAACAUCGCUAUUUAUGUUCCUUGGAAUUGUCGCUCAUAAAGUUUGAUUGUGAAGUGGAGAAAUAAAUAUGCUAAGAGUUAUAAGGAAAAGUGGAGAAAUAGAGAAGUGAAACUUGUAUAAUACAGCAGUGAAAAAUAAGUUUACAUGCAGAGGCAUGAAAUAAGACGAAAACAAAAAUAUUGAAUGCAGCUGAUACGGGUGGACCAAACUGGACAAAGAAAGAAAUAUGAAACCAUAUGGGUUAGGAGUUGAUGAAACCAGCACACGCUGCAGAAUCGUAGAAACAAAAAGAAAAGAGAAAAGACAUAAGUUUCUUUUUGAUGAACAUGGCAAUCAUGAAAAGAGGCAUAAAUGAUGCACAACCAAACUGCAGAAUCAGACAUAAAGUCAAAGAUAGUUGAUGUUUAAUGAAAUAAAAUCACUCGUUUGUCAGGUGGCUAAUUCAUGUAAACGUCGAUAUUUAGAGAUUUGUGAUUCUAAUUUUAUUUCUAUACCACUGUUCUUUCAAGCGAUAUUUAGAGAAAGCUUAUGAAGUUUAUGGCUACCAAACUAUAGGUCCAUCAUGGCUACCAAACUGCAGGUAGCGAUAUUGACAAAACAUAUCAAAUUUGCAUUGCAUGGACUAAGGGCUGUGAAGGAAAAAAUACUUACAUGAAAAAACAAAGGUAGGCAGCAAAGUCGUUGAUCCAAAGCAGAAAAAUAAAUAGUAGACGAAGCGAGAGACUACCCUGAAAAAACAUGGAAAAAACUUAUGAAAAAUAUAGGAGCAUGAGAAAUUAUAGUUCGUAUGCAGCAAAAAACAAAAGGUCGAAAAACUUAAAUAUAUUAUAGUUAAAAUGGAAUUAAGUUUGAAUUUUUUUUUUUAUGUUGCAAGAAGACUCAUAGAUGUUCAAGCUUGUGAUUAGAAAAUUUUAACACACAAAAGAUACAACAAUGAAUAAAAAGAUUACCUUUUGGUAAUAAUUGAAUGAUAUCUUUGUAAACAAUGUUUUUGGCAUAACAUGAUGGUUUUCCUUCAUGAUCGAAGGAAAAGAUUUUAAGCCCAUUCUUUGAUGUAACUCUUGAUAAAGCAACAUAUAAUUGACCAUGACUAAAAACUUGUUCUUUCAAGAAGACACCAACAAUCUUAAGUGAUUGUCCUUGGCUUUUAUUAAUAGUCAUAGCAUAGCAAGGCCUAAUAGGAAAUUGUCUUCGUUUGAUUGUGAAGGGGCAUUUUUUAUCAUUAACUGGAAAGACAAUUCGUGGAAUAAAAACUCGAUCUCCAAUGUUAGACCCGGUAAUAAUUUGGGCUUCAAUAAUUUGCUCGGCAAGCUGCGUAACAAUAAGCCUUGUUCCAUUACAUAAACCAGCAGAGGGACUAAGGUUCCGAAGUAACAUAAUCGGUGUGCCAAUUUUCAAAGAAAUACUGUGUUGGGGCACACCAUUUGUCAUAACCCAAUUUUUGACCAUUUUUAUUUUUUAUUAUUUUAUUUAUUGAAAAGGAAAAAAAUUGAUGAAAAAAUAAUAAUAAUGAUGAGAAAACAAGUAAAAUGAAAUAAAUGAAGAAUGAAUUAAUAUUUGGGUUAAUGGAAAAAUGAUUGAAAGUUUUGGGGUUUAAUUAAACUUUGAAAUUAAUUUAAUUAAUCUUGGAGUUAAUUUAUUUAAUCCAAUUAAGGGUUUAAUUGGAGAAUUGAUAAGUUUUGAGAUUUAAUUAAGCUUGAAAUUAAUUUAAUUCAUCCAAUCAAGGAUUUAAUUGGAGAAUUGAUAAGUUUUGAGACUUAAUUAAGCUUGAAAUUAAUUUAAUUCAUCCAAUCAAGGAUUUAAUUGGAGAAUUGAUAAGUUUUGGACUUAAUUGAGCUUGGAAUUAAAUUAUUCAGGGACUUAAUUAAGAAAAUAUCAAAGUUUGGGGUUUGAUUGGGGUUCAAAUUGCAAACAUCAAAAUCCAAGGACCAGCUUGAAAAUGGCGCCGAAAUGCAGGGGUCCAGUUACAAUUUAAACAGGGACUUAAUUACAAAAUUGUCAAAAAUGCAAGGUCGAAAAUGCAAAUAGCAAUUAAACACCAAAAACGACGCCGUUUUCCCUUUGCUGUUCAUCUUCUUCCCGACUGAAACGGACGCACACCGCCGCACAGCCAUUACUCCUGCAGUUAUCACACUUAAUGGUUGGAAGAAAACGCAUUGUUUUCUCUGGCUAUAAAAGCCAUGGAACGACUGAACACCAGGGGCGGAUUUUUUACUGAAAAAAAAAAAAGAAAAGGAGCAGAACCGAGGAGGGAGAAAGAAAGAAAGCCAUGCACGGCAGGGGGAGAGGGGAAGACACAGAAUCAGUUUCAACCAUCUCUUCACCAUCUUCAGCAACUCUUCAGCCUCCAGCAACCCAGACAGGAGAAGAACCCCCAUCGACUUGACUAAGGGAGAACACUGGAAACAAAGAACGGAGCAGAACGAGACAGACAGGGGAGACCGAGAGAAGACCAGGAACCGAAACAAAGAAACACAGAGGACAACACAGAAAAAAAAGGGACGACUGGAGAAGCAAACGCAAACAAAACCAGAGGAAGAAGCUUGAAAAACGAAGAGAGGACCAGCGUCACCACCGACUGCCUCUUCUCCAGCAUCAGCUUCCAAAACCAGAGGAGGAAGCUAAAAAGGAGAGAGGAACGAGCAGCUGACAGAAGGAACACACCGACAGAAGGGAAACGAACGAACACAGGGAUCUUGAGGACCAAGAAAGACUGAAAAAAUCCGGACUGCCAUUUCCAGCACCAGGUAAGUUACGUUUUCCCUUCUUGCAUUUUAAUUACCAGCUCCUACAGCAGGCGUGCGUGAGCUGCUCACGCACGCCUGCUGGUAAAAAAAAAUGGCCAGCCGGGUCAAGCUUGUGACCCGGCUGGGCUGGCUGGGUCUAGCCCAGCCCAUGUGGGCUGCGCUGGGCCCAGCCCCAAAAAAAUAAAAAAUAAAAACAGAAAAAUAAAAAAGGUAGAAAAAUAAAAUAAAAAAUGUGUAUCAUGAAUAAAAAUAAUGUAAAUUUAUUGGUUUAUUCACUGACGCCAGAGUCAGGAAUAAAAAUACCAGUUUAAAUUUAUAUUAUUUUUAUUCGUUGUAUUUUAUUUUAUUUAGCUAGAAAAAUAAAAAAAUAUAUGCAUGCAUAAAAAUAAAUUUAUUUUUAUUUGUUCACUGGUGCUAGAGUAGGAAAUAAAGAAUAUUGAUCUAAUUGUUUAUUAGCUACGAAUUUUUAUCAACGCCAGAGUUGGAAUUAUUCGAGCUCGAAUAUUCACUGACGCCAGAGUCAGGAAUAUUAUAAACAAAUCAUCAUAGCAUAAAUUAAUAAAUAUUUAGCAAUUUAAGACAAAACCAACAAUGCAGUCUGCCUUAGGCAGAACGUUUAAGGGGUGAUAAUAUCUUCCCUUUUACGUAACCAAUCCCGAGCCAUAGAAUCUCUGUUGACCAGUUAGGGUUCCUAGUGACCAUAAUACUAGGUGGCGACUCCUCAAACAAGACAUUUUUUUUUUCUAAAAGAACCGGAUGCCAGAAUCUGUUCUUUUUCCAAAAUCAAGAGAAUUAUAUUUUUAGAGCCGCCGCGAUGUCGGGUGUGACAGAAUGGCGACUCCACUGGGGACUUAGGAUUAAGCUUUGUCUUUUGUCUUAUUAUUGCUAUUUUUUAUUAUUAUUUUUUGUUGUUGUUGUGUUUAUUUGAUUAUUUUUUCCUGCAUUUAUUGCUUUAGCAUGCAUCCUUGUUUAUGUUGUCAUGCAUCACUUUGGGAGCACACACUUUACAACCUAGGAUAAGUGGGGAAGUAACGGUACCCCAAUGGCUUUAGCCUGGGUAAGACUCAUGAAACCAUCCAACUCUCGCUUGAUUGUUUACUUGGAAGUGGUUGAUAUGCCAAACUGAUAUUACUCAGGGCCUCUAUCUUCACACUACUUGUAAGCCUCAUAUCGACCUUUCAUGGACGAUCACUGAGCAUGCGAAAGACCCUUUGAGACUAGAUAAUGACCAACCCCUUGAUGCACUCAAUAAUUAGGAUCUUCCAAUUAGGUUGUCAUCCCGUGAAGGGCAAGUACGCAUUUCAUAUGCAUUUUUUUUAUUUUUUAUUAUUGCUUUAGCAUUUUUGCAUAAUUGCAUGAUUUACAUUUAGCAGGUUGAAAUAUAGGUCCCCCAUUGAAACUCAUUUAUAAUACUCUUUCGAGAAAAAGACAAAUGAAAAAUGAAGAAAGAGCCCAGUUGGAAGCCCAACAUCAAAAAGAGGUGGACAAUCUUAAGGAAGAAGUCGCAAGGCUUACUAGUCUACUCGAGCAGGCCUUGAGAGAUAAAUCCGGAAAAGAAACACUUAUAGCUCAGCCUGGAUAUAUGCAUGUAACUCAUUUCGAUCCACAGAAUCUGGGGGCAAAUAGGGAGUCAUCUGAAUUUCAACAAGCUAUGCAUUUCCAGCCAGCAUACCCUUCAAGAAUUUCAUCUACCACUGAUUCCACCGAGAAAGAAUCUCAAAAGGGCAAGAUGGUGAAAGAAGAGGAUUUGGAAAAAUGGACUACCCUAGAGAAGAGGAUAAGGGCAGUUGAGGGAAACCAUUUGUGUGACCUGGUGAAAGCUGUCAAUAUGUGUUUGGUGCCCAACGUUGUCAUUCCCAAAAAGUUUAGAGUGCCAGAAUUUGUCAAAUAUACGGGAACUCAAUGCCCUAUAACUCAUCUUAAAGCAUAUUGCAACAAAAUGGCUGAGGUGUUUGAUGAUGAGAAACUGCUGAUUCAUUUUUUUUCAGACAGCUUGAGUGACGCUGCCCUCACUUGGUAUAUGUGGUUGGACAAUACCAAGGUUAAAAAAUGGAAGGACUUAGUUGAUGCCUUCAUGAGGCAAUAUAAGUUCAAUAUAGACGUGGGUCCUGAUCGGUUAAGCUUGCAAGCUAUGGAGAAGAACAACAAGGAGUCCAUAAGAGAAUAAAAACAGAAAAAUAAAAAAUAAAAACAGAAACAGAAAAAUAAAAAAGGUAGAAAAAUAAAAUAAAAAAUGUGUAUCAUGAAUAAAAAUAAUGUAAAUUUAUUGGUUUAUUCACUGACGCCAGAGUCAGGAAUAAAAAUACCAGUUUAAAUUUAUAUUAUUUUUAUUCGUUGUAUUUUAUUUUAUUUAGCUAGAAAAAUAAAAAAAAUAUGCAUGCAUAAAAAUAAAUUUAUUUUUAUUUGUUCACUGGUGCUAGAGUAGGAAAUAAAGAAUAUUGAUCUAAUUGUUUAUUAGCUACGAAUUUUUAUCAACGCCAGAGUUGGAAUUAUUCGAGCUCGAAUAUUCACUGACGCAGAGUCAGGAAUAUUAUAAACAAAUCAUCAUAGCAUAAAUUAAUAAAUAUUUAGCAAUUUAAGACAAAACCAACAAUGCAGUCUGCCUUAGGCAGAACGUUUAAGGGGUGAUAAUAUCUUCCCUUUUACGUAACCAAUCCCGAGCCAUAGAAUCUCUGUUAACCAGUUAGGGUUCCUAGUGACCAUAAUACUAGGUGGCGACUCCUCAAACAAGACAUUUUUUUUUUCUAAAAGAACCGGAUGCCAGAAUCUGUUCUUUUUCCAAAAUCAAGAGAAUUAUAUUUUUAGAGUCGCCGCGAUGUCGGGUGUGACACCAUUAAAGUCAAGCUGGUUGAUAAAUUCAAUUGGAUACAAUAAAUCGAUGUUGUCAAUAUCACCAGAAGUUGUUUGGAUAGAAUCACAACUAAGAAAGUUGUAUUUAUGACCAGGUAUAAUAUCAAGGAUAAAAAUAUUAAUCUCAGAAACAGUUACAUUCUUCGGUGUAACAAUUGCUCUGUCUUUAAAGUAGAAUGGGUCAAGAUGAGCCCUUUCAAUGUCAGGAUAUAUGGCAGAGACAAUAGCUGCAAUUGGAGAAUCAAUCACUUCAACCUGAAGCUCACAUGGGAUUUUGAUAAAUGCCGCAUCAUGAUCAUCCGAAACAGCCAAAUCACAUAUUUGUCCAUCACCAAUUAAAAGGAUUCUGCAAACUGUCUAAGUUCAUCCUUUUGGUCUAGGCUUAAACCUUCAGCUGAUAGUCACAUAUUUUGAUUCAAAGUAAGGAAUGUGAAUGCAGACCAAAGCAAUGAGCUAGUAAAAGAAGCAUUAAUUAUUUCUUCUUUUGUUCCUCCAGGUAUAACAGGAAGAAUUUGUCGGAAAUCUCCACCUAAUAAGACAGACUUGCCACCAAAUGGAUUGUUAAGUCUAAGAACAUCUCGUAGAGACCUGUCUAAAGCUUCAAAACAGAAUCUAUUAUUCAUUGGAACCUCAUCCCAAACAAUGAGUGAUGUCAUCUCUAGUAGUCGUGAAAGGUGAGUGUUGUGUUUAAUCUCGCAUGUUGAACUCUCAUUAACUUCUAAUGGAAUUUUAAAUCUAGAAUGGGUUGUUCGCCCUCCAGGUAAUAGAAGAAAAGCUAUUCCAGAUGAGGCAACAGCAAGAACAAUUAAACCUUCAGAUCUAACUCGAUUAAUAAUUGUAUGCCAUAAAAAAGUCUUUCAUGUUCCACCAUGACCAUGAACAAAUAUGAGCGCUUUUCUCUUUUGUAGUAUAGAUGUAAUAACAGAAUCAUAGAUGUUUUUUUGACAUGGAUUAAGAAGAGGCAUAAUCAAUGAAUGGUUAUUUCUAAGCUCAGCAAGAUCAUAGUCAAGCUCUUCCCUUAAAAGUUUGUUCCUGACUUCAUCCAUCAAUCGACCAUUCGGCAUUGGAAGUUUAUGAUCUUCCAAUGAUGUUCCGGAAGCAUUAAAAAGUUGUUCAAGUUCCUACAGCACAUAGUUCUUAAGUUCGUCAUCAGAGAAACAAACAUUCAACAUUGAAAAAGAAGAUCUCAGAUGAUAUUCAAUGUCAUCAUGCAUAGAGUGCCAAAAUUGAUCGAAAAGACUAUUUGGAUCAGCAACCUCGCAAAACAUAAUAAUAUUAACAAAAAAUUGCCUUAGCUGCGGAGAAGAAGCUGUUGGAAUAGCCUCACCAAAUGCAUCUGACCAUUCUUUAUCAUCUCCUAAGAGUCCCAAAGCCUUGCAUGCAAGUUGAAAAGUUGGAAAUAUUGUACCAGAGAUUUGCCGCAAGUCUUCAAAGCUCUUUGCUCCUUUAACAUGAUUAAGUAACAUUCUGAGAAAAUACAACUCUCCAGCUACAGGAUGGACAUACACAAUGCGACCAAGGCAAAAUCCACGUGAUCUAAUAAUCCAUUCUUUUUGCCUAGCAUCCCAAACAUACUUGCUUGGAAACUGUGAGUAAAAUAGAUCUCGUGCAUUGACAUCAACUCUGUUGCGCUCAAACCACUCUGUGAGCAUUAUCUUAUUAAUGCCAGGCCUUUUAAGAAGUGAUGAUAAGGAUUGAUUACCUGAAAAAAAAUACAUGGUGCUGUAAUGGUAGAUGGACUUGAAGUCUUUCAACAGCUGGGCUCCUUGAAUGGAUCGGGAAUUGGAAUAAUCGCCAUACUGCUUCAUAUGGACAAAUGAAUCUACAGUUUAGAUAAGCUUGUAUUUCAUCAUCAGCCUCUUUCUUCAUAACCAUUCUGCAUCGAUCAGCUCCUUUGCUAACAUACUUAAAAAGAUACUUGAUAAGUAGAGAUUGACAACAAAUUUCAACAUUAAUGUGUGCAUUGUAUCGAAGCAAAAGUUCUUUGUUGUACGGGACAACAUGACAAUUUGACAGGGAAAUGUCAUUUCUAACAAUGUGACUCAUAGGCUGCAUGCGUCGUUUAUAGUAAACAAAACCAUUCUCACCAAAGAUGGUCACAUCUUUGUUUUUUUUUUUUUGAAAUUGUUUGGAACAUUUAUUCUUUUCCAUACAUUGAGCCUUUGGAUUUGCAGCGCCGCAUGGACCAUGCAUCAUAAAUUUUGAAACUAUCUCAAAGCAAAUAGGAUCUUGAUGCUUGUCAGGUAUUUCAGCUGAAAUAAUAGAGUCAACAUCCUCAGGCGAACGGAAUUUGAAUUCUGGAGCUAGCCAAACUAACAAAUGAGUAUGCGGCAAACCUCUUUUUUGAAACUCCACAGCGCAAACAUCUAAAAAGAGAAUGCAAGUAAAGAAGUAAAAACGGAUGUUUGUAGAAGGAUAAAAAUAGAAACUUGAAAUUUAAGAAAUAAAAAAAAAUACCAGCAAUUGUCCGUCCAAAAGGUUUUCCAGACUUGAUGAAUGACAUAAUAUCAAUUAGUUUGGAAUGAAAUACCCUUGCUAUGAUGUCAGGUUUGUCCUCACGUUGAUAGCCCCUUGUUUUUUUAAUUUCUCGGUGAAUUUCAGGCCAAUUAACAUUGCAGGUAAAUGUGAUAAAAAGAUCAGGAUUCCCAUAACAUCUACAUAUGGCCAUAGCAUCUUGGUAAUUAUUAACCAUAUACCGAGGGCUUCCUGUUAAAGACGAUGGAAGUAUAAUUUUCCCUGUAGUUGAUCCAUCAGUAUCACCUCUAGUAAUAGCAUCAUGUAUUCCUUUGUAAUGCUCACUUCUAAGAUUUUCUUGGUUUGCACGUAUAAAAUCUAAACGUUCCUCUUCAACAUUAACAAAUGCAUCAACCAAAAAUUGUUGGUACAAUCGUCUGCCUUUUAUGAGAGUGCUUUCUUGUUUUUCUCUUUCAUGAAUGAGAUAAGCAUAAUAGGCUCUCAUUGAAACCUUUUGUCUUUUUUUAGGUGGUUGCUGCUCUUGAUGAGCUAAUGGAAUAUCAGUGUGGAAACCAUCCUCACCAUAUGGAAAAAGAAGUGGGUAAUGAAGGGACAUAAAUUUUGGAUGAAGCUUUGAGAUCCUCUGAAGUGUUCCAGAUAAACUUUCAAUAAUUAUGUCUCGAUCAGAUCGACAAUGACCAAUGUCCCCAACAACCAAACCACCAAUGUCAUUUAAAGAAGGAUCGUCGUAUUGCCUUGAGUCAUCAUCUCUUUUACCAAUUAACCGAAGUUUGAAUUCUGGAACCUCGACAUCCCCAAGUCUUUGUCGAGCAUGACGGAACAAACAAACCAAUUGAUUAGAUGAAUCAACCAUAUUGAUUAGCCCAACAACAAUGUCACUAUCCAAGAUUGAUUGAAAAUUUUCAUUGCAGAAUGGUUGCAGCCGGUUAGAAACCUUAUUAUCUGUAUCAAAAAUAUAAAGCUGCGCAAACUUGGGGCCUUUGUUAUCCAUGGGAAGAAGAGAACCCAUAAAAUGGUGGUAGUAUCCAUUGACCUUAAAAAUAUAAGAUCCAGGUCGAGAAUUAACAUUGAGUUAUAAGCACGAAUUUCACGACGAAAUGUUUUACAUGAUGAACCAUUGUUUGGGUUAAGGAGGUUAUCAAGGUAGUUAGGUGUUUCUUGUGGAGCAGGAAGCACCACCUUCCCAUUAUUACAACAAAGUGUAAAGCAUGGGCUUGUUUUAGAUGAACUGGCCAAGCGUUCUUGCAACCAAAAAAGAGUGUCGCAAUGCUUACACUUGUAUGUUUUAUCGCCAAAAUCAAUGUAUUCAAUUAAAUAACCUGUAAAAAAUGAAGGUAAGAUACUUCAAGGAAUGAUAUAAAAGAGAUAAUUACAAAUAAAGGAAAAAUGGCUACAAAAGGUACAUGAUUGGAUUACAUACGCCUUUUUUUUUCUGAUAUGAUGCUUGGCUUAUAAUAGAUUGAUGAUUAACGGUUUGCUCAGAGAAUCCUUCAGAUUCAUGACUUGAAACUACAUCACUACAGUGAAAUGAAUCAAGGGCGGUAGAUUGUGGAGGAUUGGAUUGCCUUGCAGCACUAAUUUGAUUAGUUCCAGUUUGCACUAUGUUGCUUGAUAAGGAGAAGGUGGUUUGUAUAUCUAUGUGCUGGCGUGAACAGACCAAAGUGCCGACCCCUUGAGUAUGUUGUGGAGCAGAUGGUGUAUUUGAAGAGCUUGGGUUAUCGGAUAGCAAGAUUCUAUGAACGGGGGUUUCAUAGUCAUUCAAAACAAAUUGUGAGGAUUGAGAAGAUGGCAUAUACCCAUCCGGUUGAACAUGUCCGUCAGGACUUGUCAUGUUGUUGCUCUAAAGAAACCAUGGAAAUAAAACACGAAGUUAAAUGAAAGGAAAACACAAAAAAACCAUGAUUAGUACAUGAUCAUGGCCAAGUGAAGGGAAACACAAGGAUAGAGAAAAUAUUAAUGACAUGUGUUUUCUAAAGAAACCAUGUAAACAUAGGGAUAAUAAGUAAUUAAAAAACAAAACAUAAUGAAAUUAAGUGUUGGCCAAAGAUUAAUUGGCUUGUAAGGUGAAGGAAUUACAUUAGACUAAAAUCUUUGAUAUAUCAUGAGACAUGAUGAUAGGGCAGGCUUAGCUAAAAACACAACUCCUUAGUUCAGGAAAGGAUGAAGAUAUAACAAUAAAAGAUCAAGCAAUAAAAAAAAAGACAUUAUGUGUUGCUAAACACAGAAAUACCAUAACCAUGAUUACGCAUGCAAGGAAAUAGAAAUGCAUAAAGUAAAUAACAGAAAGGCACAAAACAAACCUGAGAAAAUACCGACGAUAAAUAAAAGUGGCCGCUUUAAAAGAUCUGAAAGACAAAGUUAAAUUUUGAUUAAUAUGUGCAAGAAUAAAAACAAACAGACACACGGUAUAAGACCUAGAGAAUGAGGCAUGAAAAAAAAAACAAAAAUAAAAAUAAAAGAUGAGGCAACAUGUUUAGGUAAAAGAAAUUAAGAUCACAAUCUCAGCAAGCGCUUAAAAAAAAACACCAAAGAAAAAAAGGAAAAAAAGCUAGAACAAUCUUUGUAAUUUGUUUAAUGAGAGUGUCCUUUGUCCUGCAAUGUUUUUUAAAAAAUUAAAACAUAGGAUAAGAAAUUUUUUAUUUUCGAAAUUGUCCUAUAACCCAUAGUUUGACUCAUGCAAACAUUGCUAAAAACACUAAGGACCCGUGACCUGCUUUCUUUAUAUGAACAUUAGGCAUGUGAAAUUUGUUGCAAGCUCGUGCUCCAAACGAAUAAUAAUAAUUAAUAUAACCUCAUUAUAAAAGUAUAAAUCCUAAGUUAUUUCAUGAAAUGUCACCCACACCAUCAACACAUGUAUAGCAACCAUGAAGAAAAAAGUGUCUAUUUGUACAAACCAACGAACACUUUGAAUUUCUCUUUUCACAUCAGAUGUAAAACGAUAUUGUUUCAAAUUUUGUUUUUCUCUCAAGUACAAUGGAAAAAGUAAUGCCCACACCUCAAAAAAAAAUGUCUUAAUGAAUAUAAUAUAAUCCAAGCUUCAAUUCUGAUCAUGAGAAAGAUAUAUAAAUUAAUAUUGAAUAUGAUGAAUCAUAUGUGUUCUGAAAACCAAUAUUUAUGAGCAAAGCUAGUUUGUUUUUGCCGCCAGCAAUGAACGGCCAUGUAAAUUGUUUCAAAACCAGCAUGAAAGAACUGUCAAUGAGCAACGGCUGCCUCUUUUUGUUGUUUGCAUAAUGACCGCCCAUACUCUCCUUUCCAUUAUUCCUAUAUACGUCUUGCCCCAACAAUUCUAUGAAUCGCAUCUCCGAUGGAGUUUCAAGAUGCAAACUUAGCAGAGCGGUUCCAAAACGAAGAAGCUAAGCAGCAAGCAAGCACCAAACAUCUAUGCCGAAUAGGUAGCAUAUUCAUGAACUUUUUGUGAUGUGGAUAGGUGGAGAGCUGUAGACAGUUUUGGUGGUUAUUUUUAAAAAUAUAUUUUAUUUUAAAGUAUAUUAAAAUAAUAUUUUAUUUUAAUUUUUAAAAUUUAUUUUUGAUAUUAGCAUAUCAAAAUAAUCUAAAAAUAUUAAAAUAUAUAUUAAUUUAAAAUAAAAAUUAAAUUAAAUUUUGUUCUAAGCACAAAAAUAAAUAAAGUGUCUUUUACGAUUCCUUUAGACAAGCACGCACCGAUCCCCAUGUGCAUGUUCCCAUUGACCAUUGCCCCAUGAUAUUUUCAGGUCCAAAUAUCCCACCCGACACCAUUUACCAUUUAGAACAUCAUAAUCUGCAUUAUUUUACUUUCGAGUCCUUUUGCACAUGCACGCGAGAGGAACUGCCACCACUGCCAUCAAUCUCGCAAGAUGGAUCGCUAGUGCCCAGCCCCUACCAAGAAAAAUGUUAAAAAGCCAGCAAUCCACGCCGUGCUUUCUGUGGGCAAAAAAGCUGAUUUUCCCAGGCAAGUUGGCAUUCUUCGGUCACUUUCUUGUUGCACCAGUUUCUAGCCCUCGCAUAUAUAUACUUGCCAUCCCAUUUUCCUUUCAACAAAUCAGUCACAAUCUAAAAAAAAAAAAAAAAAGUUGUAUUUCAAUCUUGAAAGUCCAGCUUCUCAUUACAGCAAAUCAUCAGUUUUCUCAAAUGAGUCUCAUCAAGAAUCACAAACCUUGUCCAGUGAUUGAAUCCCACCACUCAACGCAUAAAUUCUUCACCAUAUGCAACUACAUUCUCUUGUGUUCAGCCUCUAGUUGCAUAUUCCUCACCCUUUCUCUCCGCCUAUUCCCUUCUCUCUGCGGCUUCUUUGUCAUUGUCCUCCACAUGUCCACCAUCAUUAUAGUUGUAUCUGGCUGUCCUAUGACGUUAUCUGGAUUCCAACAAUUGGUAUGCAGCUCACAUGAUCAGCACCUCUCUAACAGCAAUAUUUCAAGCAUCAGUUUACCGAAUCCUACUCUUCCGCUCUCGCUCCUCUUCCUACAGGUGCGAGUAGCAUGCUAUUAUAGGGAGUCCUCCCACUGCACUGGAGUGAGUUUAUUCCAAGAAAGAAGACAGAGAGUGACCUUGAAGUGUGCUUCUUGUUCGUUUUCUUCCCUUGGCUCCAUUCCAUCCUUUACAAAGUACAGGUCCCAGGUUCGCGCUUUCCUUUGAACAUGAGCUCUUAGAUAGAUAUCAGCAUAGCUUCGUAAUUAAACUUCUCACACAUCUUCUCUAAAACCGAGAGCUUGAGAUGCAUUGCUUGCGUCUUCAUUGGGUCUUACGUACUUAAAAACAAAAAAGAAAUGACCAACAUACUGUAACGGUCUAGUUACAGCGCCGAACGACCAAUAUUUUCUGAGCAAUAUUUGUAUGCCAUAACAGCUACCUUAUUCAUUACACAAACAUAUAUAAUUACAAAAACGAUAUGCCAUCCUAUAUUGCGGCAUGCAAUGAAAAAACAUCUCUGCAAACUUUAUAAAAAAACAACAAAAGAAGUUCCCAAAGCUUGGCAAAAGCAUAAGAUUUGGUAUGUAGAAAUACAAUUGGCUGCGAUUCUAUUUUUUGCAAAACUAAUCAUUAUGCACAGCUGUUAGACAAAGAAACGCACAUAACCCAGAAUGUGGUGCGACAGAGAUGCACCUGACAUGAGCGCACGACGACGGAUAAAGAGUAGAAUAUCAAACCAUAUGCGUUAGGACUUGAUGAAACGAAGACAGUCUGCAGAAUCACACAAAGCAGAAAGAAAAGAGAAAAGAGAGAAGCCCCUCUUUUGAACAACAUGGCAACGACUGCAGAAUGAGACAAAAAUGUAAAGACACUUGAUGGCCAAUGAAAAAAAAAACACUCCUUUUCAUAAUAUGACAGAGCACAGGCCAUGCAUAAUAUGCAGACAGCAAGAUGAGCAUAGUUACUUUCCACAACACAAUCUUAAAAACAACUAAGAGGAAAAUAUUCUAACCUUGAAAUCCAAGCCCUCUCCUGAAAGACAAUAUGAUAAAGGGAACAACGAACUACAAAGGAAAGCAUAACAAAUCAUGGCCACCCGAAUACUGAACAAACAAAAGUUGCAGGAAAACAUACCUUCAAAUAUUAUAAGAGACCCGAAUACUGAACAAAUAAAAGUUGCAGGAAAACAUACCUUCAAAUAUUAUAAGAGAGGCGAGAGCUGAGAGAACUGGCUCGCUAAAAAAACUAUUUCAAAAAAGCACCAUCCCAUGCAAUUAAACAAUUAGAAAGCAGACUAACCAGAAUAGAAAUGCCAACGAAAACUGAAUAGGAAACAAUGAAAACGGAGGCAAGCAUAUGUGUAUAAUGAUGCCAACGCCACAUCCAUUUAAUGCACCAUCAAAGAAGAUUAGACAACUUGACUUUAUUCUAAAUGAAGCCUGAAAGCAUUUAAUGCACCAUUAAAAAAACACUGGCUGAUUUGACAUUGUCUAAAUGAAACCUGAAGACGUGUAAGCUCAUUGCCUCUUUGCAUGGCAUUUUAAUUAUUAGAUGUCAGAUAAUUCAGUAUUCCUUGAACCCUCUAAUCCUUAUAGAAGAAAAAGAAGACCCAAUUACAGGGGGGAAAAACGACAGUCUAAUUUUUCAAAGCAUUGAAGGCACUGGUAUCAUGAUCUCGCUUUUUUCAAACUUCUCCAGUGACAAUAUAUUUUGUGGGAAACUGAGCAAGACACUCCACCACAAUGCAGAGACGAUAUAUGUCUUGGCAGGGAAAACCGUGGGGAAAGCUACAGUACUUUCCCUACACGUUUUAAAGUUCUUUAAUAUAUAUAUAUAUAUAUAUAUGAGUAAUCAAAUUAAAAAAUCUACAAAUAUUUAAUGCUAACACAAUCCUGCACAAAUCUAAACCACAUUUUUCUUCUUUGAGACGGUAGCUUUUUAGCAGAGAAAAGGAACAAAAACGGGCUUUUACAUGGAAAGUAACGCAGCCAUAUGUUAAGCUAUCCAAUCUAUAUAUAUAUAUUAAAUUAUCCAAUCAUUUAUCAUGCUAUAAUCAAGUUAAAUAUUGACAUUACAUUUCUUUGUAGGUGCACGUCUAAUCAACAGAUCUUCUCUGAUCACUUAUAAGGUUCCAUCCACUUGAUGUUAGGGGCUCCACAGUCAUUCUUUUCAUUAGUCUACUGUUAAUGUUUUUCUUCAACUUGUGGAAGUCAUGUGUUCUGAACCAGUCGAAGACAUGACAGAAGAGACAAGAAACCACCUUCUAUAAUCAAAACUUGAUCGCAGGGCUUCUUCGUCAUUCCAGUGAUUCGGCGCUACCAAUCUUUUUUUUCUUUUAUUUUUCUCUCCUCUUAAAAAUUUACUUUUGCCUAUUCAAAUUUGCAAAUCAGCCCUUUAUAUUUUUUUUUCUUUGGAUUUUGUAUUUUUUCUUUUUUUUUUUAAUUUUUUUCUAAAAUUAAAAUUUUUUGAAUUUGAUCCUCCUUCAAUGUUUUAAUCUAUAGAUUUUAUUCAUUUUUUUAUUAUUUUUUUAUUUGAGAUAAUUUUUUAAAUUAUUUUUUUUUCUUCCACCCUCCUUUAUUUUUUUUUAUUUGAUGCUUAUUUUUUUAUUGUUAUUUUUUUCUUUAGUAAAUUUUUAAAUUGAAAAUAUUUUUGUUGAUUUCAUCUAUCAACAUUAAAUUGAUUGAGAUUUAAGUUUUUUAAUUGAACUUAAAUCUACUAUUUUAUGAGUUGUGAAAUUAAAAUAGUAGUCUAUGUUUAGAAAAUUUGUCCUAGUUGGAUUAAAAUAAUAAACUUACUAUUUUAUUUUAAAAAAAAUUUCACACUCACUCUCCGCUAAUGGAUGGCGGGUUGAUGAGGUGACUAAACUUGGCCACUUGUUGAAAGGUUGGGGUGAUUUCCAUACUACUACAAGAAUAAGCACCCUACCAAAAUAAGAAAUAUUCUAGUAUUUAAGUUAGUAAAUAUCCGAGGAGAAUAAUAUAUAAGAUACAAGAGUUAGUAAAUAUACUAGGAGAAUAAUGUAUAAAAACAGGAGGUGUGGUAGAGUGUCUAGAGGGAAAAGUGUGUACAACAGGGUAGGAGGGGGGAUUGUGGAGCAGGGGAAUAACAAUAUGUAUAACAGCAGAGGUGUGUGUAGAAGAAGAGGAGAAAUAUGUGUAGGAGGAGAGGAACAAUGCUGUUUGGUGGCUUUUUGUGACCUCUUAUGCUCUGUGUGAUUCUGUCCUUAUGUGGGUGGCCAUUAUUGAGUGUAGGUGCCACACUAUACAGGGUAGGUGCUGUACUUAUUAGUGGUAUAGAGUGAAAAUUCAGCGACAACGUACCUAGGCCUGCCAUUUUAGCUUUGAUUCUCCGCCGGUAAUCGUCGUAUGCUCUACCAGGAGUUUGCCUUGAUAAACUACAGAGUUGAUCAGUAAACCAUACAAUGGUAAACCAUGCCAGAAGAAUCUAUAGAGUAGGAAAUGUAACCAGGAGUUUGCCUUGACAAAUACCAGAAAGAUAAGGAUUUCCUUCGAAACCUGGAUUGCAGAACAUUGAACUUUCUCCUUAUUAUUUGUGGACAUUACAUAUCUAUGUAAAAUCUUUGCAUUAUGAUUUUUUCUUUUAUAUUUACUACUUUUGGGAUUUUUCUACUUCCCCAAUCUUCUUCUCUAAUGGUAACUUUUAGAACUUCAUUUAUACACUAUUUAGGAUUUUCUAUAGAUUUUAAUUCGAUCAUCAAGCAUGCAUGCAUGUAGCCUGGUAGCAUGCAGCAAUACGAACAGCAAGUGCUAGCUGGAGUCCUGGUUAUUGCUAAAGGAAUCAAUAUUCAUGUAGAGCAUGAUAAUAUUUUUAGUUAUUUUCCACUUAAGUUUCCGGAGAAUUCUUUAUUUUACAAACUAUGCACAUGCCUAAAUUCCCCGUUUUACAAUUUGUUAGUGUGGCAUCUACUUGAAUGUCUUGUCUGAGAGGGGAGGCCGGCGCCUCCAUGAGUUACUAGUCUUAUAGGUUAGUUACGCAGUUGUUUAUGGUAAAGUAAUUAUUCUCAUAAUUAUUCAUACGAUUAGGAUGCGUAGUAAGUUUACAACCCUACAAAGUCUAUAAAUAUCAAAGACGUCUUGUAUGAAGAAGAGAACAUACAAAACCCCACACACUCAUUCAACCAACCAGUUGGCAACAGUUCAGUUUUCUUGUAUGCCAGGCUUUGUAAGAAAUCCUUAAUUAGGUCGUUGUGAAGAUAAAUUCCUGGUUAAUUUUACAAUUUUUUUAUUUUCUUCGGCAUUAUAUUUCGUACUCCAUCGAUUCUUCUCGAAUUUUUUACCAUUACAUGGUGUAAAGAUCAACUAUGUUACUCUAUGUGACAGAGGAUCCAGACUACAUGGAUUGCCAGGGACAUGUGAGAGAAAAAACGUUGGUCCUGUUUAUGUUGCUGCAUUUGCAUCCCAUAUCAUCUAAGAAAUGACAAUUGCUUAGGAGUAAGAAUACUUGUAUUUUUCCUGAUCAGUUCCCUUUCCCUAUCCGUUCAUAAUUGCUUGACUGUUGUAGGAAUUGGAGUGGGAAUUGGAGCAUUAUUUAUGCUCAUUGGUCUGUGGUGGUUGUACAGAGUAUUCAAGAGGAGGAGGAAUGAAAAACAGAGGAAAAAAUACUUCGCAUGGAAUGGUGGUUUAUUGCUGCAAGAACAACUGUCUUCAGGUGAAGUCCAUGUUGGGAAAAUCAAAUUGCUUACAUCCAAAGAACUAGACAAUGCCACAGAUCACUACAAUGUGAAUAGAAUGCUUGGUCAGGGAGGUUGGCUGAUGGAAAGAUCAUUGCAGUUAAAGAAAUCCAAAAUUCUUGAAGGGAAUCUCAGACAAUUUAUCAAUGAGGUGGUCAUUCUUUCACAAAUUAACCACAGAAAUGUGAUUUAGCUUUUGGGCUGAAGUUCCAUUGUUGGUCUAUGAACUCAUUCCUAAUGGGACACUUUCCCAGUUUCUCCACUACCCAAAUGAGGAGCUCCCAUUAACAUGGGAAACGCGCUUAAGGAUUGCAACAGAGGUAGCAGGGGCACUCUCCUACCUGCAUUCAGCAGCUUCGAUCCCCAUUUAUCACAGAGACAUCAAGUCUACAAACAAACUGUUGUAAGCAUUGACCAGACUCAUGUCACAACUCUGGCACCUUUGGAUACUUGGAUACAGAGUACUUACAAUCAAGCCAGUUCACCGACAAGAGUGAUGCAUAUAGCUUUGGUUUAGUCCUCGUCGAGCUACUCGCUGGACAAAAGGCAGUAUCCUUUAGCAGAUCGGAUGAUGAAGCCAGAAGUUUAGUCGCAUGAAAGACAACCAUCUGUUAGAUAUUCUUGAUCCUCAAGUCAUGAUGCAAGGGAAGAAAGGGCAUGUGUUGAUGGUUGCUACCUUGGCUAUGAGUUGCUUGGGGUUAAAGGGGAAAGAAAGGCCUCGAUGAAAGAAGUUGAUUAAAAAAAAAUCACUUAGGAAUCAAAUUUCAGAGAAGGAUUUCAACAUUUCACACGAGAUUGAAAUAUGAUAAUGGUUAUGAAGUAAUUGAUGUUCGUUGGGACCUUGCUUCUACCUCAAUAGGCUUUGGUUUUGACAAUGGUGUUGCUUCUUCAAAAGAAACAACACUACUCUUGCACACAUUUUAGAAUUUUUUUUCUUUUUUGUAAUUUUAUGUUUUGUUGUAACCAAAUAGUUGCUCCUGAUCAUAUGAAUAAUAUAAAGAAUUUUUUUUAUUUUCCAUUUUUUUAGUAUCCAUUGUUCUUGAUAGUAUCCACAACACUAUCAAGAACAACGUUCGUACGUAGAUUUAUUUGGUGAUAUAUGUAUCCUUGACUGGUUCAAGAUGACGCACUCCAUGAGCAUGCUGUGUUGGUCACAGGCAUUCAUUAUCAGUCAAGAAUGGCUCCUGGAAUAAAUAGAGUUUCGAAACUUAUUCAAAUAUUAAUUUAAACCUUGAAAAGUUAUGAUACCGCAAGUCCAGUGAUGGUAAGAAGGAAAUCAUUUGACAUUUCUAUAAUUUCUAGCAUUCACGCGUUAUGAUUGAUUAAUUUCCUUGCAAGAAAUUAACCAAAAUAUUUCUUUCUUUUCUAGAUGAAUGGACAAUGAAUACGUCAAAAAAUUAAGAAUGAAUUCAUAAUUACAUAAUUAUAUAGUUUAUCAGAACUAAUAAUUAAUGAGUCCUUUAGUAUGAAAAUAAUUACAUAAUUCUUUCACAAAUGUUUUUAAUUUGUUUCUUUUAUUUUCAAAAAUCUCUUUUCUUCCUAAUCAAAUUUUCUCAUCCUAGACAUUACACAUCUUUUCUUUCUUUUAUAUAUUAUCAGUCAGGAAUGGCUGCAAGAAUAUUUAAUAAUAAACUCAGUCCCUAUAGUUUAUGAAAAAUAACUAACGAGUCCCAUAGUAUGAAAAAUAACUAUCUAGUCCCUUGACUAGUGAUGACCUACUUCAAUUUAGUUGUUUAUGUUUUCAAAAAUACCUUCUUUCAUAAUCCAUUUUUCUCAUCUUAGCUAUAUAUGUUUUCGUUUGUUAUCCAUGUAAGAAAACUAAGUAAAAAUAGAACAAGAAAGUGAUGAAAGGACUAAGUUAUAAACGGAUUUAAGAAAAUAGGGAUCAAAUUUAUAGUUUCUAAAAAAUUAUUAGUUGAUUAGGUUAGGCUUUAGUUGAAGAAACAUCAUCUUUUGUUUGGUCAAAGUCCAACAUCUAGCAUAAUAUCUGGCUCUAAAAGUGAUGCAAGUAAAUGGGGAGAACAAAAGCAAGAAGAAAUCAGCUUUGAAUCCUUCUACUAUUAGUUGGGAAUUUCACAGGGUAGAAUGUAAAGAAUCUGAUCUAUAUAGCUUCAAGCGGCAGGAUUUUCAUUUCAGUCAGGGAGAGGAAAGCUGUAAAGAAAAAUAAUGGCUUUUCAGCUAGCGUUUCAAGUCAUUUUUUUGCUCUGCUCAUUGAAUCCAUUUCUUGCAGAAGCACAAUCUAUGACAAAAGGUGGAUGUAAAGAACGUUGUGGAAACAUCACCAUUCCAUAUCCGUUUGGAAUGGAAACUGGUUGUUACUUAGAAGAGAGGUUCAGGAUAGAUUGCAACUCUAGCAGCAUUCCUACACUUGACCUAAAUGGAACCAGCCUGGAGGUAAAAGAUAUCUCAGUUGAUACAGCCAACAAUAUUAUUCAAAUCAAUUUCCCAUUCAUCUUUCAAAAUUGCAGCAGCAAAACCAGCAGCAGGGAUUCACUGGUCGUCAAUUUGGAAGAUACCCCUUUUUCUUUCUCAACCGAAAAUCGGUUCGUUGCAGUUGGUUGCAACAACCUUGCUUUGUUGAGCAGAAAUGAGGCUACUGUCGGCGGGUGCAUGUCAAUUUGCAACGUAAGCAGUAGUGAUGCCUCUGCAAAUGGUACUAUUUGUAAUGGCAUCAACUGCUGCGAGACCACAAUCCCCUCAGGUCUCGAUUUUUUUAACGCAACCUUACAAGUUGGAGGCGACAAGGUGAAGGAUGGGUGCAAGUAUGCCUACUUAGUUGAUCAAAAUUGGUUUAAUCUGAGGUUCGACAAUAACAUUUCGGUGAUAGAUAUGGACUAUGUCCCAGUGGUGCUAAAUUGGAAAAUUGAUCUUGGAUUAUACGAAAAUAUGACGCUGAAUGGAUCGGCGUAUAGCGUAACAAAUUUAACGUCUUCCGGGACUUCCAGUUGUAGCCAGAAGGCCCAGAACUCAACUGUUCUUCUAUGUUCGUGCUCCUCAGGCUUUCAAGGCAAUCCUUAUAUUCCUGAUGGUUGUCAAGGUAAUCAUUCUCAUCAACUAAACUAAUAGUUUCUUUAAACAUGGAUUAAAGAAAUUGUUUCCUUCAUCGUAAGCAUAUUAUUAUUGAAUCUGAUUCUGCCAGUGUAAUCAGCUGGAUGCAUAAUCCUCACAACAGGCCAUGGAUGCAUAGAGACCUCUUCUCCACAGUUCAGAAAUUGUCUAGACUGUUUGGUUCAAUUACUUUUUCUCAUGUGUACCGUGAGAGCAAUAGUCUGGCGCCAAAUUGUAUGGCUAAGCAAGGAGUGCACAGAUCGAGUGAUUUCAUUGCUUGGUUUUGAUUCAUCUCUUUAGAGGUUUAGAUUCUCGUAAAAUUAAAUUGGAGACUCUUGGAAGCUUCUCCUGGAUUUUGCAGUAAUGGUUUUCUUGUGUAGAUUAUAUUGUUGCUUUCUUAGUCUAUUUCUGAUGUUUUGUCCUCUUUGUAUGGACUUUGCUUUGAUUGGUUGUUCCUGCAAAAUUGAUAUGCGGCAGGCUUUGUAAUUUUUCAUGCUGCCAGGCUAUGGCGUUUAAUAAAUCCAUAUACUUCUCAAAAAAAACAUGGAUUAAAGAAUAGGAUAAUUACAUGAUGUACUGAAUUUUGUGUUGUCUACAUAUGCAGAUAUUAAUGAAUGCCAGAGCUCUCCCAACAACAACACUACUAUUUGCUCCCGGGACCUAAUCUGUAAAAACCUAUACGGCGGCUACCAAUGUGUUGAAAUCAAGAAAUCUCGGGUUAAAAUGGUGGGUUUAGGUAUGUUGUCUUGCAACCUAGAACAUGAUACAAAUGGAUUUGUUUCUUUAUUUUUCAGCAGUUUGAGAAGAAGAGUGCAUGAAUUUCUCAAAAUGUGAAUAGUCAUGAAGGCUUAUUGAUCUGUUAAUCAUUAUGCAGGUUUUGGCGUGGGGUUUGGAGUCUUGAUCCUACUUAUUGGUUCAUGGUGGUUGUACAAAGUUAUAAAGAAAAGCAGGAAUGAAAAACGCAAGAAGAUGUUCUUUCAACGGAAUGGUGGUUUGUUGCUGCAAGAACAACUAUCUUCAGGGGAAGUCAACGUCGAGAAAAUCAAAUUGUUUGGUUCAAAGGAGUUGGACAAGGCCACUGAUCAUUACAAUGUGAAUAGAACGCUUGGCCAGGGAGGCCAAGGUACAGUUUACAAAGGGAUGUUAGCGGAUGGAAAAAUCAUUGCAGUCAAGAAAUCAAAAGUUCUUGAUGAAGAUAAUCUCAGACAAUUCAUUAAUGAAGUUGUCAUUCUUUCACAAAUUAACCACAGGAAUGUGGUCAAGCUUUUCGGUUGUUGCUUAGAGACUGAGGUUCCAUUGUUGGUCUAUGAAUUCAUUCCUAAUGGAAACCUUUACCAGUUUCUACAUGACUCGAAUGAAGAAUUCCCAUUAACUUGGGAAAUGCGAUUAAGGAUUGCAACAGAGGUUUCUGGGGCACUUUCUUACCUACAUUCAGCAGCUUCCAUCCCAAUUUUCCACAGAGAUAUCAAGUCUACAAACAUACUACUAGACGAGAAGUACAGAGCCAAAGUAGCAGAUUUUGGGACAUCAAAGUCAGUAACCAUCGACCAAAGUCGUGUCACAACUCUAGUACUAGGCACCUUGAAUAAUCGAGAGGUAUGUUAGAAGAUGCAGACGAAAUUAAUAUCUUGAAUAUAGUUUUCCUGUGUAUAUAUACUUGAUCUGUUGAGUGGAUCGAACAGCAGUGAAUGGCAGCAACAUCUACAUCAGGGCAGGAAAGAAAGGGGAAUGGCAGCUAUCCAGUUAGUACUAUUGUACUUUCAGGCAAUGUUGUUGUUGUGGUCAUUUGAUGAUCCAUCGCUUAUUGCAGAAGCACAAGCUAUGGAAAACCCUGAAAAUUGUCCAGGUGCUUGUGGCAAUGUUAGCAUUCCAUAUCCAUUUGGAAUGAGAGAAGGUUGUUACCAUGACGAAAGCUUAAAAAUACUUUGCAACUCUAGUAAAAUUCCCCUACUUUCAAUAAACGGCAUUGAUCUGGUGGUUUAUUGCUGCAAGAACAACUAUCUUCAGAUGAAGUCCAUGUUGAGAAAGUCAAAUUGUUUGCAUCCAAAGAAUUAGACAAGGCCACAGAUCACUACAGUGUGAAUAGAAUGCUCGGCCAGGGAGGUCAAGGUACUGUUUACAAAGGGAUGUUGGCUGAUGGAAAGAUCAUCGCAGUUAAGAAAUCCAAAUUUCUCGAUGAAGGGAAUCUCAGACAAUUUAUCAAAGAGGUGGUCAUUCUGUCACAAAUUAACCAUAGAUUUUUUUUACCUCAUUCAUUUCAAAAUUAUUGAAAGUAAAAUUUCAAAUUCUUAAGAAAUUAAUUCUUUAUUGGAUUAUAUUUUCUCUGAAAUUGUAUUAUAACAAGUUUUUACUUCUAUUUAUUGAUGCAAAUAUUAUAAAUCAUAGAAAAAAUAUCCUUGAAUUAAAAAAAAAAAAAAGCUGUAUUUUCUCGAAUGUUUGUCUAGAAGUAUUAUUAUUUAAAGACUUUGUGUUUUACGAUUAGUUUUUAUUUUCUUAAUGAGAUAUUUUUCUUAUUUCUUAUUUUAUUUUGUGUUUUGUGGAUUUUGUUAUUUUAUUUUAAUAUUUUAUAUAUUUUUUAUUAUUCAAAACAAACUAUAACAUAAUGAGAAUAAGGUAAGAGAAAUGUAAGGAAAUGAAGAAGAAGAAAAAGUGGCAGUAUUACCUUUAAUAUCCAAACUAACUAUAAAUGAAGACAACCCACCGCCACCAUGAGACGUGUUUUAAAUUAAAAUCCAUAAAAUCAUGCAUAAUAUUCCUGUUCAAGAAUAUACAAAAAAGCUCAUAUAUAUAUAUAUAAACAUUGGAUAUUUCUAUUUACAUAUGGCGUUUAUGAUGAAUAUAAAUUAAUUAAUGCCAACACUUAAUUAAAUAUAUUCAUCGUUUCCUAGAAAAAAAGAAGUAAAUACUGUCAACCUUGUAGUUUAAAUUAAAUCAGCAAAGAUCAUCUUUUCAGCUAAUCUUCAAAGAUUGUGUUUGUUUAAUUUUUUUAAUCAUUAUCUACUUAUAAUUAAUAUUAAAUUUAAAAAAUGCUUGAACAUAUUAUUAAGUUGCUUAUAAUAAUGAUGAUUUAAAAAAAAAAGAUAUUAUAUUUAAUUAAAAAAAGGACUUGAUAAGAAGAUAAUAAUAAGAUGUAAAUGAUACAUCAUCAAAUUAUUAUAUAUACCAAAAUAAACCUUUGACAACUUAAGAGUAAUAAUAAAGCAUUGAUCGAUACAAAAACAUCUUGGGCAGCAUGUAGUCCCUUUUGGUGGCGAAUAUACAAUUGAUUUCUGCACCAACUUCUGGAGAACCACAGUGUUCUUCUGUGGCAUGUCAUGGUCAAGUGAAUUCCAUUGGUUUGAUAUCUACGAUGCUUCCAGGGAUCCUUAUUGUGGCGACUGCAAUUGGACAAUACAAGCAACUGGGCCAUGCGUGGAUUAUUAUAAAUAUAUUUGGAAGGAAUUUGUGUGUUAUCCUUGGAAAUUGGAACAAGAAGGCAUAUCUUCAUUAAAGUGCGAGCUAGCUCUCCAUGUAUCUCAUCUCCUCUGUAUAAUUUGCUAGCUGCAUAAAAUGGAGGCAACAAAAAAAUAAGUGUACCAUGUAUUAAUAAUGAAUUUCUCCACCCAUUAGAGUGUUUUCUUUUCAUUAUUUAGAUAAUGUUUUAAGAAAUAACAUUAUUUUGGUUCUGAUCAUCAGGAUUUACCGUUGCUUAUAAAAUUCAGAGACGUAUAUUUAAUGUCGGUUGUUACAUAAUAUAAUAUUUUAAGUUAUUUUGGGUACGUCUUGUUAAACUUAUUGAGAUCAAACACAAAAAGGAGGCUAGAAUUCUAAAUAAUCUGUAUAUUAUGAAUGCAUAGUCUUAACAUAAAUACAAAUAAAGUAUAUAUAGGUUAAACUGAAAGUACUAUUCUACCCUUAAUAAAUAAGACUACAUAAAUAUUAUUUAACAUCUCCCCUCAAACUCACGAUGCGGCAGCUGUAAGCAUCGAGAGUUUGCCAACCAGAAAACAAAAACGAGAGAUGGAAUGCGCCUUGGUAAAGAAAUCUGCAAUCUGCAAGGAAGAAGGAACAAAAGGCAAAGUAAUGGUGCCAUGCUUGAGAUGAUGACGAGUAAGAUGACAAUCGAUCUCAAUGUGCUUAGUUCGCUCAUGAAAAACCGAGUUGUGAGCAAUCUGAAUAGAACUCUAGUUGUCACAAUACAUAGGAGUAGGAUGAGAAAAGGAAACUCCCAUAUCAGCAAGUAACCAACGUAACCAAACAAUCUCUUUGGUAGUAGAUGUCAUGGCACGAUAUUCUGCUUCGGUGGAUGAUUGAGAAACAAUAGAUUGUUUCUUGCUCUUCCAAGAAAUAAGAGAAUCACCUAAAAAGAUACAAAACCCGGUAACAGACUUGCGAUCUGUGGGAUCACUACCAUGAUCAGCAUCAGAGUAUGCACGCAACUCCAAGGAAGAGGUGGAUGAAAGUAAAAGACUCUGAAAAACUGUACCCCGAAGAUAUCGCAAAAUAUGAAGAACAGCUGCCCAGUGAACAGUAGUAGGAGAAGCAACAAACUAACAACAUGAACAACAUAUGCAAUAUCUGGACGAGUAAUGGUGAGAUAUACCAAACUCCCAACAAUAGUGCGGUAUAAAGUAGGAUCUAUCAAAGGUAAACCAUCAGAAGAAGAGUACCUUGCAUUAACCUCAAUAGGAGUAUCUACAGUCUUGUUAUCAGUAAGUCUAGCCCGCUCAAGAAUAUCUGCAACAUAUUUCGACUGAGAAAGAAGGUAACCUCUAGGUGAGUAUGCUACCUCAAUACCCAGGAAAUAUCGAAGAUAACCCAAAUCCUUCAUUUCAAAUCGUCUAGCCAACUCUGUCUUCAAAACUGAAAUACCAUCAAUCAUCACCAGUAAUAAUCAUGUCAUCAACAUAUAAAGACAGAAUGAUACGACCUGCAUCAGUGCACUUAAUAAAAAGAGCAGAAUCAUGACUGCUAGAAACAAAGCCAAAGACGAGAUCACAAUAGAGAAUUUCUCAAACCAAGCACGGUGCUUGUUUGAGACCAUAUAAUGCUUUCUUAAGCUUACAAACAUAUCCAGAGUCAUGUGAAAUACCAGGAGGGGGUGCCAUAUAAACUUCUUCUUGAAGAUCUCCAUUCAAGAAGGCAUUUUUAACAUCAAGCUGAGAAAUAUGCCAUUACGAAUCGAAGCUACACAAUAAGAGUACGAAUAGUAGUCAUUUUUGCAACCGGGCAAAUGUCUCCUCAUAGUCCAUACCAUACUGUUGAGAGUAUCCUUUUGCAACCAGCCUAGCUUUGUAUCGCUCAAUAGACCCAUCAGAAUUAGUCUUGAUCUUAUACACCCAACAACCAACAACACUCUUACCAGGAGGUAGAGGAACCAGAUCCCAAGUAUUUGUCUUAUGCAAAGUAGAAAGUUCCUCAUCCAUAGCUUGCUGCCAAAGCGGAUCAAGAAUUGCCUCUUUAUAGGAAGAGGGCUCAAAGAGACAAUGAAUAGAAGCUAAAAAGGAAGUAAAUGAUGAAGAAUAACAAGAAUAAGCAAAAUCUGGUAGUUUUGUAGACUUACGAAUACGGAUGGACUGACGUGGAGGUGGAUCCACAAUCUCAGAUGAAGCUUGAGGGGCUGUAGAUGAGAAUGGAGCUUCAGGUGUGCCAGAGAGUAAAGUACCAGUACCUGCAGAGUUAUGAGUACAAAUUGAUCGAACAUGGGGAGAGAUAUCAUUAUCAGAAUCCUCAGAAAACGGAUCUAUACUAAUGACAUCAGAUUUGGUCAGGUUAUGAGUAGUGGAUGGAAUAGAAAAGAAAGGUAUAUGCUCAAGGAAGACAACAUGACGAGACACAUAAAGUUUCUGAGUUAUUGGAUCAAAACAACGAUAACCCUUUUUACCUUCACCAUAGCCUAGAAAAACACAAAUAGCGGAUCGAGAGGAUAACUUACUUCGUUCUACAUGAGGACGAAGAACGAAACAAGUACAACCAAAGACUCUAAAUGAGGAAUAAUCAGGAACAUACCCAUAUAACUUUUCAAAAGGAGAUAGACCCGAACUAUGAGAAGAUGGAAUUGUAUUAAUUAAACUUACAGUAGUAAGAACAGCUUCUCCCCAAAACUCACUAGGAACAAAGGCAGACAACAAGAGAGAACGAGCAGUUUCAACAAUGUGCCUAUGUUUUCUUUCAGCAACACCAUUUUGCUCAGGAGUAUCUGUACAAGAAGUUUGGUGGAUGGUUCCAUCUAGGGCAAGCAAUUGGCAAAAUUUAUUAGAGGUGUAUUCCCCACCCAAAUCACACCUAAAACAUUUAAUCACAGCAGAAUGUUGAGUUUUGAUAAGAGCUCGAAAAGCUGCAUAUAUCUCAAAAAUUCAGAACGAUGUUUCAUUAAAUAAACCCAACAAUAACGAGUAUGAUCAUCAAUAAAAGAGACAUAAUAUCGAGACCCUCCUUUUGUGGCAACAGGAGAAGGUCCCCAUACAUCAGAAUGAAUCAAAUCAAAUGGUGAAGAAGAAACAGAAAUACUUCGAUUAAAAGGUAAGGCGGAAAAUUUUGCCAAUUUACAUCCACUACAAUCAGAAAUGUCACAAGUUUUCAAAUUUCCUAAAGCUCCUGUGGAUGCCAAAAAUCUCAAACGAGAAGAUGAAACAUGACCUAGACGGGAAUGCCAUAAAUAAAAACUAGAAGAUGAAAGACUCAAACGAAAGGAAGACAAAUCAACGGUAGUAGCAGCAGUGGCAGCAGCAGCAACUGGCACUUUUAACUCAUCCAAAAUAUAUAGUCCAUUCUCUCUACGGCCUGUCCCAAUCAGCUUCUGAGACUGCAGAUCCUGUAUACAACAAAAUGAACCAGAAAACAUGACUAAAUAAUCACCAGAAUCACAUAUUUGACCAACAGACGCAAGAUUCAAAGACCCAUGACAGGAAUCUGGAGACAUAUGAUGAGAAGCACCAGAAUCCAAGACCCAUUCAGAAUGUGACAUACCUGAGGAACUAUGAUGCAACUGACCUAUGGAAGAAGAAGCGGACAUUGCUUGUGGCUGCAAGGAGAGAAACUUCUGAAAUUGCUCAGCCAAAAUAUUAGGAUCGGUAAUAGAGCUUGAGGAAGCUACUGCUGCAGUAUUGUGGUGUGGUGGUUUAUAACCCUAAGGUUGUCUAUGAGCAUUAGAUUAUGACUGAUUGCCAAACUUCCAAGCUUGAUUCUGCUGUCUCAACUUAGGACACUGAGCCUUCCAAUGACCUUUCUGCUUAUAGAAACUGCACUCAUCGAAGCCAACCUUUGUGUAAGGCUUAUUUUGAUGAUUAGAGAAUGGCUUAGAAGGCACUGCUAAUACUGAAGGAUUCAAAGCAUAAAAAAUUCCCUUUUCAGAAUAAGACUGAAAAUGUAUUUCUUCAGCCAAUAACUCACUAACAACAGAGUCAACAGAAGGCAAUGGAGAACGAUGCAGAAUUGAACCCCUAAGUCCUUCGAAAUCACUGCGAAGUACUGUUAAAAACUGUACCAAUCGUUGUUGCUCUCUACGCUCAAUAUAGGCACCACAUGCCUUUAAUUCUGCCGAUUCUGUAAGAGCCAAUUGAUCCCAAAGAUCUGUCAUAGCAGAAUAAAACUCUUGGAUACUCAUAUUCUUCUGAUGAAGAGCUCGUAUGUCAUUCUCUAAUUGAUACUGUUUUGCAAAUUUUGAUUGUGUGAAUAACCUUUGCAGAUGAUCCCAAACCUCUUUUGCUGUCUCAUACUUUGCCAACUGCAUACCUAUCGAAUGCUCAACAGAAUUGUUGAUCCAAGUAAUGAUCUUUGCAUUAUUUGCUUCCCAUGUAUCUAUCAAAACAACAUCUCCCUCCUCAACAUUCUUAGGUAUCAUAUAAGUCCCACUAACAUACCCCCACAUCUUCUUAUCCUUAAGAAAAUUUCUCAUCACAUAACUCCAAUACGAAUAAUUCUUCCUAUCCAACCUCACACUCACAGACUGAAGUGAAUCAUCUCUUUCAGUAGCCAUAAUCAGCAAUCACAAAUAACCAGAAUGCAAAAGCAGCAGAAACAAAAUACAAAAUUGCAGAAACUAAACAAAUCUCUUCUCGAAAUUAUACGAUUACUCCAAAACACAAAACAAAUUUGCAAAAAUUGAACGCAAAUACCAAAUUGCAGAUGCUGAAGGGAAGACGAAAUACCAAAAUAAUUGCAGAAACUGUCGAAAUACCAAAAUAAUUGCAGAGACUGUCGAAAUACCUAAUUUUGCAGAAGCGGAAGACAAAAUAUCACUCCAAAAAAAAAUUGCUAGAAUCAGCUCGUUUUGUCGAAAUACCAAAAAAAUUGCUAAAAUUGCAGAGACUGUCGAAAGUUGGAUCCGCGAAGCUGUAUUUGGGAUUAAGCUUCGUUUCAUAAAAUCAGCUCUGAUACCAUGUUAAACUUAUUGAGAUCAAACAUAAAAAGGAGGCUAGAAUUCUGAAUAAUCUGUAUAUUAUGAAUGCAUAGUCUUAACCUAAAUACAAAUAAAGUAUAUAUAGGUUAAACUGAAAGUACUAUUCUACCCUUAAUAAAUAAGACUACAUAAAUAUUAUUUAACACGUCUCACUUAGAUUUUUAGAUUUAGUUUUAACACAAAUAUCAAUGUUAUCAAACUGAUUUGAUUUGGUAAUUCAAUGUUAUAAAACCUGAUUUGAUUUGGUGAUUCAUUCAUUCAAAACUUGAUUUAAUUUGAAUUAGAUAGAAAUUAACCUAGUCAUUUCUUUUAUCAUAUCUUAUCGCCUUGAUAAAAAACUAAAUUUUAUUUAAUUUUAAAAGAAUAAUAUAAAAUGAUGUUAUUUAAAAAAAAAUUAAAAUGAUAUUAUUUUAGAUUGGUUUAGGUUUAGUCAAGCUAACUCUUCCAACUCAUAACCCAGUCCUUAAACUAAACCAACUUUUAUAACUAAGUAUUUUUAAGAAAUUAGCCCAAUUCUCUUUUGAUUAAAUAUGUGAAGGUGGUGAUACUCCCAUUUCACUGUUCUUUCUGUUCUCUAUAGUAUUAUGCCAUGAGUGCACCAGAGAUUUUAUGAAGAUGAUAAGAUGUAAGUGAUACAUAAUUAAUCAAUCAAAUUAUUACACCACAAUAAACUUUUGACAAGUUAAGAGUCAUAAGAAUUCGACAAGUAGUUAGAGUAAGAAGAAUAAAAUGAGAAAACUAAAAUAGAUUAGAUUAGUGAAUAAUUUAUAAAGCAUUGAUUAAUACAAAAUAUCGUGUUUCAAUAAAGAGAAAGCUUGAUGAUAACUUGUAGAAUUCACAAACACGUACGAUCCUGCCAAAACAUUUUAUUUUUUAUUUUUGGAAAGAUGAUUUUGAUAUAUAAUUUGCUAUAAAAUUAGCAUAUCGCUCAAUAUUAUCCUGCCAAAACAGCUAGCCAGAUGCAUGAACCAAUUUAGUAGUAAUUAUCACUAAUUCAUUGUAGCGAGCCAAGUGCAGUUUUGGCUAAAUAUACAAGGAAGAAACCCUUGAAACGGCACAACCAUUCGCUAUAUAACACGAAGAGCCACCAUAUACUAAAGCCUAUAUAUAAGUAAGUUGGAUUUGCAUGAAUACUAAAAAACAAUCCAAACUAAACAGAUCAAAUUAAAUCUUCUUGCAGACAUGAUUUCUUUCACCAGCCAUUUCGCCCUACUGAUAUUAUUAUCUCUGUUGCUGCUGAUCAUAGCUACGUGUGAUGCUGCAGGUUGUCUAUGGAAACCAACACGUUUGAAUAUCAAUAAUGACUUAGGCCCGGGCUUGGACCUUACAAUCCAUUGCAAAUCCAAAAACAACGAUCUUGGGCAGCAUGUAGUGUUACUUUUAAGGCUUUAGGGUUGGAUGUAUCCUCUGCUUCUUAUUUUUCUUCUCCUGUGGAGGGAUGCCUUAUAUAGGCAAAUAUAUAUGUCGGUUACAUCUUUCCUAUUCUGAAAGGAAUACUGCAAUGUAUAUCCUUUCAGGACUCCUAUAGAGUAUGUCUUUUAUAUAUAGAAAACUACCAUCUAAUUCAGCUAAUUACAUGUUAACACUUCCCCUCAAGUUGGUGCGAAGAUAUCUUCUAAGCCUAACUUGUCUAGAGACUUAUGAAGAGCUUCUGCAGGGACUGCAUGGGUUAGAAUAUCUGCUAGUUGCUCACUUGAUCUGACGAAAGGGAUGUCCACUAACUUUAGAAGUAACUUUUCCUUGAUGAAGUGUCGAUCUACCUCAAUGUGUUUAGUUCGAUCAUGUUGUACUGGAUUAUUAGCUAUCUCUCGUGCUGCUGAUUGUCACAGUAUAGUAACAUAGGGUCUUUGGGUUCAAAACCAAUUUCUGUGAGUAAGGUCCUGAGCCAUAACAGUUCGCAUAUUCCAUGUACCAUCCCUCUAUAUUCUGCUUCUGCUGAGGACCUUGCUGUCACAUUUGUUUUUUACUUCGCCAUGUGACAAGAUUUCCUGCAACAAAUGUAAAAUAGCCAGAGGUGGAUCUCCGGUCAGUGAGAUUUCCUGCCCAAUCUGCAUCAGUAAAUCCUUUCACUUCCAUAGUUCCAUGUCUUUUAAAUGUCAAUCCUCCUGGAGCCCCUUUUAGAUAACUCAGAAUUCUCAUUACAGCUGUCAUAUGAUCUUCACUUGGAGCAUGCAUAAACUGACUUACCACACUAACCGCAUAGGCAAUGUCUGGGCGAGUGUGAGAUAAAUAAAUUAACCGCCCUACCAAUCGCUGGUAUCUUUCUUUGUUUGUUGGUACCUGAUCUGGGUGAAUGGCCAAUCGAUGAUUUUGAACAAUAGGAGACUCUACUGGUUUGCAUUCUAGCAUGCCCGUUUCAGAUAAUAGGUCCAGUAUAUACUUUCGUUGUGACAAGUAUAUACCAUCUUUAGUUCUUGCAACUUCAAUUCCCAAAAAUAUUUCAGUCCUCCUAAUCUUUCAUUUCGAAUUCGGUAGACAAACAUUCUUGUAGCUUUUUUAUUUCAUCUGUGUCAUCACCAGUUACGAUCAUAUCGUCUACAUAAAUAAUGAGCAGUGUAACUUUACCAUUCUUCUGUUUGAUGAAUAGAGUGUGAUCAGAGUUACCUUGGUGAUAACCAAUUCGUUUCAUAGCUUCUGUGAAUCUCCCAAACCAUGCUCUUGGCGAUUGCUUCAAGCCAUACAAUGCUUUUCGUAAUCUACACACUUUUCCACUAGAUUGUGAGCUGUUAAACCCAGGUGGAAGUUGCAUAUAGACUUCUUCUUCCAGAUCCCCAUGGAGAAAUGCAUUUUUCACAUCAAAUUGCUUCAAAGGCCAACUGAAAUUUGCUGCUAAAGACAACAAGACUCUGAUGGUGUUCAUUUUUGCAACUGGAGCAAAAGUUUCUUGAUAGUCAAUGUCGAAUGAUUGUGUGUACCCCUUUGCUACUAGCCUUGCCUUGAACCGAUCAAUUGUGCCGUCUGCUCUAUGUUUAAGGUUGAAUAUCCACUUGCAGCCCACUGGUUUUUUUCCUGGAGGGAGUGAUACAAUACUCCAUGUGUCAUUUCUUUGUAAUGCACUAUUUCAGCCUCCAUUGCUUCUGCCCAUUUCGGGUGUUGUAAGGCAUCCUCAACCUUUGUAGGUAUUCUUAUAUUCGCCAUCUCACUUAUGAAGGCUUGAUGCUGUGGAGGUAGUUUGUGUGUAGAGACAUACUGUGUGAUUGCAUAUUUUGCUUUUCCAUUCGGUGAGUACCUGUCAGGGGCCUUUCCACGGUUCUGUCUAGGAGGGAGAGAGUAGCAUGGGGCAGAUAAUAAAGGGAAAGAGGAAGGGCUUUCAGUGUCACUUACCUCAUGGAUAUCCGAUCGAUCUUGAACAUGGAUUUGUGGAGAGGAAGGGGUUAUUUCAUCAUGCAUGUAUUCUUCUUCUGCAUCACUGCUGCUAUGUGUAUUGUACUCUAUGUGUUCUUUCCCUGCAUUGCCCGUUGCAGUUGUUCUGGAGCUGGGCUCUGUAUUUCCUUCCCCAACAUUACUAAUUGUGUGUGUACUGGUUUCCAUUUCUUCCCCUGAAGUUGACUGUUGCUGCUCCGUAUUUCCUUCCCCUGAAUAUGUGUUUCCUUCCCCUGAAUCCAACUGAAGAUCAAUCCAGUUGUAGGCAUCAUAUUGCAGCUCCCCCUGAGGACUAGAGCUGGAUGGAUUCAUAUGGAAAAAAUAUUCUGUUUCAGAGAAGGUAACAUCCAUACUGACAUGCAUCUGGCGAGAAGAAGGAUGGUAGCACCGGUAUCCCUUUUGGUGAGGAUUGAAACCAAGAAAGACACACCGUACUGCGCAUGGUUCCAGUUUUGUGCGCUGAGUUUUCUGCAGGUGAACAUAGGCUACACAUCCAAACACACGGGGUUCUAAGUGUAGGAGGGAUGGAAUCUGAAUGUGUUGAGUGAGAGUCUGCAAGGGAGUGCUGAAGGAGAGGACUUGGGAUGGCAUCCGGUUGAUGAGAUACACAGCAUAGGUUACUGCAUCAACCCAAUAAUGUUGAGGGACAUGGGCACCAAUGAGAAGAGCUCUAGUAGUUUCAAGAAUAUGCCUGUUUUUGCGUUCUGCCACACCAUUUUGUUGUGGAGUGCGCGGGCAAGUAGUCUCAUGGAGAAUACCAUUGUUUUGAAAGAAACUCAAGAGUUCAGAGUUAAGAUAUUCUCCACCAUUGUCUGAUCGAAUAAUCUUCACCGGCAGGGAGAACUGAGUGCACACCAUGCGAUAAAAAAUUGGGAAUAUAUUACGCACAUCACUCUUGUGUCGCAUAGUAUAUAACCAAGUCAUUCUGGUGCAAUCAUCGACAAAUGUAAGAAACCAUCGAAUUCCAGAUUGGGAAGUAAUUGGAGCAGGUCCCCAAACAUCAGAGUGGAUCAAUUCAAAAGGCUUUGUUCUUUUAUUCAAGUUUACAGGAUAUGAAGUUCGAUGGCUCUUGGCCAAGAUGCAAACAUUACACUUAAGAGAGGAACUUGGAUCCGGAAUGUCAUCAAAGAGGGAAGGAAAUAAUUUUUUUAAGUAGCCAAAGGAUGCAUGACCCAGCCGACGAUGCCAUAACCAAAUUUUCUUGUGAUUAUUACCAUUGUGACUCUGAACUUGAUGGACGUGACCUGAAGCUACGUCAUCUACAUAGUAUAACCCUUUCCUCUUAGUACCACGUCCAAUGAUCGCUUGAGUCCGGAUAUCCUGAAGUAAGCAAAACGUGGGAAACAUUAAUACCACACAAUCCAAUUCUUCUGUAAUUUGACUAACAGACAGUAAAUGAUUUGAAAGUGCAGGGACAAGUAAACAAUUAUGUAGUGAAAGAUCAGGAGUGAGAACAAUUGAUCCUGCUCCAAUGACUGGGGUAGACUCCCCAUUGGCUGUCAUGACCUUUUCCUUAGACGGGGGAGUCAUGUAUUGAAAUAAUGAUUUGUUAUACGUCAUAUGAUCUGUGGCACCCGAGUCAAUGAUCCAACCUGUAUCAUGAACCGUGGAUGUCGACAAAACCACUCCAGUUUUACCUGUCGCUGAAGUCUGGUCAGUUUUCGUUAAGGAGAGCAAUUCAUCCGGUUUAGUGUGGUCUUUUUUUCUUAUUGCCAUGGCAGCAAAACUGGAAGGAAUUUCUGUUGCAGUGGUUAAUUUUGCUUGGACUGGACGUUUAUUACUUCUUGCUUUACUUUGCUUCUGUUUUUCUAGAAACCAGUCAGGGUAGCCAUGAAUCUCAAAACAAGUGUCUCUGGUAUGGCGACUUCCAUUACAAUGGCUGCAGCGCAACUUGUCUUUUUCUGCUUCCUCAAUAGCUCGAAGAGUGCGCAUGUUAGAAGGGGUGGUGGAUUUGGAAAUCAUUGCAAUUGAUGAACCUUCACCAGUGUUUUUUGCUCCCAGCAUGGUGACUUGUCGCUGAGCCUCCCUUCGAAUUGUAUUGAAGCACUCUUCAAUACUUGGAACAGAUUUUUUUCGAAGGAGAUCACUGCGUAUUGAAUCAAAAACUUCAUCCAAACCUGCAAGAAAGUCAUAGAUCCGGUCCUUUUGAAUUUCUUCUUGUCUGGUUCUAAGAUCUGCAGCACAUAUCAUCUUAAUUGGUCGUCGCUUGUCAAUUUCCUGCCAUACACUAUUCAGCUCUGCGUAAUACAAGUUAACUGGACGCCCAUUCUGUUUCGUCCUCGUGGCUUUGCAGCGUAGCUCAUAGAAUUGUGACUCAUCAGCCCCAUCAUAAAAGGUUUGAGUGACACUAUCCCAGAUUUCCUUGGCUGAUGACAGGUCUAUAAAUAAACCAAUAAGAUGAGGCUCCAUGGUUUUCAACAACCAUCCUCGUACCACUGCAUCUUCAGUGCACCACUUUGAGUAACCAGAAUUUCCUUCUUCCACUCUAGCAUUCUGCCCAGUUAAGUAGCCAAGUUUGUUCAAUCCAGCAGCAUGCAGUUCAAGCAUACGUGACCAGAUUUUGAAGUUUGUCUCAUUCAAUUUAAAUCCAAAGGGUAAGGUGUUUGGGUUAGGUGUUUCAGCAGAGAAUGAAGUUUGGUUUAUAGGGAUAAUAGAAGUAUUUGUGUCAUCCAUGGUUGGUCUCUUGUUUCAAGACCAAUUCCCAGGAGAAGAUUAAUGUGGCGGCUGAAAAGUUAAAGGAAGAUUUUAGCUUUCAACCUUGCUCUGAUACCAUGUUACUUUUAAGGCUUUAGGGUUGGAUGUAUCCUCUGCUUCUUAUUUUUCUUCUCCUGUGGAGGGAUGCCUUAUAUAGGCAAAUAUAUAUGUCGGUUACAUCUUUCCUAUUCUGAAAGGAAUACUGCAAUGUAUAUCCUUUCAGGACUCCUAUAGAGUAUGUCUUUUAUAUAUAGAAAACUACCAUCUAAUUCAGCUAAUUACAUGUUAACAUGUAGUCCCUUUUGGUGGCGAAUAUACAAUUGAUUUUUGCUCCAACUUUUGGAGAAGCACACUGUUCUUCUGUGGCGUGUCAUGGUCAGGAAAAUCCCAUUGGUUUGAUGUCUACGAUGCUUCCAGGGAUUCUAGUCGCUGUGGAAAUUGCAAGUGGACAAUACAUGCAACUGGGCCAUGCAUGGAUUAUUAUAAUUAUUAUACAAAGGAAUUUGUAUGUUAUCCUUGGAAUGACAAGGCAUAUCUUCAGUAAAGCGCUAGUUACAUAGCUCUAUAUAUCUCCUGUGUUCAAUUUACUAGCUGCAUAAAGCGGAGACCACAAAAAAAAUAAGUUUACUAUGUAUUAUUGAGUUUCUCCACUCAUUAGGAGUGUUUUCCUUUCAUGAUUUGCAUAUAAUUCUUUCCAAGGAAUAACACUAUUUUGGUUGUGAUAAUCAUGAUUUGCCGUUGAUUACAAAGUUUAGAUGAGACGUACAUUUGUUGUAGUUGUGCGAUAGAAUAUCAUUAGUCAAUAUAUCCGUGUUACGAUAUGCAAUGUUUAUUUGGCAAGUGGACGAUGGAUUAAUUAUGUUAAAGGAAAACCACUUAUUAGUUGUUAAUUAUUUAUAUAAGUUCUCGAUUAAGUCCCCAAACUAUCAGUUUUAUUAUUUGAUGAUCCCUAUAAUCUAUAUACUUUCGACCUAUUAAUUAGUUGUUAAUUAUAAUCGUUAACAUGAUUGACUCGAUUAGGUUUUUAAUAACCCAGUUAAAUCAAUCGAUGCAAACUUUAUCAAAUUAAUAUCAAGAAUUGUUUUUUAAAUAAAAAAAUUAAAUAUCAUUUUAAUAAAUAAAAAAUAGUUAACUCAGUGAUUUAGUACCUCUACCCUUUUCUAUAACAAUACCCCAAAUCAAGUCUGAUGAUUAUGGCUAUCACUGUGCAAAAACUAAAGUUAAAGUAUGAAAUUGCUUAAAUAUAUAUUCAUGCCUAAUAUUGUCGGCGAGACAAAUUUUCUGAUGAAGGACAUUUUUUUUCAGAUUUUCCUUAAAUAUUGGGUGAGCAACUGGCUCUAUUACAGUAUUUCUAUCCAUACAAUUUAGGAAAAGAUAACAAUAUUUCUAAAUAGACUAAUAUUAAUUUGUUGUUGUUCAUAUUCAUGACAACUACGAUGAUGCUAGCUAGAAAGCAGAAAAGAAAAGAAAAGAAAUUAAGAGAUUUAUUAAGAAUACAGAGUACCAUCCAAUUGUUUUCAAAUUCGUGGAACCAAGAUUUCAUUUGUAAGAAAUACAAUAUAUACAAGUAUAGUUAAGAUAUAAUUAAUAGUUAAUGACAGACAAAUUACAAGGAAAAGGACAGCUGUUAGGCCUGUGUAUCUAGUAUGGAAUUUAAUCACACAAAUACAUAGAUUUAAUCAUCCUUAAUUUCUUGAUUGUGGAAGGUCUCUCUAAUCCAAAAGGUGCAAGGCCCCUAAUCCAAAACGUGUUCACGUAAUAAAAUACUUAAAUUAAUUGCCAUGUAUAUCGUCCUGAAUUAAUCGUCCUAGCUUGUAGGCAACAACAAAGCAUGCAUGCAUGUAUGGCAAGAAGCAAUAAAUAGAAAUUAAUUAAAACAUCAGAAUUGAAUGUCACUACGUAUUCGAUGUUGCUAACACGGAUCAUCAGAUCCCAGAUCACAGCUGGAAAAUACAGGGGGGAAAGGGUCUUACAUCUUCACCAUGCAUGUAGGCAGCCUAUAAAUAAAAAAAAUCAAAAUCAAGAUAUUAUACAAAAGAAAAACUCUUAAUAUCAUACAAGCAUGAAUCCCUUUAUCACAAGGCAUUUCGUUCUGCUAAUAUCAUCUUUGUUACUGGUCUUUACUGCUUGUGAUGCAUUUUGUUUUCUUCGAACAAGUGUAAAUUUGAAGAUCACAAACCAGUUGGGUUCAGGCCUGGACCUCGCCAUCCACUGCAAAUCGAAAGAUGAAGACCUUGGCGUGCACGUAGUCCCUUUUGAUGGCUAUUACACACUGAGUUUUUGUUCCAAUGCUUGGGGAACUACACAAUACUUCUGCGGCAUGACAUGGUCUGGUAAACUCCAUUGGUUUGACUUCUUCAUCGCUAGAAGGGACUCUUUUCGCUGCGGUAACUGCACUUGGAGAAUACUUCCAAGAGGCCCUUGUAUGACUUACAAUAUUGGCGAGUUAAGAGAGUACAAAUGUUACCAUUGGAAUGGCGAUCAGGUACUUUAGAAAUCUCGUAGCAUAAAAUAGAGUUAAAUCUAUGUACUCUCCUAUACUCCCAUGUAUUUGACUCAGUGAAUAAAUUUAUUUUUCUUGUUUUUGCCUUCUAAUUAGCAGUUUUAUUUGCCAUUGUAAGAAUCUACUCUAGGCCAUGACUAAUUAAGUUCCUAAAAGUACAAAUUAUGAGCUGUUGAUCUGAUGAGAUUAUGCAAUUUAUCAAAUGGUGAUUAAAACCGAAAUCAGAGAUUAUGCAAUUUAUCAAAUGAAUAAGAUCAACAUUAAAAGUAGUUAAAUCAAACUAAUUAAACGUUUAGUACGUACCUCAAAAACAUGGCCUCCAAAAUUAAUUAAUACAUAAGCAAGCAAUCGAGUAAUGAUAAUAUUAUUAUGGAAUUCAUUUAUUGAAAAAACAUCAAUCACGUAAUGUAUUUUUGACUUUCCAACUUUGAAAUACAAGGAGCCUGAGAGGAAAAGGUGUUACCAUCAAUUUGGAAAUAUUACACGCACUUCCAAAUCAAUAAUUUUAGGGUUUUUUUUUUAAAUAUUGAAGCAAUAUUUGAUUAUUUUCUUGAAAUAAAAAAAUAUAAAUAAUUAGAACAGAAAAACAUGUUUUUUUCUCUUUUAUGUUUUGAAAAGAUAGAAAAUCGUUUAAACUAAUUCAUAGACAGAUUUAGUUUCAUAGCAAUGUGGUAGUGAAUAAAAAAAAUCAAUAGUUUCAGGGGUGAUGAAAUUUGGAAAGGAGGUUAAGUCAUCAUGAUUAAUUUUCUUCGUCUUCUCUGUUCAAUGAAAUAGAAAUAAAUAACAAUGAAUACUUGGAGCUCUUGAGUUUGAACUAUAAUGAGUUAUUUCUUCUUAAAAUAAGAAAUAAAAAUAUAUAUAAUGGAUUAUUUAUUCUUAAAAUAAUGUUUGAAAAAAAUACUCGCCAAUGAAAAUACUGUCGGUAGAUAAUAGACUUUGGGCUUAUAAUAUAGUUAUGAAUCUAUUACUUAAUUUAUGGAUUUCAUUUAAUAAGGAAAUAAAUAAGUUUAUAUAUACACAACACGUCAUCUAUGACUUUAUUGGCUUUGGAGGUGUCCAGUCCACCAUUACUGUUUUCUGCGUGCCCACUUGAUUCUGCACAAGCUUUCUCACUCUUGAUCUUCCCAUUUCUGAAUUAUAUAUACACAUGCUGAUGGCCUUUUCUUUUUCUUUUUCUUUUUUCUGUUUUUUUUUUUAAUUGCCUUGCUGCUUUUUCUGUAGUUGAAGUUCGUCCUGUUAAAAAAAAAAAAAUUACAUAAAAGUGACGGUAUGUUCUGAAUUAGCUUUAAUAAAAAUGACACCGAGUCAAGCAUUUCAAGACGGUCAUUGUUUCUCAUUAUUUAGCAUAGUUUCUCGUUACUUGGCUUUGCCUGUUUCAUUCAUUCAAAUGGAUAAUCAUUACUUCCUUUUUAUAUAUUGUGUUUCAAAUUAAAAGGCAUUAUUUUUUAUAUUUUUAGUUUUAAUCAUAAUUUUAAUAUUUUUAAGAGUAUUAGUAGAUGUUGUAUUUUAAAAUAUUUUUAUAUAAAAAUAAUAUUCUUUCAAAACUAAUUAAACGUUUAGUACCUCAAAAACAUGGCCUCCAAAAUUAAAUAAUACAUAAAUAAGCAAUCGAGUAAUGAUAAUAUUACAUGGAAUUCAUUUGUUGAAAAAACAUCAAUCAAGUAAUGUAUUUUUGACUUUCCAACUUUGAAAUACAAGACGCUUGAGAGGAAAAGGUGUUACCAUCAAUUUGGAAAUAUUACACGCACUUCCAAAUCAAUAUUUUUAGGGGGUUUUUUUCAACGUUAAGGCAAUAUAUAUUUGGUUAUUUACUUGAAAUAAAAAAAAUAUAUCUAGACAAUUAAAACAGGAAGAACAUAUAUAUCCUCUCUUUUAUAUAUGUUUGAAAAAAUCAUUAGUUUUUUCAUUUAAACAUGUUUUCGUGGUUGAUGGGUGAUAAAUUUAUCUGAUAUUAUGAUAGAUUUUAUUGUUAUGGUUUGAUAAUUUAUAAUUGAAAAAUUUAUAAAUUAUGAUUUUUUUUAGAAUUUUAAAUGAGAUCUUUGUAAGAUUCUAGUAGUAUAUAUUGAUUAGCUAAAUAUUUGUAAGACUAUAGUUAAAAUAAAAUGUAAUUUUAUUCACAAUUCAUACAAACAUGGUAUAAAUGUUUUUAAUUAGACGAAUUUCCAUAGGAAAUAGGCUCCAACCUUCUUUGCUUGCCUGUUUCAUUCAAAUGGAUAACCAUUACUUGAUUCUACUUCAGGGGAAGUCAACGUCAAGGAAAUCAAAUUGUUUGGUUCAAAGGAGUGGGACAAGGCCACUGAUCAUUACAAUGUGAAUAAAACGCUUGGCCAGGGAGGCCAAGGUACACUUUACAAUUGUUGGUCUAUGAAUUCAUUCCUAAUGGAACCCUUUUCCAGUUUCUUCGGGCCAAAAAUUAUUGUAUUUUUUUAAUGUAAAAUUAGAAAAAAGUUAUAUUUUUUGAAUGUGGGAUAUAAAUUUUUUAUUUAAAUAAUUCAACUUAAAAUGAUAAGAUAAUAUCUUUUAAUGUGAAAUUUAAAGCCUUUUAAUCAUAGUUUUAAAACUCGGACCGGCCCGGCGGGUUAACCCGGGACCCAGUCGACCCGGGCCUGGAACCGGUCCGGGUGGAGGCAAAAACCCGCUUGGGAAUUGGCCCGGGGAAACCCGGUCCACUCGGUCAAACCCGGGUAAGACCCGGUCACUUUUUUUCCUGUUAGUCUUCUUCACAAUCAAUGGGUCUUAAUCACUUGCUCCUGUUUCCCCAAUCCUUGCCCUUCCUUCCACCCCAUCUUCUCCAUCAUCCUCUGCGCCGCAGUCUGUUAGGGUUUAUAUAUUUUUCCUUUCCUUGCCUUUCCUUUUUAUAGAAGAAUGGCAGAACGGAGAACUUCGUGGUUCUUCACUUGCUAGAAGUCACUCGUCACUCUCUCUCCUUUUCCCUCAAGUCACUAACAGAUCCGAUCUAGGGUUUCAUUUCUUCCAUUAAAAAUGGCAGUCGCUGCACAGACACCUGAUAUUCUUGGCGACAGACAGUCCGGCCAGGACAUUCGUACUCAAAAUGUGGUGGCCUAUCAAGCAGUCGCCAAUAUCGUUAAAUCCUCACUCGAUCUUGUUGGUCUCGACAAGAUGCUUGUAGAUGAUAUCGGAGACGUAACAAUCACCAAUGAUGGUGCUACUAUUCUUAAGAUGUUAGAAGUCGAGCACCCUGCUGCUAAGGUUCUAGUGGAGUUGACUGAGCUGCAAGACCGAGAAGUUAAAUUCUUAAUAAAUUCGGUUUGUUAGGGUUUUUUAAAAUAGUUAAUGGUGAUGUGAGCAGAAGAAAUUAAUGAAUGUGGUGUUAGUUUUGUUUAAUUGUAACUUUUUUUUUGGGUUGACCCGGGUUAACCCGGGUCAACCCAUCUGACCCGUGACCCGAUCACUCUACCGGGUCGAUGACCGGGUCGGGUUUCAAAACUAUGCUUUUAAUAUAUAUACUCUAUGUUUACAAGAAAAAAUUUAUUUUUUCAAUAUGGAAUUUGAAGCCUUUUUGUAUAUAUACUCUAUGUUCACAAGAAAAAAGUUAUGUUUUUUAAUGUGGGAUAUAAUUUUUUUUAUUUAAAUACUUCAAUUUAAAAGAAUAAAAUAAUAUUUUUUUAAUGUGAAAUUUAAAACCUUUUAAUAUAUAUAAAAUAUUACAAACCUGUAAUAUCGAAAGGAUUUUCAUUGUUGACCUUGCAGCUCUUCUCUCUCUCUCUUAUUCUCUUCACGUGCUCUCUACAUUCUCUCAUUUUGCUCUCAAAUAAUGCCUCUAUUUAUAGGCAUCUGUCGCACGUGUGCGGCAGCGCGGCGAUCGUCCACCAUCAAGGAAAUAUCGGAAUAUUUAUUCUUUGAAAAUAGGGAGAGACAAGGAAUUCUUGUCUCUACAAGUGAAAAUAUGGACUGGGAGUCGCCACCUAGUAUUCUGGUUACUAGGAACCCUAACUGGUCUCAGAGAUGGGGUACGGAGACUGGUUGCGUAAAGGGAAGGUAUUAGCACCCCAACUACGCCCUACCUAAGGUAAGCUGCAUUGUUUUGUCUGAUAAAAUCUAAAGUCGUGUUAUGGUUUGUAAUUGUUUGGAAUACGCAUUACAUGUAAUGUCAUACCCCAGGUUCGAGUGUCCGUAAAAAAAAGAAAUUAAAUAUCUGGAAUAUGCAUUACGUGUAAUGUCAUACCCCGGAUACCAAGAGACAAACAAAAUAAAAUUUUUGUUGUUUUUUGAAAUUUUGGCCAAUAUUCUCUUGACUUUAAUAAACUGGUUAUUAAAGUCAAAAUGCAUGCUAAAAUAUUGUUUUUUGACAUAUGAAAAAUACGAUAUGAUUUUUAGAUUUGAGAUACUUGGCCGUAUGCACAAAAACAUUUUUUAUCUUUUUUCAAUUUUUUUUUAUUUUUGAAAGUUUUUGCCGAAAACCGGGUAUUUUAAUACCGGAUUUAUAUAAAAAUACUGCCCGAUAUUAACCAAAAUGACAUAAAAUUACGCGGAAAAAUUAUAAAAUGCUAAAACAAAUAUUUUUGAUUUUCUUUAUGCAUGUGUGAACAGUACCCUACGAAAACCAGGUAUUUUAAUACCGAAUUUAUAUUUUUACGAUGUAAAAUAUAGACCGAUAUUAAGCAAAAUUGAUAAAAACAUGUGCUGAAAAAAUUGUAAAAAUUUUAUAUGUAAAACAAAUUUAAAAAAUUGAAAUGGGGCGGACCCAGCCCAUAUCAGUGGGCUGGGCCAACCCGGCCCAUUACCAAAUGGGCUGGUUACUGUGCAUAAGCACAGUAACCAGCCUCUCAUCAGUUGCAGAACAUGAAUUAAUUCACGUUCUGCAUGAAAAUAAAAGAGAGAAGGCAGCAGCAAAAGGAGAAGGAGACGGGGCAACGGGGUUACCUGCGGUGGCGUCGAGGCGGUGCUGCUGGUGGAAGCGGAGGCGAUGGUGGCGAAGGCACGAUGGUUCUGCGUUUCCCUUCUCUCUCUCUUCUGUUUUUCUUCGUUUUCUUUUCUGCUGCUUCUUCUUCUUCUUCUUCCCUGCCCUCUCCCUUCUCUUCUCUUCUCUCUCGGUUCGUCUCCCUCUUCUCUCUCCCUCGGUCUCCCUUCUGUCCUCUUUUUUUCUUCUCCUUUUCGGUGCCCCUCCCCUGUUUUUAUAGGCAAAAACAGGGGGGUGGUGUCGUGGUUGGGCGGCCACUGUCGGCCGCCCCCUCCACUAUCGAUCAGUGGAGAAAAAGGACGCAAGUGGGCGCCGAAUGGUGGGCGUCUUUUUGAAGCCAUCAGGGAAAGAAGUUCGACAAAAAGUGGAGAAGACAAAAAAAAUCUUCUCCCCUGUUCUCUGCGUGCGCAGGGAAGAAGACAAUGGUGCCGUUUCAAAACGGCACUGUUUUGGGCUUCUGUUUUUUUUUUUUUUUUCAACAGUGAAUGAAACGGCGCCGUUUUGGUCAAAACACGCCGUUUCAUUUAAAAGAAAAAGGCGUCAAAACGCGUCAGAUUUCAAAGAAAGCCCUCAAUUUGCGCGCGUUUUACAAUUUCGUCCUUGGUCUCGGAUUUCUUCAAUUUAGUCCCUAAUUGGCCAUUAAACUUCAAUAUUUAUGCAAUUAAGCCCCUGAUUUGACCAAAUUAACUUCUAAAAAUUAUAAUUUGACCCCAGAAAAUUAAUUUCUUCCAAUUAAAGCCCAAAAUAACUCCAAAAUCAAUUGUUUUUGCAAUUAAAACCUCUAUAAAUUCAAUUAAACCUUCAAUAAAAUUUAAUUGAGUCCAUAAACUUCUAAUUUUGCAUUUUUCUUCCUCAAAUUGAAUUUUCUUUAUCAUCGGGGCUCGCAUCAGUCAAUGAUAUACUGUCAAAAAUUUAUUUUUAUAUUUUUGAACAUCCUCAAUCAAUUUUUGAACAUUUUUAGAGCUCUCGUAUUUUUUCACUGUUAUAUUUUUUUGAUAAUAUAUUUUUUGAAUUUGUUUUUUGUAUUUUAUUAUUUUUUAUGUGGGGACCCAGAAAUGGGUGACAACAGCAUCAAUGAUAAGACAAGAUGCCAUCAAUUAUGGCACAAAUAGUGGUAACACAUGGGUUGCAACAUUUUUGUCAAUGGUUGAUACAACUUCCAUUCUAGCCUUUUGACAAUAGCAACCCUACUUCUUAGGGUAGGUGCACAUGUUGUUGCCUAUUAAUGGCAAUAUCCCAACAAUUACCCCUUUUAACAUUUAUAUGGGCAAUUGUCCUCUUACUUCUCCAGCACAAACUUGCAUCUUACAGCUCUUCCAAGCUUACCAUUCCGAGAGUGUCUGUGACCAAGUGUACAAGUACUCGCCAAACCUUUCAAUCACUACAGUUGCCAAAGCACACCUUUUCUCACACCAAAGGAUUACUUCAACCAAAUGGUCUCCAACAUCACAUCUGAAAAGUGUUAACACUUAUCUCUAGGACACAACAUUCCCCUUCGAGCAUAUCAAUCAUGCUCGGUCUGGAAUGAUUUUUCAAGCCUCAUACCAAGGCUUACAACACCCCCUUAAACAGAUAUUCCCAAGUGCAACAGUCAUUAAGUAUUUCAAUGUGACCACGAGCUCACCACUAUUCCAAGAGUCUACUCAUUCCGGAGUUGCGUCUGCCCUUUGUUCCACCUUAGGAACCACGCCUUACUUCUCCAUGAGUCUAUUGCUCUUAGUCCUAAGAGUCUAGGUAGCUCUCCACCUUUAACCAUGGGGGCAGCCCAUUAAAGGUUGAUUCAUAUCUGUCUUCAUGCUCUGAGUAUUACAAUGUCAUCACCGAGCUCACUACCUUGACAAGAGUCAACUUGUUCCAAGAACCUGUGCAUGCCCUCUACUCAUUCCUAACAGUCGCGUCUUAAUGCUCCAUAAGUCAACCACUUAUUUUCCAAGGCAAACGUCUUCUAGCUCAUUGAUCUUUAGCAUGGGGGUAAUAUCCAUGAAAGUCAAUCCUGCAUUUGUCUUCAUACUCAUACUCAUCAUAGUCAUUUCAUUGGCUAUCCAUACACCUGUCCACUCAUAUCUAGCCAUCGUCACAUCGGCUCUAGGGCGUUCUGUAAUUGGGGCUCCUAUCAUGGCCCUCACACCUUCCAUUUGAGGUAUCUCCACUCGUCGUCAUACGGCGGUCUGAAUUUGGGCUCAUAUCGUGGCUCUCACGCCUUCUCCUGAGGUGUCUCUACUCGUCGUCAUGCGGCAGUCUGAACUUGGGCUCAUAUUAUGGCUCUCACACCUUCUGUAUAAGGUGUCUUCGCCUGUCAUGUGGUCGUCUCAUCCUCCUUUAUCAGGGAUAACUGUAGUGGCUCUAAGAUUCUCUACCACCAAGUGGACUUGGGAGAGAUCACUGCCACUAAUCACAUAGAAAGAGAAACUUGCAGUAUACUCCUCGUAAUCCUCCACCUCGAUUUCUAUGUUUGGAGCUUCUACGCCUUUCUGCUUAAUAACUCCACCUAUACCAAUUCUUUGGUGUCUUCGCCUUUCAUCAUAGGUGGUCACAUUUAUCAUAGGCGUUUGCACCCCCGCAAUUAGGUGCUUUUGCAACAGCUCAUCUUUUCAUCCUUACAUGCAUUGGAAAGGUCCUCGCUUGUUGCCUUUAUCAAGAGCACAAGAGACUUCCUAUUGUACAACUUUUCACACAGUCUCUGCUUUGAGCUUCAUCUGGGAACUAUUCUUCUCCUUGCACCUAUUGUCUCAUUACAGUACCUCGUUGGAUCCUCCGAGUACUCAUACACAAUCUCUGUGUGCCCUCGUGCAAUUUUUGUUCUCUAGAUUUCUCCUCAUUCCUUGCUUAUAUUUGACAGCAGCUUAUCCUGUCACAACACCUAUCCAAGUCAAAAUAGGAUGUCAAUCUUUAUCCCUUUGCUGAAUUUCUCUUCCAUUAUCAAGGUCUUCAUCAAUUCUCCCUUCGAGAAAUUACAGUCACCGAAUCUAACUUCUUUACAGAAAUCAUCACUCCAUCAGAUCCUUGAUCAUACGGAACCCAACUGUUCCCCUUGUGCCGUCAUCUGCUAGUCUUCACCAGUUUCAUUACAAACUGUUACAUAUACGAAAAUAGUACCGUAUGGAUAAUCCUUCAACUAAGCAAGUUCCCAAGAGAGAUUGGAGGGGUCACAACGAUCCCGCUUAAAACCCAAUCUCCUAGCCAGAACUUCCUAGGCCAUAUUUAUCCAUCGUACUGCCUUUCCGUAUAUACAACCAUUUGAUAGCUUUGUUGCGGCUUUCUUUUACAAGUGAUCUGGAAUAUUUUCUCAACAUCUAGCGAGACUACUAGUGCUUAGAUUCGUCAAGAUUGGUCUGCAUCAAUUUUCACUCUCCACCUCAAAUCGUCCACAUGAUCGGGUGUCUAGAGUAUCCCAAUUUUGCCUUCCUUUAAGGCAAUUAAAUUUCCCCACUAAACAAUUCAGCACACAUAAUUGGGAAAAUGUGUGCGACUUCUUCUUCUUCAUCUCCAUCAACCACCAUCAAGACCUUCAGAUGCCUCUUGAUCGAGCAAUCUCUCUUAAUAAUUCACCACCACCACUUUUGGUCUCAAAUCUUAACAAACGGACCAUACCAUUACAUUCAGAACGAUCAAAUUAGCUAGAAAUAAGUCUGAAAUCAUCCAAAUCGCAUUUCAAACGGCUAAGAUUUGAUCAAAACAAUUCUGACCAGAUGAGCGGCCCAGAUUCAAUCUCAGAUCCGGUUGCACAAAGACUCCGCUACACGGAACCCAAUCCCUCGACUCGCAGCUCGGCUCCAACUCGGCUCAGCUCCACCCGACUCGGCUCCAUCCAACUCGGCUCGAGGCUGAUGACAUGGCAUAUGGGUCCCACUAUGCAGACGUGUCUGCUGACUGGUCGCUGCCAUGGCAUGCUAACUAUGCAUGCUGACGCAUUGAUUACAUCAUGAUGAUGUCAUCCUCCAUCCCAGUCAUCAUGUGGGUCAGGUCGUCUGGUAUUCGGGUCGGGUCAGCCCAUCCGGAUGAAGAAGACGCGUGCGGCACGUGGGCAUCCAAUUCGCCGACGCAUGGGGGCACAUGCGGCCAUGUCCAAUGUCCGAUUUUGACACAGUUUUCACCAAUGGCUUCAUCUCUUCCGCCUCUAUACGAUGGUUUGGUCAAAACACAAUUUUGACAACUUUCAUUUUUGAUCAAAAAUCAAACACCACUUUAAACCAUAUGCUCUGAUACCAAUUGUUGAAGAAUCCGACCGGUGAUGUAUUGAUAGUUGCCCAUUGGAGGCUAAGCACACUGACACAAUAUUUAACGUGGUUUGGAAAACCGCCUACAUCCACAGGAGAGGUCCAUAUUAUUCGAGAUAGAGAAAGGAUACAAAACAAAUACAUGGAGGAGGAGGAUCACUUCACUCAAACUCGACAACCCAGCUUUCAUUGCUACCCUUGUAGCUCCUCUCUUUCUCUCUUAUUCUCUUCACAUGCUCUCUAUACUCUCUCAUUUUGCUCUUAAAUAAUGCCUCUAUUUAUAGGCAUCAAUGGUAAGACAAGAUGCCAUCAAUUAUGGCACAAAUGGUGGCAGCACAUGGGUUGCACCAUUUUUGUCAAUGGUUUGUGUAAUUUCUAUUGUAGCCUUUUGACAAUAGCAACCCUACUUCUUAUGGUAGAUGCACAUGUUGUUGCCUAUUAAUGGCAAUAUCCCAACAAUUAAGAAUCUUAACAUCAAUGGUAUCAUCUUCCAAAUCAAUGAUGUUCCUCUUUUCCCUAAUGCAUUGUAGGGCAUAUUCGCUACAAAGAGACGCAAGAUCUGCCUCAAAAUACCCCUGAGUUCCCUUUGAGAUCUCUGUGAAAGAUUGUAGAUCGGUUGCUAGCAAUAACCCUAUUUUGAGGCAGCUUUUCCUUCCGAAACUGACCUUAGCAAAUGAAUGCCAAAUUAAGAUCUUAAACGAGGUAGUUUUAGCGAAAGGAAUGCUAAAACAAGUUCAUUAUUUGUACGCAGAUAAAAACUAGUUCAUUAUUUGUCAUUAUCUGUGACUCGCAAUAAGCAAUGGAUCAUUAAAUGACCCCAACAACAGCAUCACCCUUUUCAAUACAAAGGUAUCGUGUCUCGCGUCUAUGCAUUCAUUUUAUGUAACUGGAAGAUUCCAGUUUACUGGGUUUGUUUUUGUGGCAACAGAGGUUUCUUUAUGAUCUUCAUGGUUAGAAGACCCGGCCUCGUGAGUGCAGGGUCGAUUGUAUCAGGCCUGUUGGUAGCACCAAUUACGAAGACGGUUUUCUUGGCUGAUAAACCAUCCAUAUCUCAGUUAGGAGUUGGUCCAAAACUCUAUCCGCGGCACCACCAGCAUCUCCUACACUGUUUCCUCUUUGAAUAGCAAUGGAGUCAAGUUCAUCGAAAAAUAGGACACAAGGAGCAGACUGGCGUGCCUUGUCGAAAACAUCCCUUACAUUGGCUUCACUCUCUGCAAACCACAUCGUUAGAAGCUCAGGACCCUUGAUACUGAUGAAAUUAGCUUGACAUUCAUUGGCAAUAGCCUUAGCCAGCAAUGUUUUGUCACAGCCAGGAGGACCAUAGAAAAGAACUCCAUUAGAAGGUGACAUGCCAAACUUCUCAAACUUCUCAGGAUGCUCCACCGGAUAUUGAACAGUCUCCUGAAGCUCCAUCUUGACCUUCUCAAGACCUCCAAUAUCCUCCCAUCUAAAAUUGGGAAUUUCCACAAUGGUCUCACAAAGAGCAGAAGGAUUGCUGGUUCCGAGAGCAAUGUUGAAAUGGUCAUUUGUAACAGCCAUGGAAUUAAGAAUCUCAGCAUCAAUGGUAUCUCUUCCAAAUCAAUGAUGUUCCUCUUUUCCCUAAUGCAUUGUAGGGCAGAUUCACUACAAAGAGACGCAAGAUCUGCCCCAAUAUACCCCUGAGUUCCCUUUGACUAGUUUUUCCAAGUCGACAUCUUCAGAGAGCUUCAUCUUCUUUGUAUGGACACGAAGAACCUCAAGGCGACCAGCUUCAUCUGGAACACCAAUAUCUAUUUCUCUGUCAAACCUCCUCAAUGCAGGGUCUAGACCGUUAGGCCUGUUUGUAGCUCCUAUCACAAUAACAUGGGCACGGGCCUUUAGCCCAUCCAUGAGAGUCGGUAGUUGUGAAACGAUUCUUCUUUCUAUUCGCCACCAGUUUUCUCACGUUUGGGAGCAAUUGAAUCAAUCUCAUCAAUAAAUAUAAUUGCCGGGGCAUUCUUUUCAGCUUCUUCAAAAGCUUUUCUGAGAUUUUGCUCACUCUCUCCUGCCAUCCUGGACAUGAUUUCUGGUCCGUUGAUACAAAAGAAGAAAGCCCCAGUUUCAUUAGCAAUAGCCCUCGCUAUCAAUAUUGUUUUACCAGUUCCAGGAGGACCAUAAAGCAGAAUUCCUUUCUGUGGCUUCACACCAAUGGUCUUGAAAAGUUGAGGAAACCUUAAUGGCAGUUCAACCAUUUCCCUGAUCAGUGCCAAUUGUUUCCUAGCACCACCAUUAUCAUCGUAGCGAAAUCGAUCAAGACUUUCCUCAUCUACCCUCUUUACAGCUUCCCCUUCACAGAAGAUCUCUGUAUCAGGCGCAACCACACAGUACUAAGCAGGAUCCGUCUCAAUGACCUUAAGCUCCACACUCUUCAUUCCUGCUCUGAUGAGGUAAUGAUCUCCUUUCCUGACUGGACGAGAAGAAUCCUUGAAGUAAGGCUUCAGGUAGGCAUCAAACAGCCUACCAUUAAGGCCUUCAACUGUGUCAUCCAAAGGCAGAAUAUGAACCCUCUUGCCAUACCGCAAAUUCGGACAUACCUGCACCGAAACCAUAUCACCAAGCCUGACCCUUAAGUUUGACCUCACAAUCUUAUUCAUCAAAAUCUUGGACUGAUCGCAGCUAUCAUACUAUAAAUAAAAUAUAAAUAUAUAAGUUUUUUAUUUGAUAAAUAAUAAACAUACUAUAGAUAUAAUAGAAACUCAACCCCUAAAUACUAAUAGCUAUAGCUCGAUAGCAGACUCCAAUUAUGUGGAAUUAGAAAGUCCGGCCAUUACAUAUAUAUGGCAGUCCAUUAUAUUUUGAUAACAAGGCAUGAUGAAAAAAAAAAACUAUUAGGGUGUGCUGUCAUCAAUGAGCAAUUGUCAUCUUACGGAGUUGAAAUUCUAUAUAUUUUAAAAAUAAGAUUCCGUACCCCCUUCGGAAUGGAAGCAGGCUGCUACCUGGAUAAGAGGUUCAGAAUACAUUGCAACUCCAACAUGACUCCGAGGCUUUCUAUGAAUAGAAUCAAUCUAGAGGUGUUGAACAUCUCUUUUAUUGAACCCAUAAAAAGUGUUUUUUUAGGGUGUUUUUACACCCAUUAAAUCUAGAUUUAUCACUUCUAUUUUAAAAAAAUUAAAUACAUACCUCUCACAUCAGUUUAUUACAUUUAAAAAAAGUUUAAUAUGAUCAUGGCUUUUCUAUUAUCUUCACUCUUCGGGACCCGAUAUUUUAGUCCAUUUCAUUAAAGAAUUGCCAUUGCUCGAGCUUUAAAUAAGGAAGGCUGGGCUUAUGCUACUCGAUGAAGCAACAAGAGCACUAGAUGCUGAGUCUGAGAGGUCUGUCCAGGAAGCCCUGGAUCGUGCCUGCUCAGGAAAGACCACAAUUGUUGUUGCACACCGGCUAUCAACUAUAAGAAAUGCUCAUGUCAUUGCUGUGAUUGAUGAUGGUAAAGUAGCAGAGCAAGGAUUCCACUCGCAUCUAUUGAAAAAUUAUCCUGAUGGGAGCUAUGCCCGCAUGAUACAGUUACAAAUUAAGGUUCACACAUAGCGAAGUCAUUGGAAUGACCUCAGGUUCAAGUUCACAGAGCAAGGAUCCCUUGUGCAUGUGGUUUGUCGCACCUGCUUUCACAAAAAGAUGCCCAAUGUCGGAAGAUAAUUGGGAGAAACGUGUCCAGGCAUUCCCUGCAUUUUUCAUGUACGAUUAGGAAAUGUGCUCCCAUCACAAAAAGGAAUCCUGAUCAUAUUUGCAGCAAUGAUCGAGGGCUUGUGCAAUUAGGCUACAAGGGUUAUCAUGCAUGCCAGGAUUCCACUACUUUCCGACUUACUGAUGGAAAAAGAUGGGACCCAAUGGCAAUGGAUGUAGACCUGAAUACUAAUGACGUGUUGGACAAUUAUGCAUCACAAUCCAAACUUUGAGGCGAUCAUAUUCCUGGCGAUUCGAAAUCAUCCAAUCUUGAGCUUAAUAGGAUGCGUAUCUAUUUAUGAUUUGGUUUGUGGGGAAGGAAAUUAUUGAGUGUCAAAGUUCACAUGCAUGGUGGUUGGUUGCACAUGUGUGUCAUUUGAGUGUCCAAGGACAAGUACUACCCAAAGAGGGGACCUCGUUGAAAUCAAUAGACCACGCUCCUUCGACCAUUAAUUAGUAGAAGCUGGUGGUGAUGGUGGUGGUGGACAAGCGGGAGACAAAAGUUUAGGAUAUGGCAUUUGGAAAAUGACAGCAAGGGAGAUGAUAAGAGAGUUAGAUCAUGGCCUCAUGGGAUGCUCUGUCCUUGUGUUCAUUUCGCGGGCCAUACCCAAUCUCUUUCCAUUAAAGAAAUACAAGGACGUUAGCCUGCACAGAUGGGCUUUAAUGGCGCUCUUGUUUUCAAGUGCUCAAGAGCAUUAUGCUUUUGGAGGGACACUGGAUGAUGACUCUCUGUUAACAAGUAACGACUUCAACAGCUGUUUCAAAUUACGGGCAACUAGAACACACAAUUACAAAAAAAAGGAGGAAAGUGCUACAAGUCUAAAACCAAUACCACAAGCAUAUUUAAGUUUGACAUACAAACACAAAAUUAAGACAUGUAGUAAAUAAUUUCAAUAUGUAUGUAAGAGUGGUUUUUCAUCUAGUGAUGAAGGAGCACCAAUAUCGAAGCUGGAAAUUGUUGAGGCGGAAGUAACAUCCCAAGGUGCUCCCAUCACUUCAGUUCUGUCAUAUUCAUUCUCUUGUUGGACGAUCAAGUUUUCGGAUUUUUUAAGCCUCUCCAACACCAUUGUGACUUCUUUCAUCGGAGGCCUUUCUUUCCCAUUUAACCUCAAGCAGCUCCUAGC